UUGCUAGUAGAACUGACCUGACAGAGGGCACAACUCCAAUGCAUGGGUUUCUUUGAACCCGUUGAACAGGGCUUUCCAGAAUCUGCUGGUAGUGUGGCAGCUUCCUGCUUUGAUCCACAAAGAUUGGGAUAGGGCUUAACCUGCUGGUCUUGACCACCCUCUCCUUUCUGGUCCGAACCAACAACAGUUUUAUUAGCUUUAACGGAUUCCUCUUCUACUUUAGUCUUCAUUUCUUGGCCAGCACUAUCUAUGCUUUCUGUAGACUUUUUUGUCCACUUCUGAGCUCCAAGCAGUUCUUCUUCCUUGGCCUUGUGCUUCUUACCACAAAGAUGCUCAUCUAGAUUUCUCUUGCUAGUAGAACUGACCUGACAGAGGGCACAACUCCAAUGCAUGGGUUUCUUUGAACCCGUUGAACAGGGCUUUCCAGAAUCUGCUGGUAGUGUGGCAGCUUCCUGAUUUGAUCCACAAAGAUUGGGAUAGGGCUUAACCUGCUGGGCUUGACCACCCUCUCCUUUCUGGUCCGAACCAACAAUAGUUUUAUUAGCUUUAACGGAUUCCUCUUCUACUUUAGUCUUUAUUUCUUGGCCAGUAAUAUCUCUGCUUUCUGUAGAUAUUUUUGUCCACUUCUGAGCUCCAAGCAGUUCUUCUUCCUUGGCCUUGUGCUUCUUACCACGAAGAUGCUCAUCUAGAUCUCUCUUGCUAGUAGAACUGACCUGACAGAGGGCACAACUCCAAUGCAUGGGUUUCUUUGAACCCGUUGAACAGGGCUUUCCAGAAUCUGCUGGUAGUGUGGCAGCUUCCUGCUUUGAUCCACAAAGAUUGGGAUAAAGCUUAACCUGCUGGGCUUGACCACCCUCCCCUUUCUGGUCUGAACCAACAACAGUUUUAUUAGCUUUAACGGAUUUCUUUUCCACUUUAGUCUUCAUUUCUUGGCCGGCAAUAUCUCUGCUUUCUGUAGAUUUUUUUGUCCACUUCUGAGCUCCAAGUAAUUCUUCUUCCUUGGCCUUGUGCUUCUUACCUUGAAGAUGCUCAUCUAGACCACCCUUCACUUUCUGGUUUAAACCGACAACAGUUUUAGUAGCUUUAGCUGAUUCCUCUUGUACUUUAGUCUUCAUUUUUUGGCCAGCACCACCUCUGCUUUCCGUAGAUUUUUUGGACGUAGAAGAAGUGGAGUUAGUGCACAUUUUCUUAUCUCUAAGUAGUCUUGCUACCUUAGCCUUGUGCUUCUUACCUUGAGGACGCUCAUCUAGACCACCCUUCACAUUCUGGUUUAAACCGACAACACUUUUAGUAGCUUUAACUGAUUCCUCUUGUACUUUAGUCUUCCUUUUUUGGCCAGCAACACCUCUGCUUUCUGUAGAUUUUUUUGACGUAGAAGAAGUGGAGUUACUGCACAUUUUCUUAUCUCUUAGUCUUGCUACCUUGGCCUUGUGCUUCUUACCUUGAGGACGCUCAUCUAGACCACCCUUCACAUUCUGGUUUAAAUCAACAAAAGUUUUAUUAGCUUUAACUGACUCCUCUUGUACUUUAGUCUUCAUUUUUUGGCCAGCAACACCUCUGCUUUCUUUUGAUUUUUUUGACAUAGAAGAAGUGGAGUUACUGCACAUUUUCUUAUCUCUAAGUAGUCUUGCUACCUUGGCCUUGUGCUUCUUACGUCGAGGAUGCCCAUCUAGACCACCCUUUACUUUCUGGUUUAAACCAACAACAGUUUUGUUAGCUUUAACUGAUUCCUCUUGUGCUUUAGUCUUCAUUUUUUGGCCAGCACCACCUCUGCUUUCUGUUGAUUUUUUUGACACAGAAGAAGUGAAGUUACCACACAUUUUCUUACCUCUAAGUAGUCUUGCUACCUUGGCCUUGUGCUUCUUACGUUGAGAAUGCCCAUCUAGACCACCCUUCACUUUCUGGUCUAAAUCAACAACAGUUUUAUUACCUUUAACUGAUUCCUUUUGUACUUUAGUUUUCAUUUCGUGGCCACUGCUAUCUCUGCUCUCAGUAGAUUUUUUUGAAGUGGAGAUAAUGAACAUCUUUAAAUCUCUAAGUAGUUUUUCCUUGGCCUUGUGCUUCUUACCUUGAAGAUGUGCAUAUAGACCUCUCGCAGUAGUAGCACUGACCUGACAGAGGGCACAGCUCCACUUCGUGGGUUUGUUUGAACUUUUUGAAGGGAGCUCUCCAGAACCUGCAGCUGGUGUGGCAGCUUUCUGCUUUGAUCCACAAAUAUUGGAAUCGGGCUUACCCUGCAAAUGAGACCCAAACACAGUAACGAUGAUGCCAUGUAUUAGUUACUACAUCAAUGGUAAAAAUACAAAAUAUUCCCUGUGAGCUCCAUCAUCUGCUAAUGUAGUACAGAUAAAAGAAUUUGUUUACAAAAUAAUAAUGCGCACUAAUUUUAUUUUAAAUUUUGAAUUUCUCAAAAAAGGUCAGAAUGUAGAAGUAUAUUUUAAAUAGUUAAUACAACCAGAAUCCUUGUUAAUUUAGCACUGAACUAGGAAAAUCAUCCCUUCCCAGAAACAAAAAAAGGGAAUAUGUUUGAAUAGAACUCUGCAACACUUUCUUAAUAAGCUGGACAAGAAGAGAUGAUAUUAAUACUUAUGAGCAUUAUUUAAUAAUUUGAGGAAACACCAUUUUAAUGAAGCCUCAAGCCCAACACACACACACAAACAGAAGCAACAAGAUUUUAAAUAAGAAAUUACCCGAAAACAGAAACAUCAGUCUGUACAAGUUCAUGUGACACUUGAUGGUAAACAUAUGUAACCUCUCUUGGAACCUUAGCUUGCUACAAGCUCAUGUUUUUCAUUCAAAAAGGUUUCAGACACACAGUGAUUCCAGGUUAUGGGGGAUCACAUGUCCUCACUGCCCAAAUUUUAAAGCCACAUACAUUGGCAUUUGCAGGCAUAGUCAAGAGUUACACAAACUCUCUCAUCCACCUGAGUUGACCAACCAAACUGAACUUGUGAAACCAACGUAAGUAUCAAAUACUAAAAUAUUUGGAACUAAAUCAAGAUAGUGAGUCCAAAUGUACUCCCCAAAAAACUUGUCACGUGUGCAUCAAGACCAAGGUCUAUAGCACUCAGAAUGGACAUGGGAAUCUCUAAGCAAUGGUCUACUAAUAACAUUCAAAUCCACGUAAGCUAUACAUAGCUAAUUUGAAAUUGUUCUUUGUUCAAAGCAGGUAAGUGCAGGAUAAAGUCAUUCAAAUGGACAAGUAAAGAGUAAGCUCGGCAUUGUCAAUUGGAGAGUAUGAAGAAACUAACACGAAACAAACUCACUUAUCUCUAUUUAUACUUCAAUUUUCAUAAAUCUAAAAUCUACAAUUAUCAUCUUGAACUCCCCUCAAUUAGUAAGCUCUGCAUUGUCACUACUUUCUUCUGAAAUUUUCCAUCAGCUGAAAAUCUCUAAUAAAUCAAAACAAGACUUACCAAAUUUCGUAAGUAUCAAAAUAAAAAAUAAAAAAGAGCAAAGGUCCACAGGGAAGUCCUAGAAUGCACCAGAAAAAUAACAAGAUAUACAAUCUUGUUCGUUAUAUUGUGUUAUUUAAACUUAAUAGCUACUGUAAUCCAUCUACUUCAGUACCUAAGCUAAAACCUCAGUAACAAGAAAAAUAUCCAAAAAGUUUAGACAUGAAAUAAAAGCAAAAGUAGAGCAAAAGGACAGUGUGCACGAGGAAAAUAAACAAUGAAAGCAUGAUCCAAGCAAGGUUCUAGUCCCAGAGAAUUGGUACAAUAUUAUUCAUUUUCAUUCUACAUGGUGUAAUUUGAUCAUGCUUUCAUUGUAUACUAAUGCAAGGCAUGUGCAAGAGUCUACCAUUUAUACAUAGGGUAGACUUCCCCAAGUAAACUAGGGUACCAAAAAUCAACAUCUAAGGAAUCAGCAAAGUCAUCAAUCUCAGGUUAUUUUCUGCCCAGAUUACAGUAAUACCACUAUAACGAAUCGCUGUAAUGAAAAAUUGCAGCUACAGUAACCAGGGGAGAAAAAUUUCCUUGAUCAAUCACAGCGAUGCCCCCUUAGGACUGAAUUUUUGAUGCACAGCCCACAGAAGAACAAGGAUUACCGCAUGCAUGGGUAGCAAACCUGGAUGCACCUACCUUGUCAAUAAGAGCAAAACUCAAAGACAAGAUGCCAAAACCAGAUGCACAUCAUUCACAUGCCUCUAAAUUUAGCACCUGAUUGAACCAAUUCCAUCAAACUUGUAGCGAACCAGAUUCCAUAUAAUACAAUCAUCAAACAAUAUUGAAGACAAAUAUACUCAUUGACACCAACCAAAAUAAAUAAAUAAAUAAAUAAACCAUGUGAAGAAGUAAAAUUGAAUACCGACCAGCAUAGUCAGUUCAUCCUUCUUGUUAACGUCCAAGCCACUCCAAAGCCCAUGUGAAAAAUGCGGCAGCGUAGAAGGCAGUACAUCAUUUCCAAAUCCCAGGCCUAGAUUCCUACUAAAUGGGAACCACGGGUACCAUGUGUGUAGUUGCAUUAAGAGCCUGUCAUCAAUUGACAGCCCCAUUUCUCUUUCUCUAUGCAUUGCCAUCUCUCUUUCAAUCAUCAGCUCUCUACUCGCCUCUUCCUCAGGCAAUCGCCGGCGCUCAAUUUCUGCGGCAAUUAUUUCACGCCUGAUUAUCUCCUUCUCAAUCUCACGCUGGAGCGUGUAAAGGAGUCUUGGGUUGUUCAACAAAUCGGGGACCAUUGAGUAGUUACCUGGAAAGAGAUUGUUUAUGUUAAUUCAAGAUGGCAAGCUACGUUAUUUGAUUGCAAGUGCAAAAGCAUUUAAGGUUCUGAAGUAAAUUUUUCCAUAAGGCAGAAAAGUUAAGGCAGCAUUUGGAUCACAAUUCGUAGCACUUCUCAAAAUUACGACAUUAUUUAAAGCAAACGUGUGUGUGUGCGUGUGUGUGUGUAUUGUUUUCAGUAAGCAAAUAGACGAUAAUGACGAUUGUGAGAGAGAUCUAAAUGGACCUCGACGUGCUUGAUCAUCAGAUGAGUAGCUCGAGCUCCGAGAAGACGGAGAAGGAGACGACGGAGACGGCACCGUUCUGUCGUCAAUUCGUCCGAACUUGGACUCCAUGGACUGUGAAAGGAAAGUGAGUGCGUGCUGUCUACGCGCAAUGUAACUCGUCGGCGAGCCUGUCCAGUGGGUUUUAGUUUGUCUGUAUGCCCAACAAAGACGAAUAAAAGAGUAUAUAAAUAUAUGCCACGUUUGCAACAAGGAAACUCGUUUUUUUUUUUCAAACUACAAUAAUGCUUUUCCCUUUUAAGGCUUUAACUUAUUCAUGAAGAAAGAAAUGAGCUUUGAGUUAAAUGGAAACCGGAAAGAGAGUUUUUUUAACGCGCCAAAAUUUGGUGGCCGACAUGUGUAAGUCAAGCAGUCAACACUAUAUUAUUAGCUAUGGGUCAGACUUUCUAGGACAGUAAGGAAACUUCGGUCCAGCUGAACACUGCUAAUAUUACAGUUAGAGCUGGCAAAAUUUGACACGACCCGAUUACUCGACACGAACACGACAUAAAUAAAUGGGUAUGGAUCAUCAAAUUUAACACGAUUAUUAAAUGGGUCGGGUCCGGGUCAACACGAUUUUUUUUCGUGUCGGGUUUAGGUUAAAAUUCUUGACCCAUUUACCCGAUCAAUGACCCGAUUAUAUUUUCUAUUUUAAAAUAAUUUACAUAUUCUUAUAAUUAAAACUCAAAUAUUAGAAAUAAUUUUUUUUUUAUUCUUUAAAAGGGUGAAUAUAAACACAGUGUUUUAUUUAUAAAAUUUUACAUACAUUUAGAGGUUCAAUAGUGUAAAUGUGUAAAAAUUAAUAGACAUGUAUAUUUUAUAAUAUUGAUAUAUAAUAUUUUAUAUAUAUAUAUAUAUAUAUAUAUAUAUAUAUAUAUAUAUAUAUAUAUAUAUAUAUAAUUAAAACCUCAAUAGUGUAAAUAUGUAAUAUAUUGGUAGAUAUGUAUAUUUUAUAAUAUCGAUAAAUGUAUGUAUGUAUGUAUGUAUUUAUGUACAUAUGUAUGUAUGAUAGUGUGUAAAUAUUUGAUGUAAUUUUUAUUCAAUAUAUAGAUAUUAAACGGGUUAUUGGGUAACCCGAUUAUUUUUCCGUGUCGGGUUUGGGUCUCAAUAUUUUGACACAAUUAUUAAAUGGGUCGGGUUUAGGUCGACCUAAAUUUGACACGACACGAAGCUGACACGACACGAACACGACCCGAUGACCCGUUUUGCCAGCUCUAAUUACAGUAAUAACCUUUUUUUUUUUUAAUCACUUUCAUUGUGCAGUUAUAAGACAAUAUUUUACCAUACAGUAACUUUACCAUAACUAUUGUCUUAUUUUUAUAUUACUAAUCCAGUAAAAAAUAUAGCGUAUGUAUGUAUGUAUAUAUAUACUCAUUUUUACCACUAGUUAAAAUUGAAUCAAUUAAUUAAAUUUACUUAGCAAAUACUCGAAUCACACUCAUUUUCUUGAUGUGAAAUUCUUUCAUUGCAGUAAAUACCUCUUCACCGAAAGAGAUCAAUUAUUAAAUUAUGGAAGUCUAUCGAAUAAAUUAGGUGCAUUAAGAUGAGAAAGGCAUAGAGAGUUGUUUUAGAUGAAAAGCCGAAUAUUGAUUGUCGUUGCUCCUUCCUCUUCAAUUCACGAAUCACGAAGCGCUGCUUGUCCUUGCACAUUGUGUUUGGGGAUGUAUUUCGACGAGACCAGCCUUAAUGAGCAGAAGCCUGGUAGCAGGAGAGCAGGCGCAGGAAUAUUCUGCUUGUUCACGAGUAGGCCAUCAGCGAGGCCGGUCUCCUGCUAAUGGCUAAGGCGAGGAGACCCAGUCAACGGCAGUUGGCAAGACGUACACUUCAACCCGAGAAUCAAGGCACGGAGACCACGCGACCACCCACGAUUGCGGAAACGAAGCAUCCACUUCCGAGAGAUGGGAAGGUAAUGGGCGGGGAUUGAGGGAAGGUCUGAACUCAGGAGAAGCCUAUAAAAGGGUAGUCAAUUAAGGUAAAAAGGUUAGAACUUUUAAUACUGAAAUUGAGAUAAAGAAAGCAUUCAAUAAUCAAUACCAAAAACAAACCCUAAGAUUAGUGGCUAACGUUCCCAGGAACACAAAACCUUCAUAUCUGACUUGAGCGUCAGAGGGUUUACGCCGGGAAAACAACCGGCGUGCUCUGACUUGUUUCUGUGUACGCAGGAAUUAUUGGAGAAGAAAGCAUACGAGGAAAGAUCCUGAUCGUGGUCGAGUUAGUUGAGUAGAGGUCCUAGUCGUGGUAGAUAGGGUAACCAGAAUUUCGCAUCAACAUUUUGGCGCCGUCUGUGGGGAGCUGAUCAAAAAGCUUCUGUUAACAGAGAAAGGAAAAGCAAAGCAAGAGAAGAAACAAUUGAUGUAGGAGGAAGUAGUGCACAAUGAGGUGAUAUGAGGCUUAACGAAUCCGUGACGUUGAGGGAGAUAGCCAUUGAAGCACGGGAAAAAGCCAUGCAUGACCGAAUGGAACGGAUGGAAAAGCAGAUGAAGACCCUGACAACCAUCCUACAUGAACUGAGGAGUGAAUGAAGGGGAACCCAUGAGGAAAGAGUGAGCGGUGGUGGAGUGGCACCAAGGCACGAUGGUAUGAUGAGAAGUCAGACCACCAGGAGAUUUGGUGGUGAGAGAUGUAACUUAUCUCUACGGGGAGGAAUUCAUAGAGAAGAAGAGCAAUCCCCAAGAAGACAGAUUUUUGAUGAGGAUGACGGGGUGGUGAAUGCAGAGGAAACAGAGCUCAUGCAACACUUACAUGAUGUAGAGCAAGAGCGAGAUCAAGUUGUAGCACGUGACCUUGGUCGUGCAGUGCAACUGGAGAAGAAAGUGCGCAGACUAGCGCAAGUAGUUGAUGAUAUACAAGGAAGGAGUAGAGCACCUGGUUGGAGGAUAAUGCUGGAUGGAGAAUCCCCGCUCUCGGCAGAGAUCAUGAGGGCAGUCAUUCCAAGAGAUUUUUGCCUCCCAGACCUCAGAUAUUCAGGGCGAACUGAUCCGUUGGUGCACAUAGAGUGCUUUAACGAUAUGACCGGGGUGCAAGGACUAUCUCAAGCCCAAAGAUGUAGGGUGUUCCCACUAUCUCUAGAGGGACGAGCACGCGAGUGGUACAUGAAACUUCCUCGAGGGAGCAUUAAAGCCUUCGAACAGAUGUGCCAGGAAUUUGCAGAGCAGUUUCGUAGGGCAAUAGCACCGAAAGAUGAUAUGAUGGAGCUGACAAGCAUAAAGCAGAGAGAGGAGGAAACCCUUCGGAAAUUCAUCAAAAGGUUCCAUCGUGCUGUCCUCGACUUGGGAGCCUUCAACCAUCCUUAGGCAUUAAGGGGAUUGAAAGAAGGAGUGAAGAUAGGAUGAUUGUAGUAUAACUUGAUAAGCCCAGCUAUUCAGACAUAUUCAGCUGCUUACGAGCAGGCUAAGAGAGACAUAGAAAUAAAGGAGGAAAAGGCAGCACGGAUUAAGACAGACCAGCUGGAAGGAUUAAAGAGGAAAGAGAAGAGAGCCGUACCAGGAAAUGGGCCGAUUAAGAGGAGGGACCACCAUGUCUUAGGUAGUGGUACAGGAGGUCGGGUAGCCGCUUACCAACCUCAUCAGAGGCCACCACAGUAUCAGCGCAGCAGGGCGCAACCUCCUCGCUCACUAGCUAGGGAGCCUUGGAGAAGGCAUGACGCGGCAUACGGCCACCUUCACCCAUACCCCUAUGGUAGUAGGAGGAGCAGACCAGAAGCACUGCCACCACCUCUAACUCAGAAUGACACAAACAGAGAAAGGGCAGUGCACAUGAUCGACCAGAACCAUGACUAUGGGCGGUAUACUUCCUUGGAGAUCCCACUGGACGAGGUUUACGAGGCCAUAAAGGAUCGGGGAUUAUUGUACCUCCUGGCCCCAAUUACAAAGCUACCCAGCAGGAGGGAUAAGGGGCGCUAUUGCAAGUUCCAUGGUACUCAUGGCCAUACCACAAUAGAAUGCAGAGAUCUCAAGACCCAGGUAGAAGAUUUGGUGAGAAAUCGAUACCUGGACGAGUUUAUAGAUGUGAUUUUUUCGAUGUUGGCCUCAACAUGUGAAGGGGAGUAGAGUAACAGGAAUUUGAACCACGAGCAGCCUAUAGUAAGAGUGAUUGCUGGGGGGCCAACGUUGGCCGGGGAUUCCAAUAGAUCAAGGAAGAAUUAUGCUAGAUAUGCCAUGACUAGUAAAGAGGUAUUCUUCAACACCCUAGCAGCCAAACGAGCAAGAGUCAGGUAAGUGCCAAUCAUGUGGACAGAUGAGGAUGAAGAAUGGAUUUUAUAUCCACAUGAGGAUGCCUUAGUCAUCAAGGCCACAGCCGCUGACAAGAAGUUUGACCGGAUACUGGUUGACCCAGGGAGCUCGGUUGAUGUCUUGUUUAAAUCAACUCUGGAGGAGAUGGGAAUAGCAGACCUGAGGUUAGAGCACACCAAUACCUCCUUGAAGGGAUUUAGAGGAGGAAAGCUGGUCCCUCUGGGCGUGGUCGAGCUGCCCAUCACAAUUGGUAGCUCCCCGACAGAAAGGACUAUGAUACUGGAUUUUGUGGUGGUCGAUGAAGAAGGCCCUUACCAGAUGAUUCUAGGUCGUCCAUUUCUGAGGAUGAGCAAAGCGGUGCUUUCCAACCACUAUCUAGCUCUCAAGUACCGAGUGAAUGGGUUAGUUGGAGUUGUACGAGGAGACCAGAGAUUCGCCCGAAGCUGUUACUUCUCGGCAGCAAGGGAAGCAAUGCAGAUAACAUCCUUUGAUACCCGAGUGAGGGCCAAGAAGGGCAGACAAGAACCUGUAGAAGAGCUGGAGACAGUAAGCCUGGGACAAGAGGAUCCGGGGAAAACGAUCUGAAUCGGGUCGAGGCUUAAACAAAAGCAGAAGCAGGAGUUGGUGCAAUGUCUACGAGCUCAUGCAGAUGUGUUCGCUUGGACACAUGAAGACAUGCCUGGGAUUGACCUAGAGGUCGCAUGUCACAAGCUGGCAAUAAAGAAAAGUGCUCAGGCAGUAAGGCAGAAAAGGAAGUGCUUCAACCAGAAAAGGUAUGAGGCUAUAAACGCCGAAGUAGAGAAGCUCUUGAAAGCAGGGUUCAUUCGGGAAGUCAAUUAUCCUGAGUGGAUAUCAAACGUGGUGCUAGUUAAAAAGGCUAACGGCAAGUGGAGGAUGUGUGUUGAUUUCACGGACCUCAACAAGGCGUGCCCGAAAGAUAGCUUUCCGUUACCAAAGAUUGACCAGCUUGUAGACUCAACAGCUGGACAUGGCCUGCUCAGCUUCAUGGACGCAUUCUCGCGAUACGACCAAAUCCCUAUGUUCGAGCAGGAUGAGGAGAGCACGGCAUUUAUUACCAACCAGGGCUUGUUCUGUUACAAGGUAAUGUCGUUCGGUCUUAAAAACGUUGGGGCCACGUACCAGAGGCUGGUAAACAGAAUCUUUAAGUCAUUGAUUGGGAAAACAAUGGAGGUGUACGUUGACGACACGAUAACUAAGUCGAAAAUCCCAAAGGAACAUGUCGAGCACCUCGAGGAGACAUUCGAACUUUUGAGGAAGUACAAGAUGAAGCUUAACUCGGAAAAGUGUGCUUUUGGGGUUGAGUCGGGGAAAUUCCUCGGAUUCAUGGUGAGUCAUAGGGGGAUUGAGGCAAAUCCCAAGAAGAUCCAGGCGAUCGUGCAGAUGAGGUCUCAUUGUAAUCUGAAGGAAAUGCAGAGCCUUACGGGGAGGUUAGCGGCAUUAAGCUGAUUCAUAUCCAAGGCUACAGAUAAGUGUCAGCCAUUCUUUCAAGUGAUAAGGAGAGGAAAGAAAACAGAAUGGUCCCCAGAAUGCAAAGAAGCCUUUCAGAACUUGAAGCAGUACUUGCAGCGAGCACCUCUACUGUCCACACCGAGGGAUAAAGACAAGUUGUUCUUAUAUCUGGUGAUAUCAGAUCAUGCCACAAGUUCUGUUCUAGUGAGAGAGGAAGAAGGGGUUCAGUAUCCGAUAUACUACACCAGCAAGGCCCUGGUCGACUCUGAGACUAGAUACCCGCCAUUGGAGAAUGGGCACUCGCCCUUGUGGUUGCUGCUCGAAAGUUGAGGCCGUAGUUUCAAGCAUUCCCCGUCUCGGUAAUAACAAACCAGCCACUGCGGAAAACUCUACACAAGCCAGAUGCUUCUAGUCGGCUCAUGAAGUGGGCUAUAGAGUUGAGUGAGUUCGAUAUAGAUUACAAACCCCGAGCAUCAAUAAAGGCCCAAGCAGUGGCCAAUUUCCUAACAGAAUUCACAGAGCCUGAAGUUGGCUUUGACCCACCGGAUGCUGCAACGGUCAACAAUGAAGAUCGUGUAUGGCAAAUGUCAGUGGAUGGAUCCUCAGGGGAGCAGGGGUCUGGAGCAGAGAUUAUAUUGGAAAGCCCAGAAAGGGAGGAAAUUUCUUAUGCUAUAAAGUUAGAGUUCACAGCUACAAAUAACCAAGCAGAAUAUGAAGCCCUGAUAGCAGGUUUGGAAUUGGCUAAGGCAGUGAAAGCAGAUAGGGUGAAAAUCAGAACUGAUUCUCAGCUGUUAUGUCAGUGAAAGAUUUCAACCGAGAGAUGGGAAGAUGGAACAGUAUUUGAAGAAAGUUAAGCAGAUGAUGGGGAAGUUCGAAGCAAUUGAGGUGAUACAAAUCCUAAGGGAGCAGAAUAGUAGAGCAGAUAUCCUGGCUAGGAUGGCAGCUAUAGCAGACCCGAAAAUGCUUAAGUCAGUCCCUUUGGAGGUGAAAACCAACCCUAGCAUCGAGCAUAAUCUGGAGGUGAUGCAGAUAGAACAAAAAUGCUCGUGGAUGGAUCCGAUAAUUUCAUACAUUAGAGACAGGGUAUUACCACUAGAUAAGCUGCGAGCAUGAAAGAUCAGAGCCCUGGGCUCAAGGUACACAAUGAUUGAGGGGGUGCUAUAUCGACGAGGAUAUACACUACCGUUCCUUAGGUGCUUGGAUGAGGAUGAUGCGGACUACGUACUGAGAGAGGUACAUGAAGGAAUUUACGGAAACUAUUCUGGUGGGAGCUCUCAUGCCCACAAGGUUCUGAGGCAGGGAUACUUCUGGCCGACGAUGCACCAGGACGUGCAGGAGAAGACCAGGAGCUGUGUAAGCUGUUAGAGUUUUGCAAGUUUCUCCAACCAACCACCAGAGAAGCUCACCUCUAUGGCCUCCCCUUCGCCAUUUGCUCAAUAGGGAAUUGAUUUGAUCGGGUCAUUGCCAAAGGGACGAGGAGCGGCAACACAUGCAAUAGUAGCGAUAGACUAUUUCACGAAGUGGAUAGAGGUAGAAGCCCUUAGCAGGAUCACAGAGAAAAAGACAACUGACUUUGUAUGGAGAAACCUGGUCUGUCGGUAUGGGAUCCCUUAUGCGUUGAUAAUAGAUAAUGGCAGGCAGUUUGAUAACCAGAACUUCAGGGACUUCUGCCGGAACCUCGGGAUAGAACCGAAGUAUUGCUUGCUAGCUCACCCUCAGUUUAAUAGGCAAGUAGAAGUUGCCAACAAGAUGAUCAAAAGGCUCUUGAAAACCAGGCUUGGAGCAAAAAAGGGUGCUUGGGUUGAUGAGCUAUCAGGUGUUUUAUGGGCAUACAGGACAACCCACAAAACAGCAACUGGGGAGACGCCGUUCGCCUUGGCCUUCGGACAUGAAGCGGUCAUACUAGCUGAGAUAGGAACAACCACCCACCGGACAGAUCAUUUCAAUGAGCAGGAGAACAACGAGCAGAUGUGCCUGAAUCUUGAUUUGCUAACUGAGAGGAGGGAGCAAGCAUCGAAGCGAUCAGCCAUUUACCAGCAGAGGGUUGCUCGGUAUUAUAACCAGAAGGUGCAUAUACGGCAGUUCAAGGUCAAAGAUUGGGUGCUAAGGAGAGUGAAUCAGAACACCAAAGACUCGACUCAAGGAGUGCUUGGACCAAAUUGGGAGGGGCUAUAUAGGGUCAAGCAGGUAGCGGGACCAGGAGCUUACAAGCUUGUUCGCACGGAGGGCCACGAGGUGAAACGGCCAUGGAACGCAGCGCACCUCAGGAAAUAUUUCCAGUAAGACUUGCUUGUGUUUUAAAAUUAUUUCAAUUUGUUUUUGUUGCUAAGCAUUCUUAUAUAAGUUGAAGUCUGCAAUUAAUGAAACGUCGAGGAAUUUCAUUCACUUGUAACUGUGUAAAAAAUUUCUAAGGCAUGCAAAGGCUCACCAAGUCUCAAAGCCUGUUUUAUGGCGAGAUCAGAAGCCAAGCGUGCCAAGAUCUGCUCGACCAAGAGAAGGUGAGCAGAAUCCCAAGCAUUGAAAAAAUUUAUAAGGCAUGCAAAGGCUCACCAAGUCUCAAAGCCUAUUUUAUGGCGAGACCAGAAGCCACACGUGCCAAGAUCUGCUCAACCAAGCAAAGGCGAGCAGAAUCCCAAGAAUUGAAAAAAAAAAAUUCUAAGGCAUACAAAGGCUCACUAAGUCUCAAAGCCUGUUUUAUGGCAAGACCAGAAGCCAAGCGUGCCAGGAUCUGCUCGACCAAGCGAAGGUGAGCAGAAUCCCAAGCGUUAAAAAAAUUUCUAAGGCAUGCAAAGGCUCACCAAGUCUCAAAGCCUGUUUUAUGGCGAGACCAGAAGCCAAGCGUGCCAGGAUCUGCUCGACCAAACAAAGGCGAGCAGAAUCCCAAGCGUUGAAAAAAUUUCUAAGGCAUGCAAAGGCUCACCAAGUCUCAAAGCAUGUUUUAUGGCGAGACUAGAAGCCAAGCGUGCCAGGAUCCAAGCGAAGGCGAGUAGAAUCCCAAGCGUUGAAAAAAUUUAUAAGGCAUGCAAAGGCUCACCAAGUCUCAAAGCCUGUUUUAUGGCGAGACUAGAAGCAAGCGUGCCAGGAUCUGCUUGACCAAGCGAAGGCGAGCAGAAUCCCAAGCGUUCAAAAAAUUUCUAAGGUAUGCAAAGGCUCACCAAGUCUCAAGGCCUGUUUUAUGGCGAGACCAGAAGCCAAGCGUGCCAGGAUCUGCUCGACCAAGCGAAGGCGAGCAUAAUCCCAAACAUUGAAAAAAUUUCUAAGGCAUGCAAGGGCUCACCAAGUCUCAAGCCUGUUUAUGGCGAGACCAGAAACCAAGCGUGCCAAGAACUGCCCGUGCAAGAGAAGACAAUCAGACCCUUAAACUUAAAAUAAUUUACGACUACGAGACGAGAAAGAAAAUGAGGACAUUCUUAUUGAUUUAUCAACAACCAUAAAAAGCUGCUAGUCAUAGCAUAUAACGUUUCAAAAAGCAACUACAAAACAAAAUACAAUCAAGAGGAUGGCGGGUCAGUAAGCCGAAUAGCCUCGGUCGGCUGGUCCACCUCAGGUGCAGGGGGGUAUCACCAGUAGCAUCCGGGGGGUACUCGCCUCAGCGACAUCAGCAGGGAUUGCACGAGGAGGAGUGUUUUCCUCCUCAACCGUAGUUGGCUCCACCUCUUCGGCGUCCUCUUUUGCUGCCUCCUCAUCCAUAUGCUGAGCAAAACCAGCAGCAAGCUCGUCCAUUUUCAGAUCAGGAUGCUGCUUCCCAAGGACGGCCAUGAUGCAACGAUAGAAGUGUCGAAGCCCCUGGUCAUAUUGAUUAUCAGCUUCCUUCUCCAGGUUCUCGACCUGAACCUUGUGGGAAUCCCGAAGAGAUUCGAGCUGGGCCUCGUACAUAGCCUGCUGUCUUUGCAGAUCCUCUUUGACCUUAGCCAGCUCAUCCUCAAGAGUAAUGACCUUUGCUUGAGCAAGAGACUCUUGCUCUGUCAAUUUCAAGUUCUCGAGAUUCAGGUCUCCUGCUCUCUUCUCGGCAGCAUCAGCCUUGGCCUUGGCCGAUUGAAUGUCCUCUUUCAUCUUUCGGUCAUAACGGCCAACCUUCGCCUUACAGUAGGUGGCCAUACAGCCGAGGUGAAAAGCACUAUACUGCAUAGCUCCCACCAGCUCGCCCAGAGUGCUACCAUCAAAGUCCUCCAGGUCCUUCUUGCUCACGAGUUUGGAAAACUCAUUGAUGUAGAGGACCAAAUGUUCUGGUCGAUUGUCAGAUAAACAGGGUCUCGGCCCAGCUGGAGGAGAAGAGGAAGCGGGAUCAGUUGCUGCUCCGCUAGCUUCUCCGGCUCUGGCAGGAGGAGGUGGUAAGGUCGUCAAGGGAGGAAUCUGCUGCACAACGUUCACCCGCUUCGCUGGGGGGGCACCUUUAUUCUGGUCCUGCUUGGUAGCAUGAGGUCGAGGACGUCUCCGAUUCAGAGCCCCGAUAACAGCGUCCUCCAUCCCAGGGCCAGUGGACACCAAACGAGAUUCGAGCAAGUUGUAGGUGGUUAGCAACUCUCGGUGCGAGCAGGAAUUGGCCAAUACAGCCUCGACCCGCUUGAGUGGCUCAAGUUUGAGCGAGUAGUGCACACCCCAAGAACCUGAAAUUCGAGCAGGUAUUGGAUUAGAGACAAAUAAGCAAAAUGAGAAUGACUAUGGAGACAAGACAUCUGAAGCGAGCAGACAACCUGGGACCACGAAACGGGGUGGGACGCGGUAAUCCUUCCCGUCAAUCUGUGCAACUUGACCCCAGGGACCCCCAGCAAAAAAGAAUUUUUUCUUCCAAGUCCCACCACCACCAGUUAGAAGAUCGGUUAUGGGUUUCCUGGUCUUGGUACUAGAUUGGAAGUAAUACCAGCCAGCAUCUUUGGGGCUGCUACAGGUGCUUCACCUCGUCAACUAUUGGCUUGCUUUGGCAACAUCUGUCCCACAAUAUGAACAGACCAUAAAGUACUCGCCACCCAUUGGGGUUCAGUUGACCAGGAGCUAAAUUCAACCCAUUGAGUAUUCGGGCAAAGUAGGGCUGUAUGGGGUACCUUGGCCUAAGUUUAAAACUCUCUAGAAACAGAGUAACAUAUCCCCUAGGAGGCCGGCUGGGGGUAUCCUUUUUUCCUGGGAUCCUAAGGGGAAUUUCAUCAGGGAUGCUGUAUCUAGCCCGGAGACUAACUAGCUCAUCUACUGUGGUCGUACACGUCAUAAAAUCAAUAGCGUUAUUCUGUGAUAGAGCUCUACCUCCUACCGUGCCCCUCUUAUUUGGUCGCGAUGUUCCUGGUGAGGACAUCUCACCAGAAUCAUUUCCCUGAUCUUUACUCAAAGUGUCUUCCAAACCAGAAGAACCCUCGUCGUCACUAUUUCCGAUCGAGGAGGUUACUUAGCGGGACAUCCUCCUAGCACUAGUCGCAACACUAGGUCUAAGGGGUUCUAAGGGGAUCCUGGGGUCAAAAGUAGAAUCGGCGAGCAGACUAGGCAAGAAGUCUAACUCGUCGUCAUCAAUCUCAAUGACUUUCUCCUUACCUUUCGACAUUCCCUAAACUAUAACCAGAACUGCACCACUAAACACUACCCAAGCAAAACGUAAAAGAAAUUGUUUACAACUAUCCACGACCGAGGAAAAAAGAAAUAAUACCUGAAGUCGUGACUUAGUCGGAGAGAGACAAGGAAUGAAGCUUUUAUGCCGAGGGAGAGGAAGGACUCAUUCGCCGGAGAGACAAAAACGGAGUAAAUGAGGAGUUUCUCUUUUGGAGUUUCGGGUUUUCCAAGUGAGGAACAAACUCUUGGGCUGCCAGCAUUUAACGGCGCAAAUCCCAAGGGUUUCAUAACCGUCUGUUUGAAAUUCAAACGAAGGGGUAGAUUACUGCCAUAUCACCUCAUCCGCAAUUAAAUGCGACACGACUCUUGGCAGCCUUUUCCUACCUCGCACAAGCCGAGAUUGUUGAGUUUCCACUGUCGGCUCACUACGUUGCCCAACACCAAAAACUGGGGGACCGGUGUUUGGGGAUGUAUUCUGACGAGACCAGCCUUGAUGAGCAGAAGCCUAGUAGCAGGAGAGCAGGCGCAGGAAUAUUCUGCUCGUUCACGAGUAGGCCAUCAACGAGGCCGGUAUCCUGCUAAUGGCUAAGGCGAGGAGACCCAGUGAAUGGCAGUUGGCGAGACGUACACUCCAACCCGAGCAUCAAGGCACGGAGACCACGCGACCACCCACGAUUACGGAAACGAAGCAUCCACUUCCGAGAGAUGGGAAGGUAAUGGGCGAGGAUUGAGGGAAGGUCUGAACUCAGGAGAAGCCUACAAAAAGGUAGCUAACGAAGGUAAAAGGGUUAGAACUUUUAAUACUGAAAUUGAGAUAAAGAAAGCAUUCAAUAAUCAAUACCAAAAACAAGCCCUAAGAUUAGUGGCUAACGUUCCCAGGAACACAAAACCUUCAUAUCUGACUUGAGCGUCGGAGGGUUUACACCGGGAAAACAACCGGCGUGCUCUGACUUGUUUCUGUGUACGCAAGAAUUGUUGGAGAAGAAAGCAUACGAGGAGUGAUCCUGAUCGUGGUCGAGUUGGUUGAGCAGAGGUCCUGGUUGUGGUAGAUAGGGUAACCAGAAUCUUGCAUCAACACAUUGUUUGGUGCAUCAAGCCACCAAAGUACAAUUUGCAAGUCUUUAUAUAAACAACGGACUGAGCAAUUUCUUAGAUUGCAAGCAAACCUGGAAAUGAUCUCUUAACUUACACGCAAUAGUAAUUAGCAUGCAAUCUUCACAAAUCAGCCGUGUGCAAUUUGCUUGAUCUAUGCAAUCCAAGCUUGCAGAUCUUCAUUCAUUUGCUUCCUAGAUAACUGCUUUGUAUGUCGCUUCCGGCCCUAGGUAAUAACAUAUCUGAGUUCUCUUCCAAUAAAGGAAUGUAUCAUUUUGUAAAGUACGGGAUAAGUUAAAAAAAAGGGUAAAUUUCCUCCUAUCCUUUUAUUAAAUUGACAUACUUCAAUUUAUCUAUAAAAAGUAUGAAAACUCUAAUCUACCCCCAAAUACUGUUAUUUUUAACAGUUGACCGACAUUGACUUAAAAAAAUAUAAGAAUACCCUUAAUCCUAACUACUAACUUUAUUACUGUUCAAAUUUAUUGCUGUUAGGGCUAGUUACAUUUUCGUAUUUUUUUAAGUCAAUGUUGGUCAACUAUUAAAAAUAACAGUAUUUUGGAGGUAGAUUGAAGUUUCAUACUUUUAGUAGGUGAAUUGAAGAUUAUCAUUUUAACUGGGGGUAGGAUGAAAUUUACUCAAAAAUAAAAAAUAUAUAUAUUUUAAUACAUUACAGAAUAAAUAAAAUACAAUAUAUUUUUUUACCUUUUAACUUGUCAUUUAUUUUAUUCUCUUAGUUUAAUAUGGUGGACACGAUUAGCAAAAAAUAUAUUUGUAAAUUGGUAUUUUAUUGGACAUGGUUCAAAAAUGAAUUAAUAAAAAAUCUAGUAUUGAAGAGGACAUGGUUAAAAAAUAAAUUGAUGCAGUUGCAAAUUUGGCGACAGAAUUCCCAAUUGUGCCAAAUUUGUGUUCAAUUAUUAAUUAAAUUAUUGAAUAACAUAAUUAAUAGUGUGUAAAUUGGAGCAAAUUCCCCUUGCUUAGACAUACUGCCAGCAAGAAAAGAUGAUCCAGAAAGAAUGGUUAAUAAAGCAGAAAAAGAUAGAAGUGGACAGGGUUCAUGAUUGAAUUCUCAAAUACCCUGCAGAUUUGGUUAAAAAUUAUAGCAUAAGAUUAAAUUGUGAUUACAAAUUUACUCUUUUUUUUCUCUUUUUCCUCUCCUUUAUAUUUUUAAUAUUUAUGGACCAAAGAUAAAUAAUAAUGCACAUAGCAUUAGAUCUUGUCAUUUUCAUAUAAUUCUUAAUCUGAUCUUGUCAUUUUUUUAUAAUUCUUAAUCUGAGUGUAGUCUAGUGUGUGUAGAGCUAUUGUUCACUAUUUAACAUUGAUUUUUAUUUAUUAUCUAGUUAUAUUUUUUGUUUUAAGGAAAAAAAUCGUUUGUUGGGUUUUUCUUUUGCAAGUUAACUUCCUAGCAAACGGGUUGUGAAAGUUUUUUAUUUUUAUUUUUAAUUUCUUCUAUUGUAAAUAAAAGUUUAUAAACUAACCCUCACGUAUUGUUGUUACCAAACACUCAUGGUCCGUUUAUUUACCAUCUUCGAAAUGAGCUAAAAUAGGAAUGAAGAAUCAGAAUCAGAAUAGAAUGUUUACUUUAACUAUAGGAAUCGAAACUUAAUGAGCUAUUUUGUCAUUGAUGUUUACUUUGUCUUAUAAUCGGAAUAUAUUGUUACAAGUUAUUAAAUUGACCUUUAGUUGAUUAUGAUGAUGAUCAUGAUCAUAUUGUUGUUGUUGUUGUUAUUAUUAUUAUUAUUAUUAUCAUUAAAAAAAAGUUAAAAGGAAUUUUUAUUUUCACUAAGAGUACAAAUAUUAAUUCACUUCUCAUUCCCACCUCUCGCUUGGAAAUGAGAUUCCCAUUUCACAUUCCCAAACUUCUAGAGCCCACUCAAAUUUCAUUUUCAUUCCCCUUCUUAUUUUGGAAGUAAACGCUGACACAACUUAAAAGUAAUUUUAAACUUCUAAGUAUAAGAGUGUCUUGUUAUAUUAUAGCUCGAUGAGUCCGAAGUCGAUCAACAGCGAAAAUAUUUAAUUUGUUUAUUUUAUUUUAUCUAAAAAUUGAAAUUAAAACUUGAAUAUAAACAACUUAAUUUAAAUAAAAAUAUGAAAUUGAACUAAUUAGGGUCAUGGAUCCACUCUUAAAAGUAAAUAAAAGUUAUUAAAAAAAUUUAGCCAUUUUUUUUAGAUUUAUUACCCAAAAGAUUAAUUAUAAAAUUAUUAUUAUUUUCCCUUUAAUUUUAUGAUGGAUUAAGGAUUUAUUGUGCCAAAAUUUACUUUGUCUGCAAUAAGUCAAAAUACCAUUUCACCAUACCUUAUAUUAAGAUCUUAAGAAUUUAUUGUGCCAAAUUCAUUUGUUUGUCUACAAUAAAUCAAAAUUUCAAAAUAUAAAAUAUGUAUAAAAUUAAAUAGAAAAUAACUUAAUUUAUAAAAUUAAAAAUAGAAUUUGAUUAAAUCAUAUUUAUUUCCUAAGAGUUUUACCUUCCCCUAACUAAUAAUAUUUAGCUAAGCAUAAUUGAAAUAAAAAGAAGUAUUAAAAUUAAAUUACUUAUAAUUAAAAGUAAUAAAACAACUAAAAUUGAAAAUAAAACUAAUUUUAUUUAUGAAAAUAAUUAUACAAAAUAUUAAAAACACACCUGAAAAUCAAAAUUACAAGGGAUGGAGAGAAAUUGAGAAGAAGAGAAUUGUAGAAAGAUGAUUAAAAAGAUAAAAAUGAGGCUCUAUUUAUAGAAAAAUAAAUUCAUAAUCUAGUGCUUUGCGGUCCAUCAUAAGCUUCAUGCAUGUGCUCCUCACAACCAUUAGAUCAAGAUCCAAUGGCUGGUCAAACUUCAAAAGUCAACAUCACACGUGGCAUCAUUUGACUCGUCCGAUUUGACCAAAGAACGGUUGAGAUUUGACGGGUUAAUGGGUGGAUUGGUCAACCCGAAUACAAAGAUUCGGAUCCUACAACUUACUUCACCAACCAUUGCCACGUGGCACAAUCAUGGCCAUUGAAUCAUGAACUGUUGAGAUUUAGUCAAAAUUGCCUGCUAUCCCAUGCACUCAUAUCUAUUGUAAGCUCAUUUCAUCAUCCAAUCAGUGCUCGGUCAACAAGAAAAUUCAACUUUUUUACACAAGCCCAAUUUUAAGCCGAUCUUGACUAAUCUUAAGGUUUUCGGACCUCCGUUUAUCUGUUUAGAGCCUCGAAUUACGUGAAAUUAAUAUUUUUCCUAAUAAACACAUAAAAAUACACAAAAUUAAAUAUAUUUAAAACAUAAUUAAUAAUUCCUAAUAUAUUACAUAAACACAAAUAUAAAUUAUAACAUAAGCAUAAAAUAACAUAUUAUCGCUUGAUAGUUAAACAAUUUUUAACACUAAUCAAACACAUCAUCAUAAUUUUAUUUUAGAUAGCCAUAGUUUUUAAUCUACAACAGUAUCUUAAAAGUCACAACACUUCACUACAAAAAAAUUCUUAGGAAAUCUUAAUGAAAGCACAUUUCAUAUAAUUAUGGUAAAAUAAUUAGUAAUUCCUACUAAUUAUUCAUUUUUAUAUUUCAAUAGAUCUAAUGAUUUAUAUCCAAUUCAAUAGUAGAUAUAAAUGAUGGCUUAAAUAUCACUGUUUAACUUGAACUUUAUUGACUGUGAAAAGAAAGAGAGUGUGUAUGUCUAUGUGCAAUGUAAAAUUUGAUGGCGAGCUAUCAAAUGGUUUCAGGCUAUGUUUAGGGCAGUUGCAUUGUCACAACACAGUCCGUAAGAAUAUAAAGGGUGGAGCAGCUGCCCUAAAUGCACCCUUAAUUUGUCUGUGUGCCCAACAAAGGCCACACACCCCGCCCUAGGAAAAACAUUUGCAAUUAGAAAAUUGACACGACUUAAAAGUAAUAUUUAACUCUCAAGUAUAAGAGUGUCUUAUUGUAUUAUAACUCGGUGAGUCCGAGGUCGAUCCACAGAGAAAAGAUUUAAUUUGUUUAUUUUAUUUUAUCUAAAAAUUGAAAUUAAAACUUGAAUAUAAACAACUUAAUUUAAAUGAAACUAUGGAAUUGAACUAGUUAAGGUUAUGGAUCCACUCUUAGAAGUAAAUAAAACUUAUGUUGUGUUUACUUGCUGGAGUGGGAGUGAGGAGUGUGGAUUCCUCCCACUCCAGCGUUUACUUACUUAAAAUGGGGAGGGAUUGGGAGUCCCACUCCGUGGGCCCCACCCAUUUUUGGAGUGGGGAGUGGGAGUGGGACUCCCAUUGGGGGAGGUGGGAGUGGGAAUCCACUCCCACCUCUCCCAUUUCUACCCUUUUUUUAUUUUAUGUUUUAUAAUUAAUAAAAUAAAAUAAAUAAUAUUAUAUUUAUUUAAAUAAUAAUAUUAUAUUUAACUAAAUAAUAAUUUACAUUGAUUCUAAGUUAAAAUUAUUUUAAAAUAAUAUUAUUAUAUUAAUAGAGAAUUAAUAAAUAUAAUAUUAUUAUAUUUAUUUUAAAAAUAAUAGUACUAUAUUUAUUUAAUAAUAAUAAUAAAUACUUUAUUCUAAGAAAAUAUUAAUUUUGUACUAAAUAAUAUUAUAUUAUUAUUUUAUAUAAUAAUAAAUUUAAUAUAAUUAUAUUAAAUAAAAUAACAUUUCAUUUUAUAUUAAAAUUAUAAUUAAUAAUUUAUUGUUCAUAAUUAAGAAUAUUAAUAAUUAUAAUAAAUUUACAAAUAUAAUAAAAUAAAUAUUAUUCAUUAAAUAUAUUUUUUAUUAGUUUUGUAAUUAAAAAUUAUAAUUCUUUAACUAAGGAUAAAAUUGUAAUUUGAAACUAUUUACUCCCAAUCCAAGACAAAGUAAACACAUAAAUUGGAUUCUGAUCUCCAUUCCAUGCUUCCAUUCCAGUGUAAGUAAACAACCUACUCCCACUCCCACUCCACACUCCCAAUCCUAGGAUUCCCAUUCCCCAGGAUUCCCAAUCCAAUCCAAAAAGUAAACGCUACCUUAAUAAAUUCUUUUUGCCAAUUUUUUUAGAUUUAUUACCCAAAAGAUUAACUAUACAAAUUAUUAUUAUUUUCCCUUUAAUUUUAUGAUGGAUUAAGUAUUCAUUGUGCCAAAAUUUAAUUUGUCUACAAUAAAUCAAAAUACCAUUUUACCAUAUCUUAUAUUUAGAUAAAAAGAAUUUAUUGUGCCAAACUCCCUUGUUUGUCUACAAUAAAUCAAAAUCUCAUAAUAUAAAAUAUGUAUAAAAUUAAAUAGAAAAUAAUUUAAUUUAUAAAAUUAAAAAUAGAAUUUCAUUAAAUCAUAUUUAUUUCCUAAGAUUUUCACUUCCCCUAACUAUUAAUAUUCAGCUAAACAUUUUUUUUAUAAAGGAAAUUACUAAAAUUGAAAAACACAUAAUUAAAAAUGGAAUUUGAAAAUUGAAAUAAAACUAAUUUUAUUAAUUGAAAAUAAAUUGUAAAGAGAGAUGAGAAGAAGAAUUUGGGGGAAAAGAAGAGAAGAGAAUGUGUGGAGAGGUGUGUUCACCCCCCUCUAUUUAUACUAAUACAUGGUAAAUUCACACCACACAAAUAAAAAAAUCUAAUUACAUCUUAACCUUACAUUUGUCCCACUAAUAAAAUAUAAACCUAACAUAUCCACUCAAGCACAUCCAACACAUUCCACUAACAAUUACCAUACCUAAUAUGAUAAAAACUUAUAAUUUUACAAUUACCACAUUUACCGUGGUAAAAACGUAAAAAAAAAUACAACAAAAGUAUUGAAUCCUCCUCGACAAUAACAUAAUUUCUCGGACUUCUGGAAUCCAAAUUUGACAUCCAUGCAUUUGUUCGGAGCCUCAAAUUGCAUGAAAUUAUUAUUUUUACCUAAUAAACACACAAAAAUACACAAAAUCAAAUAUUUAGAAAAAUAAUUAGAAAUUCACAAUAUGUUACACAAUUUAAAAUAUAAAUUACAUUAAUAAAACAAAAUAACAUUUUUAUCCCUUAAUAAACAUAUAAUUUUUAACACUAAUAAAAAACUAGUGUUUUUUUUCAUCUAUAAUAAUUAUUUUCCCUUUUAAGGCUUUAACUUAUUCGUUAAGAAAAGAAAUUAUUUAUAUGAUAGAAACCUAAAUAGUAAAUGGAAAGAGCGUUUCUUUUAAUAUGCGCCAAAUCUGUGUGCUGACAUCAAUAUUAGCCAACACAAAUUUAGUUAUGGAUGUGACUUUCUGGGAUUUUAAGGAUAUUUAGAUUUAUUUUAUACAUUACUAUCUUAAUAACAAUGAAAAUGAUAUUUACACUGGGUCAAUCCCCGGGUCAAACCCCGAAAUUUAAACAUAGCGUUUCGUUAAAGCAAAAAAUGACGUCGUUUUUACUUGCCAAGUAUUUCUCAUUUUCUUUGUCGAUGUAGCUCCACCCAAAUAUUUUACCUUUCAUUUCCUUUGUUGAUUGAGCUCCAAGCCACCAGCUCCAACCACAGCCAAGUAUUUCCCCUUUCAUUUCCUUUGUCGAUCAAACUCCGGCCACUAGCUCCAGCCACAGCCAAAUAUUUCCUCUUUCCUUUGUCGAUCCAGCUCCAGCCACAACCUAAAAUUGCCAUUCGCAAUCCAAUAUCCGCAUAUGAUUCAUUUUCUCAUUAAGGUAUAAAUUUUUUGCUCAUCUGGGGUUUUAUUUUUCUUUUCUUAAUUGGAUGGAGAAAUUGGUGUGAUUUAUUAUGUAUAGUAUGCCAUCUAAUCGGGGUAAUUUGGGAUUUUUUUUCUUUUACUUUGGUAAAAUUUCUUUAGUAGCAGUUGCUUCGAUUAAUUGAUUGUGUUAGAUGUUUGAUAAUGUGAAAAAUCACAAUGUGAAUUUAGAUAAUACAAAAGAUGACAGAGGAAGAAAAUGAAUGAUGUUAUAUGUGUUGUCCAAAUUUUAUUGAACUCACAAGUGCACGAAUCUAUUGUAGAAUAGAUUAAUGGUAACGAGUGUAGAUCCCACAAGGAGGUGGAUUUUAAUUGUGUGUAAAGUUAAUUUUCUAAGUGAGUGAUUGGAUUUGUGGUAGAAGUAAUUUAAAUUAUCCUAAAAUUUAAAUUAAAAUGGCGGGAAUAAAUUAAAGUGAAAUCUAUUAAAAUGAAGAGUUUGAGUAUCUGGAUCUGCAUUAACAUGCACCAUGGGCUUAAUAUUUCUUAUUAGUGCCAAUUAAAUCAUACGGGGGGUUUCCACUCCUUAUGAACCACACUCUAAUCAAUAUAGCGCUAAGGUCUUAUCGUGCCAAAUAGUAAUAACAUUGUACUAGGGAGCCAGAUAUACUAGUGCGAUAUCUAGACAAGAUUAUUACUAUCUGUUGACGAAAAGUCAAAACAUCCAUAAAAAUCAAAGGGAAAAAGAAAGUAAAUUUACCAAAUUAAGCCCAUGGAAUAUGUUGAGACUCCACCUUCAACCCAAGUUUGAAAGAAAAUUAGCUACUCAUAAUUGAAUUAGGGGUAAAAUAAAAUUUAUUAAAAUACAUAGAAAAUACAAGAUGGAGAGGAAAUUACAGAAAAUUGAGCUCAAAAAUGAAUUCAGGGGUGUCAAAUUAGGGGGGAGCCUCCUUUUUAUAGAUACACUGAGUAAAUCAUGGCCAUCAGAUUAAAAACAAUUUGCACGCUCAGGAUUGCGCCACGUGUCAAUAGUACGCAGUUUGACCAUGCGGUUUGUGUUGAGUGUUAGAAAAUGCAUAUUUAUAAAGGAGAAAACCGUCAUUUUACAUUUCAAGUCUUAUUAACAACCCUUACUUUUAUGUAUUUAACCUUCUUGUGAUUUAAUUACAUGUGUUUUAUUUUAAUUAAGUAUUUUAUGUAUUUUAGGGGCAUUAUAGUCAUUUCACAAUAAAGGAGAGAUCAGAUGGCAAAACGGACAUCACUUUUGAACUCAGGACGGUCGAAAACCUUAGGAGGGGCAUAAAAGGAAAAAUGGCACUAUUCACAUGUACGGUACUAUUCACGUAUACGGUACUGUAUAUGUUACUGUUCACGGCACUGUUCACAUAGACGGAUCGAUGACGUGGCAUUGACCGAUGAUGUGGCAUUGACUGAUGAGGUGUCACGGUCCUGUUGGACUAAAAUUCUUAUGUACUGUUGAUGGUGACGUGGCAGCAUAUCAGUGGACGAAAAAUCUCGCGUACGGUGCAUGCAUCACACAGGAUUAUUUUCAACCAAACCGCGUUACUGUUCAUCCGGGUCAAACCGUGUUACUGUUCAUCCGCGUGGUCAAACCGUGGACUGUUGACUGAUGACGUGGCGCAAUCCUGAGCGUCCAAACUGUUUUUAAUCCGAUGGCCAUGAUUUACUCCAUGUAUCUAUAAAAAGGGGGCCUUCCCCCCCUAAUUUGAUAUCUCUGAAUCCAUUUUUGGGAUCCAUUUUCUGUAAUUCCCUCUCCAUCUUGUAUUUUCUUCGUAUUUUAAUAAAUUCCCAUUUUGCCCCUAGUUCAAUUAUGAGUAGCUAAUUUCCUUUCAAGCUUGGGUUGAAGGUGAAGUCUCAACAUGUGUCAUGGGCUUUAUUUGGUAAAUUUAUUUUCUUUUCCCCUCUAGUUUUUGUGGAUGAUUUGACUUAUCGUCGACAAAUAAUACUGAUCUUGUCUAGAUACCGCCUUGGUUACACCGGCUCUCUAGUAUAAGGUUAUUAUUAUUUGGCACGAUAAGCCCUUAGCACCAUAUUGAUUAGAGCGUGGUUCAUGAGGUGUGGAUUUCCCCCUCAUGAUUUAAUUGGUAUUAAUACGGAUUAUUUAGCCCAUGAUGCAUGUUGAUACGGAUCCAGAUACCCAAGUACGUCAUUUCAAUAGAUUUCGCUUUAAUUUAUUCUCGUCAUUGCAAUUCCAAUUUUAGAAUUUAUUAUCGCCAUUUCAAUUCCAAUUUUAGGAUAAUUUAAAUCACUUCCAUCACAAUUCCAACCACCCAUUUUGCAAAAUUAAUUCUAUACACAAUUAAAAUCCUCCUCCUCGUGGGAUCGACACUCGUCACCAUUGAUCUACACUACAAUAGAUUCGUGCGCUUGCGAGUACAUUAAAAUUUGCACAACAAGUUUUUGGCGCCGUUGCCGGGGAGGUAAGUAGUUUUAAUUCAUAGAAUUAAUUUUUUUGAAUAAUUUCUUUUAUUUGUUUUCUUGUAUUUUUUUUAUUAUUAAAAAAAAAAAGAAAAAAAAAAGUAAAUCUCCAUUUAAAGGUUAGUAUUUCUUUUCUUUUUCUCUUCUUUAAAAUUUUGUAAUUUAAUUUUCAAUUUAUUUUUUUUCUUUCUUUGUAAUUUUUUGUUUAUUUUAUUAAUUUAAUUUUUAGUUAAUUUAUUUCACGUAUUUGUUUUUGUGUAUUUUUAUAGAAAGGUUGUAACAGCGUAAUAAGGUUAGUAUCGUAAUUUCUCCCUCUUCUUUAUUUUUAUUUGUUUUGUUCUCAUCUUUAUUUUUUAUUUGUUUUGUUCCCAUCUUUAUUUUUUGUUUUGUUUGCAUCUUUAUUUUUAUUUUAUUUAUUUUGCAUGCAUGGUCGUAGGUCAUUAUUACCUAAUCUUGAACCUAUAGACAUUGAACUAGAAAAAACACUUCGCACACAAAAACACAUUAAAAAUAAAUUUGGAAUGGAUUUACAAGCACCACAGGAGAGACCAUUUAAGGACUACUUCAGUCCUUUAGCUAAUUUGAGCACAUCAUGCAUAAGAUACCCAAAUGUAGCUGCUAGGAGUUUUGAAUUAAAACCUAGUGUGCUAAAUUGUCUCCCCACAUUCUAUGGCCUAGAAAAUGAGGACCCAUAUAAUCAUCUGAAUGAUUUUCAUGCCAUUUGUCAAACUUUUAAAUAUGAAAAUUUUUCAGACGAUGAUGUUAAACUUAGAUUAUUCCCAUUUUCUUUAAAGGAUAGAGCUCGUUCAUGGUUAAAUACUUUGCCUGCUAAUAGCAUUGCAUCAUGGGAACAAAUGGUUACAAAAUUUCUAAAUAAAUAUUUCCCAGUGCAUAAAACCAAUUCUAUUCGCAGGGAAAUUUCAGAGUUUACACAAAGAGAAGACGAGCAGUUUUUUGAAACUUGGGAGCGAUUCAAUGGGCUACUCUUGAAGUGUCCACAUCAUGGGUACGAAAAAUGGCACCAAUGUCAAUACUUUUUGGAGGGAUUAUUACCAAAUGUGCAAGAAUGGCUAAUGGCAACAAGUGGAGGAGAGCUAAUGUCAAAAAGUGCAUCAGAGAUUUGGGAAUUCUUCCAGCGACAAGCGGAUAAUUCCCAACAACGGAGUCGGUCACUCAGGAAUACCAGAAGAAUUAAAGGAGUAAAUGAGGUUCAAAUUGGCGAAUCCAGUUCAGAAAUUAAAGAAGUCAAAGCAAUAAUUGAAGGUCUCUCUCGACAAAUAGCAUCGUUAUCGACUGCUAAAUCAACAGAACCACAUGACCAUGACUCAUACCCAGAUCAAGCCAAUGCCAUAGGUGUAAUGAGAAAGCCAUCAAAUUACAACCCAUACUCCAACACAUAUAACCCUGGAUGGAGAGACCACCCUAAUUUUUCAUGGUCUCAAGGACUCCAACAGAAUGGACCAGCAGCUCCAGCUCCACCAAUGCAACCAAUUCCUCAAAUUCCUCAAGCCUCUCAGCCCCCAUUUAGACCAUUCAAUCAAAACCAAAACUACUCUCAACCCAGACCAUGGGAGGAUUCAUUCCAGAAUUUCAAGAAUGCUACUCACUCUACGAUUGAGCAACAGAACCGCACCAUUGAUGGACUACGAAAUGAGUUGAGAGCAGGCUUCAACUCACAAGCUCAAUCAGUUUCAAGCCUCGAGAAGAUGGUGGGACAACUUGCUUCUUCAGUUCAGACCUUGGCAAUGACUGUUGAGAAAGGAAAAUUUCCAAGUCAACCAGUGCCUAAUCCUAAAGGAGUACAUGAAGCAAGUACCAGUUCACCAUAACAGCAUGGAGAGGUCAAAGCAGUCAUGACCUUGCGAAAAGGACAGGAAGUCGACAACAAAGUGGAGAUGCCGGUGACAAAAGAAAAUCAAAUUGUACCUGUGAAUGUUGAAGACUCAUCACCGGAGGAGAAAGAAGAAACCAACCCACGAGAAUACGUUCCGAAAGCUCCAUUUCCUCAGAGGUUAGCUAAAGGGAAAAAGGGAAAAUCCACAGGUGAGAUUCUCGAAAUCUUCAAACAGGUAAGUGUUAACAUCCCUUUACUUGAUGCUAUUAAACAAGUUCCAUCUUAUGCCAAGUUUCUUAAAGACCUUUGUACUAAAAAGAGAAAUAUGCAUGUUCAAAAGAAGGCAUUUUUAACAGAAAAUGUUAGUUCUAUACUCCAACAUAAAAUUCCUCUAAAAUGCAAAGACCCAGGCUCCCCCACUAUCUCAUGUAGUAUAGGGAACCACACAAUUGAGAAUGCGUUGUUGGAUUUAGGAGCUAGUGUAAAUUUGUUGCCUUAUUCAGUAUUCGUGAAACUUGGACUGGGAGAAUUACACCCAACUCCAGUGGUGUUACAGCUUGCAGAUCGGUCCACGAAAAUACCUCGUGGUAUUGUGGAGGACGUGCUUAUCCAGGUAGACAAGUUUUAUUUUCCUGUUGAUUUCAUUGUAAUUGACACUCAACCAAUACAGGAUUCAAGGAAGCACAUCCCCAUUAUUCUAGGCCGACCUUUCUUGGCGACUGCGGAUGCUCACAUUCAAUGCAGGACUGGAAAUAUGCAGUUGUCCUUCGGCAACAUGACUAUGGAGCUAAAUAUUUUCAACAUUGCCAAACAACCUCACAGUGCAGAUGAUGGAAUUGUUGAUGUGGAUUUAAUAGAAACAAUAGUCGAUAAUACUUUUAUUUCAAACCUUAGUGAUGAUCCUUUACAAACAUGUUUAACUCACUUUGGUUUGGAUUUUGAUAUUGACAGAUCGGUCGAUGAGGUCAACGCCCUACUUGACUCAGCACCAUCCAUGGACACUAAUAAAUGGAAGUCAAGAGUUGAACAACUAGCACCAUCAGAGAAGAAACUCAUCCCAUCAUCAGAAUCACCACCGAAACUCGAGCUCAAACCAUUACUCAACACUCUGGAAUAUGCAUUUUUGGGAGAAGAAAGUACUCUGCCGGUAAUCAUCUCAUCAUCCCUAAAUGACGAACAAAAAGGUAAGUUGUUGGAUGUUUUAAAAGAGCACAAAGGGGCAUUAGGAUGGACCAUAGCAGACAUAAAAGGUAUAAACCCAGUAGACUGCAUGCAUUACAUUCACCUUGAUGAAAAUGCUAAAACUACUAGGGAGAUGCAACGUCGGUUAAAUCCUAACAUGAAAGAAAUUGUUAGAACUGAAGUCCUUAAGCUAUUAGAUGCAGGUAUCAUUUACCCAAUUUCUGAUAGUUCAUGGGUCAGUCCUGUACAAGUCGUCCCCAAAAAGUCAGGAGUCACAGUAGUUACCAAUGCUGAUAAUGAAUUGAUACCAACUAGAGUAACUACAUGAUGGCGUGUAUGCAUUGAUUAUAGAAAGUUGAAUUCUGUCACACGUAAAGACCAUUUUCCUUUACCAUUUAUUGAUCAAAUGCUUGAUAGAUUAGCAGGCCAUGAAUUUUAUUGCUUUCUAGAUGGCUACUCAGGAUAUAAUCAGAUUCCCAUAGCACCAAAAGAUCAAGAGAAAACUACUUUCACUUGCCCUUUUGGCACAUUUGCAUAUAGGAGAAUGCCAUUUGGAUUAUGUAAUGCACCUGCUACAUUUCAACGAUGCAUGUUGAGCAUUUUUUCUGAUAUGGUUGAACGAUUCCUUGAAGUCUUUAUGGAUGAUUUUGCUGUCUUUGGUGACUCGUUUGAUCAAUGUUUACAUCAUCUAACGCUAGUUCUGCAGAGAUGUACCGAGAAGAGCUUAGUCUUAAAUUGGGAGAAGUGCCAUUUUAUGGUAAAACAAGGUAUUGUUCUCGGUCACAUCAUUUCGAGCAAAGGUAUUGAGGUUGACAAAGCCAAGGUGGAUCUCAUUUCUAAUCUUCCUCCACCUAAAACAGUCAGAGAAGUAAGAUCUUUCCUUGGGCAUGCUGGUUUCUAUAGACGUUUCAUUAAAGAUUUUAGCAAAGUUUCUAGACCCUUAUGCAAUUUACUUGCUAAGGAUGUACCUUUUAUCUUUAAUGAUUCAUGUCUUAUGGCUUUUGAAAAAUUAAAGCAAUUGUUGACAUCAUCACCCAUCAUUCAGGCCCCAAACUGGAGCUUACCAUUUGAGCUCAUGUGUGAUGCAUCUGAUUAUGCAGUAGGAGCAGUAUUAGGACAAAGAGUUGAUCGAAUUCCCCACGUUAUUUACUAUGCUAGUAUGACCUUGAAUGAUGCACAGUUGAAUUAUUCAACUACUGAAAAAGAAAUGCUAGCAGUAGUGUUUGCAUUAGAGAAAUUUCGAUCUUAUCUCAUUGGUUGUAAAAUAAUUAUAUUCACAGAUCAUGCUGCUCUUAAAUAUCUUCUCACAAAGAAAGAUGCAAAAGCUAGACUAAUUCGUUGGGUGUUACUUUUGCAGGAAUUUGACUUGGAAUUCAAAGAUAAAAAAGGGACAGAAAAUGUUGUGGCGGACCACCUCUCUCGUCUCCAUUUUGACACAAUUACAGAGCCAUUAAUAUUAAAUGAGUCAUUUCCAGAUGAACAAUUGAUGAAUGUGGAAGUAUUACCUUGGUAUGCUGAUAUAAUUAAUUAUCUUGUUACAGGUAAACUUCCAGAGCAUUGGACCAAGCAAGACAAGGCUAAAUUCUUUGCGGAAAUAAAGAAUUUCUUUUGGGAUGACCCAUAUUUGUUCAAGUAUUGUGCAGACCAAAUUGUUAGACGAUGUGUCCCUGAAAAUGAAAUUCAGAAUAUUCUUUCAUUCUGCCAUGAACAAGCGUGUGGAGGCCAUUUCAGUGCUAAGAAAACAGCUACAAAAGUUUUACAAUGUGGUUUCUAUUGGCCAACUAUAUUUCGAGAUGCUUACACUUUCUGUUCUUCAUGUGAUAGGUGUCAACGAAUGGGGAGUAUUACACGAAGGAACAUGAUGCCACUAAAUCCAAUUUUAGUGGUUGACAUUUUUGACGUAUGGGGUAUCGACUUCAUGGGACCCUUUCCCCCUUCUUUUGGCCAUCAAUACAUAUUAGUUGGUGUUGACUACGUCUCGAAAUGGGUAGAAGCAAUUCCAUGUAGGACCAAUGAUCACAAAGUGGUGAUAGGAUUUUUGAAAAGCAACAUUGUUUCACGCUUUGGAUUCCCUCGAGCGAUAAUCAGUGAUGGUGGUGCCCACUUUUGUAACAAAGCAUUCAAAGCUCUUUUGACAAAGUAUUCAAUCACACACAAAGUGGCGACCCCAUAUCAUCCGCAAACCAGUGGCCAAGUUGAGAUCUCCAAUCGAGAAAUAAAGCACAUAUUAGAAAAAACAAGGAGGCCAGACAGAAAAGAUUGGUCAUUAAGACUUGAUGAUGCAUUAUGGGCAUAUAGAACGGCUUUCAAGACCCCGAUUGGGAUGUCACCCUACAGGCUAGUGUAUGAAAAAGCUUGCCACCUACCUGUGGAACUCGAGCAUCGUGCAUAUUGGGCCAUCAAGAAAUUCAACUUUGACAUGCAGCAAGCCAGCUCAGAAAGAAGAUUACAACUGGCAGAACUUGAAGAAAUUCGUAAUGAUGCAUACGAAAAUGCCAAGAUUUACAAGCAACGAAUGAAAGUCUUUCAUGACAAGCACAUUAUGAGAAAAUCGUUCACUCCAGGUCAGAAAGUGCUUUUAUUCAAUUCUCGUUUGCACCUAUUCCCAGGUAAGUUACGCUCUCGAUGGUUUGGUCCCUUUAUUGUUAAUACUGUUUUUCCACAUGGGGCAAUUGAAAUUAAGGACCCAAAGAAUGGUGUCACGUUUAAAGUUAAUGGUCAAAGAUUAAAGCCAUAUCUUGAGUACCAACCACAUGGAGAAGACACCGAAAUAAAUUUGAGUGACCCACCAGAUUUGAAUUGAUUUGUUUUUUUUCUUUUCGUUGAUUUGAUUUUUCUUUCUUUCUUUUUAUUAUUCUUUUGCUAAUUGAAAUUAUUUUUGCAUAAGUGUGUUUGUCUAACUAUUAAGUUUUCUCUUAUCAUUUUUAAUCAUGAGUACCUUACUUAGACCGUUCCUCCUGAACAUUCUUAAACCACUUCAACGUGUCAAAACUCAUCUCAAACGGCAAAUUCAAUUUUGUAAAACACAACGCAUUUGGGCUCUACAACCACCAGAGUUAGUAGCCUAUGUUGAGGGUUUAGAACGCCAACUCAGAGACAUUGAGAGAAGUGUUUACGACAUCCAGUUGGAGCUUGAGGUAAAUUCAAUAAGAGGACGAUUUUAAUUUUCUUUGUGCGUUUUAAUUUGUUUUUCUGUUUGUGUGCUUUAGUUUGUUACCCCGGUGAAGUGGCGGAUAACGGUACUCCGUGACAAUCAAGUCGGUUACUUCAGUUUCCCAUAAUAACUGACAUUCUGAGGCGAAAGUAUGGACAGAAACGAGAUUCUAGCGAAGCUUCACAAGCGAUUCCCUUCACUUCCUCAGAAUGCCCUCCUUACAAUCUAUAAAUCCCGGUCUGAACGCAUGCGAUUGCUCAUGAGGAAUAACAUACCUGCAGACAUCCGUUGGUUAAUCGAGGCUAAAGUACGAUUGGCAGGUGAGUUACCUCCUAAAUUCAUUGCAUACAUGCCUGGUUGUGGUAAAGGAAAUUACGCAAGAAAACGACGAGCUCGAAGAAUUUCUGUUGCUUGUCACAAGUGUGCCAGAAUGAGUUGCGAUAGAAACCCAUGUUCUUUAGGAAUGGUGUCUGAUAACAGGGAAGAUAAGAUUCAAUUCAUUAGGGAUGGCUUGAAUAAGGAGUCAUUGGAUGAUAUCCUUCUGUCUCUUGAAACGCAUCCCAGUGGAUAUGUGCAAGAAGCGAUUCUCCGGUUAUGGCCAUUAUUCCAGAAAGAGCAUGCACGAUAUAGUCUCGGGAAUCUGACUAUAAACAACCCUGUUUGUCAGUUUAUAAGAAAACUGGAUGGGAAGCCGAUCCUCGACCCAUAGAGGGCGUUCAAGCCGUUUCUGGACGUAAAACCAGAGGAAGAUGUGAGCCAUAGUCGCAACUACGUGUAAAUAUCCUUUUACUUUACUGUUAUUUUAUUUCAUUUCACUGUUGUUUUAUUAUUUGCAUUAUUGUCUUUAAUAAUUUUAUUACUGUUUGCUUUUUCCUUUUUACUGUUUCCUUUUUGACUCGCGAGCCACGUGCUUUACGCGUUAUUUGACACUGACAUGUUACCUCAUUCACAGCUGUGAUCCACUGUCACCAAGAUUCUUAAAUGUGAUUUACUUUUUGUCAAGCACUCACAAAUUAUUUUUGAGAAGUAUCACAAUGGCAGCCACUCCCAAUAGACAAUUCAAGAACAUUUGUGUGCUUUCUGGAUUUACCUAUGGCAAACAUAAAGAGUUCGUGGAGGCAGCCAUAGAUCUUGGCCGAAGUAUAGCAGCGAGAAAAUUACAUUUGGUGUAUGGAGGAGGUAACCGAGGGUUAUCAAAAAUGGUCUCAGAAGCAGCUUUUAUCAGAGGAAGUCAAGUGUUAGGCAUCAUCCCAAGAGUCAUAAAACCAUUGGGCAGUUCGUCUGACUCAUCAACUGGAGAAGAGUUAGUCGUCUCAGGUAUGCAAGAAAGAAUAACUGAAAUGCUUAAUCAUGCUGAUGCUUUUAUUUUCCUUCCAGGAGAUCUUGCAACACUAGAGGCACUUAUCACACUAGCAUCUUGGGCCCAUCUGCACAUCCACCAGAAACCCAUCGGUUUGUUAAAUGUCAAUAACUUUUAUGAUGGCUUUAUCGCAUUUCUUAACCAUGCAAUAAAAAACUAUUUCAUUCCUUCUAAUGUGAAAAAACUCUUUAUUUGUGCUCACACUGCUAAUGAGCUACUUGAUAUGUUACAAGCUUAUAAACCGGAGCCAGACCCCUGGACCUUUGUGUUGGAGCGACCAAAUAAUGAUGGUAACAGUAGCCGCAGUAAGAAGUACAAAUUAGAUUUAACUCUCCGCCUGUAAAUAUUUUCUUCUGUGUUGCACCACCCAGGUGAUGUCUUCUAAACUCUACUUCUUUCCUUUAAAACAUUGAGGACAAUGUUUCGUUCUGGUUGGGGGGAGGGAAUAGUCGACAAUUGUGGAAUCUUGGUUAAGUUUUUACUGAUUUUUUGUUGUAGAAACUAACUGUUGCUAACGUUUUGUGUUGAAGAUGGCUGAAUAUGGAGUGUAGUUACUCUAGAAACGCAUCUUCAUCGUUUUAAAAAAAAAAAAAAAAACUCGUUUUCUUCCUCUUUCUCCUUUAUAAAUAUGUAGUUUCAAAUUUUUGAGUCGAAGAUGGCUGAAUAUGGAGUGUAGUGCCUCUAGAAACGCAUCUUCUUAGUUAAAAAAAAAAAAAAAUUUCUUUUUCUAAUUAAUUUUUUCUACAUCAUUUUCACAUUUCUGCAUGCAUAUUUUCCUUUCAUGUUUAGAAUAGGUUGGGGGUAGAAUGUUGUUUAAAAAAAAAAAAAAUUGUGUUAUUUGUUUUAACAUUGGAUGACAUGAUUAAUUUCAAAUUUUAGUAUUUGUAUUAUCUUUGGUCUUAAGUGAUGUUACGCUAUGUUUGCUACUUUACAUGUUGAUGUCGGAGACAAAUAUGAGUUGCUUGAAGGAAUGAACAUGUCAUAAAUAAGUGCCAAGUGAGUUGUUGAGCCUAUCAUUUUCUUGGAGAGUAACCCUUUUGCCCAUUCUCUAUACAGCUUAGCAGUUUAUUAUUUUAUACACGAUCUCUAGAUUUCUUUUAAGUUAACCCUUUAAAAAAAAUAUAUGGUAAAAUUAAAAAAAAAAGAAAAAAGAAAAAAAAAUGUGUGUUGCUACAUUGGGAGGCCCAUCUAACUAGUAGAUAUGGAUAAUUAUUUAGAGCCCUAAAAGACGAUGGAAAGGCCAUCUUUGAUCCGUUUGAGCCUUUCUAGCCAUCCCUUUUAUUAAAUAUCCAUAGUUACCCCUUUUGAGCCUUUAAAAAAAAAAAAAAAAAAAAAGAACAAAAACCUUUUCUUUGUCAACUUAUCAUCUUGACCCACUCCGAUUUGGAGUAUUACCCAAUGUCUUUUAAGUUCCAUCACCUAUUUAUGUUUGAGAAAAUGUAAAUAAUUAUGUUGUUAAGUGAAGUUAUGCCAAAUAAAAGCAAAAAGAAAAAAAAAAACAAAAACAAAAGUUGUUGUUUCAAAAGAAUAAAAAUAACAAUAAUAGGUGAAUUAGGGGUAAAAUAAAAUUUAUUAAAAUACAUAGAAAAUACAAGAUGGAGAGGAAAUUACAGAAAAUUGAGCUCAAAAAUGAAUUCAGGGGUGUCAAAUUAGGGGGGAGCCUCCUUUUUAUAGAUACACUGAGUAAAUCAUGGCCAUCAGAUUAAAAACAAUUUGCACGCUCAGGAUUGCGCCACGUGUCAACAGUACGCAGUUUGACCAUGCGGUUUGUGUUGAGUGUUAGAAAAUGCAUAUUUAUAAAGGAGAAAACCGUCAUUUUACAUUUCAAGUCUUAUUAACAACCCUUACUUUUAUGUAUUUAACCUUCUUGUGAUUUAAUUACAUGUGUUUUAUUUUAAUUAAGUAUUUUAUGUAUUUUAGGGGCAUUAUAGUCAUUUCACAAUAAAGGAGAGAUCAGAUGGCAAAACGGACAUCACUUUUGAACUCAGGACGGUCGAAAACCUUAGGAGGGGCAUAAAAGAAAAAAUGGCACUAUUCACAUGUACGGUACUAUUCACGUAUACGGUACUGUAUAUGUUACUGUUCACGGCACUGUUCACAUAGACGGAUCGAUGACGUGGCAUUGACCGAUGAUGUGGCAUUGACUGAUGAGGUGUCACGGUCCUGUUGGACUAAAAUUCUUAUGUACUGUUGAUGGUGACGUGGCAGCAUAUCAGUGGACGAAAAAUCUCGCGUACGGUGCAUGCAUCACACAGGAUUAUUUUCAACCAAACCGCAUUACUGUUCAUCCGGGUCAAACCGUGUUACUGUUCAUCCGCGUGGUCAAACCGUGGACUGUUGACUGAUGACGUGGCGCAAUCCUGAGCGUCCAAACUGUUUUUAAUCCGAUGGCCAUGAUUUACUCCAUGUAUCUAUAAAAAGGGGGCCUUCCCCCCCUAAUUUGAUAUCUCUGAAUCCAUUUUUGGGAUCCAUUUUCUGUAAUUCCCUCUCCAUCUUAUAUUUUCUUCGUAUUUUAAUAAAUUCCCAUUUUGCCCCUAGUUCAAUUAUGAGUAGCUAAUUUCCUUUCAAGCUUGGGUUGAAGGUGAAGUCUCAACAUGUGUCAUGGGCUUUAUUUGGUAAAUUUAUUUUCUUUUCCCCUCUAGUUUUUGUGGAUGAUUUGACUUAUCGUCGACAAAUAAUACUGAUCUUGUCUAGAUACCGCCUUGGUUACACCGGCUCUCUAGUAUAAGGUUAUUAUUAUUUGGCACGAUAAGCCCUUAGCACCAUAUUGAUUAGAGCGUGGUUCAUGCGGUGUGGAUUUCCCCCUCAUGAUUUAAUUGGUAUUAAUACGGAUUAUUUAGCCCAUGAUGCAUGUUGAUACGGAUCCAAAUACCCAAGUACGUCAUUUCAAUAGAUUUCGCUUCAAUUUAUUCUCGCCAUUGCAAUUCCAAUUUUAGAAUUUAUUAUCGCCAUUUCAAUUCCAAUUUUAGGAUAAUUUAAAUCACUUCCAUCACAAUUCCAACCACCCAUUUUGCAAAAUUAAUUCUAUACACAAUUAAAAUCCUCCUCCUCGUGGGAUCGACACUCGUCACCAUUGAUCUACACUACAAUAGAUUCGUGCGCUUGCGAGUACAUUAAAAUUUGCACAACAGUUUGAAUAGUAACGAUGUAUGAACAAUGAGACGGCUUGAAUAGUGAUGCAGUUUGGUUAUAAAUAAUUCCGUGUUGUACCGUACGCACGAUUUUCAGUCCACUAACAUGCUGCCACGUCACCGAUCAACAGUACAUAAAAAUUUUAGUCCAAUAGGAUCGUGAUACUUCAUCGAUCAAUGUCAUUGGUCAAUGCCACGUCAUCGAUCAAUGCCAUGUCAUCAUGAACAGUAACAUGGACAGUACCGUACAUGUGAAUAGUACUAUACAUGUGAACAUUGUCAUUUGUCCUUUUAUGCUCCUCCUAAGGUUUUCGACUAUCCUGAGUUCAAAAGUGAUGUCUAUUUUGCUAUCUGAUCUCUCGUUCAUUGUGAAAUAACCUUGAUGCUCCUAAAAUACAUAAAAUACUUAAUUAUAAUACAACACACAUAAUUAAAUCACAAGAGACUUAAAUACAUAAAAGUAGGGAUGUUAGUGAGACUUGAAAUGUAAAAUGACGAUGUGUACUAUGUAAGUUGAGGUAUGGAUUUCAACAACAAUAAUAGAAUACAGGACUAGUUGAUCUUGUAGUUGUUUGUGGUUUCAAAUUAUGUUAUAGUUGUUUAUAUGUGUCUUAUAAAAUGUUUCUCCUUUCCUUCAUCGUAGUUGUUUAUACUGUAUAUUCAAAUUGAUAUGUCUAUUGUAAUUGUUGUAUAAUCAAUUUGUUUAUACUGUAUAUUCAAAUUGAUAUGUGUCUUUUAAAAUGUUUCCUCUUUCCUUUAAAAUUUGUGGUUUAGAGUUUCUGAUCUUUGAUGUGGGGAGUUAUGGUUUAGAGUAUCUAGUGUUUAGUUUGGGGAGUUAAGGUUGGUCGUUUUGUUUAAAAAUGUUUAGAAAUACAUGAUUAGUGUCCUUACUACAACAGAUUCCUUUGUAAAAUGUACAAUCUUCAUAAAAUGUAUGGUAUAAUUAUUACCUAAUCCUCCUGUUGUUGUUGCUAGAUUAGGUAACAACUAUAUUGCAGUGCAAUUGGCAGCUACUUACAAUGAUAGUAAUUUUUUUGUCAUUUUUGUGCGUCUUACCUUGAUAAAGAGUAAUUUUAGGUCAUAGUUCAAUAUUAGUGCCACUGUUAGGGGAUUUUGUACUGAUCAAAGCUUUGUGCAGCAGACCUUAAACUAGUUUUCAAGUAUUAAUUCCCUUUUCCGAGUGUAGAUCUAGGGAAUUUGAGAAAUUAGAAAAGAUUUGGUCUAGUUGCUAUUGAGAUAAGUUGAGGUAAAAUACAUCAGAUGGUAUUGUGGAAUAAUUGACAUUGGACUAGACUUACAUAUAAAACUUAUUCCUAAACUGAAUCAGGCUAUUUUUUUUUCUUUUUUGGGCAAUUUCAGUUGUCUACUAAUCAUAAUGUCAUCCAGUACAAUUAAAAAUCUAAACUCAUUGCAAAUAUGCAACAUAUGCGGUGAUUGGAUGGAUUUCUUAACAUACAAUAAAGAAUCCAAAUCGUAAAUUUUAGAUUCGUAGAGGAUGUAAGGACUUUCAAUUAACAGAAUACCGUAAAUCUAAUGAAGAGAAAAUUGACUUGUUAGUAGAGGAGGUUGGGAAGUUGGCAUUGGAGAUUGAAUAUUUGUCCAUUAAAUUUCAAUUAUUGCACAAAGAACUUGAGCAUAUACAAGAAUGUGAGGUGUAAAGGCGGUUGUUGGACGACCAACUUUGAAGAAGACAAACACCACGAUUUGAUUUUAUUAAAAUACUAGUGAUUGUUGUAUUAUGCUUUCUAUUCAAGUAUUGUUUUUAAGUUGUUUAAAUCUAUACUAUGUAAUUGAAAAACACUAUAAAAGACUUGUAGACAUAUGUAAACCAUUUUCCUGGAAAGUAUAAGUUUCUAAAUCAUUUGACUUAAUUAUUAACAUGUAUGCUUCCUUAAUAAUGAUUUUGAUGAUAACAAAUGUGUUUCAAAAUUGAUUAAAUUUGAAAAAAUCUUUAAUCGGAUCAAAAUACUUAAUCUGUAUCAUGAAUUGAGUAAAGAAUAAUUUUCUGGCAAUAAACGGAUUCAUGUUAACUCAUAAAACGGCUAACUAAUUAUCUUAAUGCAAGAUUUUAUCAAUUCUGGAUUCUAUCGGCUAACUAUUAAUGGGAAAAAGGGUAAUCGACAUUGCGCAAAAUUGGAGUUUAGUUUCUGGAUGCUAGUGGCAAUCCGAAAUCAAGAAAAUGAUGAUCCGACAAUUUGAAAUUAUAGUGAAACGAUCACUUAUUUAAAGAUACAAAUGACUAAACAAAAGUAUAAACAUAAAUUGCAUUUAUACAUGUAAAUUAAUUGCAUUCAACAACUGACAAAACCAAAAUAAUACAUAAAAACACAACACAAGUUAACUUCGAUCGUGUGCUCGGUUCAUUAGUUGAAAAAUCCCUCCGAUUGGCAUCCUCAAAAUUUGGUUGUGGUAAUUGUUGGGAGUUUACGUGAUGAACUUAGCCUAAUUUAUCCAAUACUGAUAAUAAAGGGAAAAAAUACAUAUUUUGGGAGCGCCUAUUGUGCUAGGUAUUGUACAAAAAAAAAAAUUAAACACAAAUUAUCAAACAUAUGACAAAUGAAAAUGGCAAAUCAAAAAAUAUUACCAUGACUAUAUUGCUCUUUUGUGUUGGGAUUGUAGUAGUCAAUUGAGAUGAUAAAUCAUGUAUCUCUGAGUCCUACGAAAGCAAUCAAGAUAAAUUUAAAAUAUAUAUUAAAUUAAUUUAAAGUGAAUGUAUUAAAGUAAUUUAAAUUACUUUGAUAUAAUAUAAUUACCUAUACAGUUGUGCUUACAGAAACAUUGUUCAACUUUUAUUUUGGCUUUUUAAAUUGUUUUUGCUUUCUUUGGCAAGGUGGAUGACUUUUAUGACGACUUACUACUAGAUCCUGUAUGAUUUCAGUAUAAUUUUUCGAUCCACCAUCAACAAUUGUAUCGUCACUGUCACAUCAAAUAUUCAGGGAUAGACCCUUUAUUACUUUCUUCAUCCAACCCGUAAUAUUUUUUAUGGUUUUCUUAAUUUUUUGAAAUCACCUUAACAACAUCAUAAAAAGCAGUGCACUCCUUUUUAAACCGCUGAUGUUCAAUGCUCAAACUCCUCACAUCAUAACUGACUUUAACUUUACUAUAGCAUCUCCGCACAUAUUUUCUCCAUCUUUGUAUGAUAUACUUUUCAGGAAGUAAUUGUAUAUGGUUAUAUAGAAACACUGCAAUGGCAUGUCUACAAAAAUGCCCUUAUAUUCAAACAUUGAACACAUAAAAUGAAUUUCACCUUUAUCUUUUUCAAAAAUAGCUUUAAAAGUCUUGUUUUUUACUCUUUCUAUCAUUUUCAAUGACUUCAUAUUCUGAUCCCCAUAACUAAAACCUCACAAUACAUCUUAUUCAUUAGCUUCUGUUGAAAUUCUUGAAACUUGGAGAUAAUGUACACUCCUUCAACUUGCUUCUCUGUUGUAAAACUAGUACGAUAUGGCAUCUGUUGGCUAAAACACCUAGCAUCUGCUUGCCAUUUUUUUUCUCAAUUUUGCUUUCCAUUGCUUUCUUUUAUUUCUCCACAAAUUGCUUCAAGGUUGUUUUUAAGUUAACAUACCCUUCAAAUAAAGCAUUCAUACUCUCACUAAGUUGAGUAGUUGACAUUCCAAUUCAAAAAGUAGUUUUAACAAAAUAUGGAACCCAACAAAUUCUUUACUUAUAUAAACCAUUUAACCACUGAUUAUUACUAAGAUCGUAUUUCUAUAACAUGUCAUGUCAUGCUUUGUUAAAUUCAACAAGAGUUUGUGAAUCAUAAACAAUAAAAUGCAACGAAACUCUAAUGUUAUGAUAUUCUGCAUACCUUCCUAACUUCUGAAGCACCUUCUUUAGUACAUGCCACAAACACCAUCGAUGCCUAGUAUUUGGAAGAUCGAUGUCAAUUGCAUUUUUCAUUACUUUGUCUUAGUCUUUAGUGAUUCCAAGGGGAGGAGAGCCAGACAUAUAUGUAGUCAUGUGUCAAAUAACUACAUAAAUAUAUCCGUGUUUUCAUGUGAAUUCAACUCACAUCCUAAAAAAAUGGAAUAACCAUGAUGAUUAAUUCCCACAAAAGAAGCAAAUGACAUGUCAUACUUGUUUGUAAGGUAUGUGGUGUCAAACGUAAUAACAUCUCCGAAGUCUUUAUAGGUUGGCCUGCUCCUUGAAUCUACCCAAAAUACAUUUUUUAACCGACCUUCCUAGUCCAAGUCAAGACUAAAGAAAAACCCAUCAUUAUCUAUUUGUAUUUUUUAAAAUAUCUCUAAAUUACAGCAGUAUCCCUUUCUUCGAGCGUUAAUCGCCUCACCUUAUCAACAUGAUUUCUAGCAUCUCUAUCUAAAAAUGAGACAUUUUCCAAGCCACCAGCCUCAACAACAAUCGACUUGAAACUUUGAGCCAUUUUAAUUACUGCUUCUUCGUUUAUUUUAAGUUGUUUUUUUAACAAAAGGACUAAUGGUACGGUUGCAUCGAUAAUACCUACUCUUGCUCGGACUCACAAUAUGGUUGUGUUCAAAGUAGAAAUUUCCAAUUAUACAUUUCCACUAAAAACAUCCAAAUGUCUUCCAAUUUUAGCAUUGCAUCCAUUUUUUUGGUUAGGUUAAAGCCACAAAACAUGAUUAGAUUUGCUUUCUGACUUGCCGUUUCACCCCAAGUAAAUGUCACAUAUCUCAAACUCUCAUCAUUCCUCUUUCUAUAAGAUCUCCGCAUCACUGGAAACCCUUCUUAUAGGCCAUAAGCUUUUUAUUAUUUAAACAUUUCAUCAGGAUUGUUAAAAGACAUCCCAACCUUAGGCUCAAUAACUUUUUCCACCAAUUCCUCAUUAUUUUCUUCAAAUUAUCCCCCUUGAAAAUCUUGCAAUUCUUCUACUUUAUCAACCUCCUCCACUUGUUCCAAAUUAUCCAUUCACUGCUGCAAAUUAAAAUAAUUCAAUAUAUUAUUAAUUAAUUAUUGUAAAUUCAUUAAAUUUAGAAAUAGAAAAUAGAAACAAAAUGAAUAGCUCAAGCUUGUUGUAAAAGCAUUGCAGCAUAAGGUUAUGACUCACAACAACACUCAAAAUGAAAUAUAGAAAAAAAAUGCUUAGCUUAUUACCCAUUAUAUUAACUUAAUUUAACAACAAGGCAAUGAAACUCGCUUAUUAAUAUGGAAAUAUAGAAACAAAUGCUCAGAUUAUUACCCACUAAUUAAUCAACAUCAAGCAAAAUUCAAGCUUUGAAACUCAACUUUAUGCCAAAGAAGACAAUACUUUAUCUUAUUGCAAAGCCACAUAGAAAAUUAAUCUGCUGUCAGAAAAUUUUCACAGCCACAGUAAAUGCCCAAAAUCAUCUUUCAGGGACAAUGUCGAAACUCAUCCUUGUUUUUGCUUUUGCUUUUGCGUGAUCUAAGCCAAACCCUAUCGCCUAAAGGAGAGAAAGCAGCUGGGUUACCAUUUCCUUUGCCUUUUCCAAGCCAAACGAUGUCGUAUUCCAAUUAAUCAAAACUAAUAAUAAUAAUAAUAAUAAUAACAAAACAAUGUCGUUUUUGUACUGUUUCGGGGUUUGAACUGAGGCAAACAUGAGCGUUGUAAUAAAAAAAAAAUGGAAGAGAUAGCACUAACUUGGUUAAUUGAACGGAACUUAAAAUAUAUUUAGAAUUCGACUCGGUUUAAUCGAACCAAAAGAAAAAUCGACUUGGUUUACCUUUAAAACAAAGAGAAAAAAAAGUAGGAAAAAGAUUUACAAGCGGUUUAUUUCAUCAAGCCUCCGAAGUACAAAUUUCAAGCCCUUUAUAUAACGAUCAAGUGACCAAUUCUUAGACUAUAAGCAACCAUGCAACACUAAUUAGCAUGCAAUCUUCACAAAUCAACCGUUUCCAGUUUACAUGAUUUAUGCUAUCCAAGCUUGCGGGUCUUCGUUAAUUUGCUUCCUAAAUAACUCCUUGUAUGCUUCUAGAUCCUCAUUAAACCCAAAAUAAUUAAACCAACUAAAUUAUAUUUCCUAUUUCCUAAAUAGACUUGACCUACCAGUCUACCACAGAUCUUAAAAGGGAUCAUUCUGCAGCCGAAGGUGGAAUUCAAUUAUUCAAAGGAUAGGAUAUAUUAUUAUUUCUACAAAAAAAAAAGUUAUUUCUCACUGCAUAUGUAAGGACUAAGGAGCUUAAUUAGGUUAAUUUGUUAAUGACAGACUCAAAAUCGAUUGUGCAUGUUCAAGAAAUCUCGAUAUUAUUUUGAUGUAAACUUAUCAGAAUUUCUUGCCAUGGAUUAUUAACCUAAUCAAUAAUUAUCAAUCUUAUAUUUUGUCUGUGAUUGAAAUUUCUCACUUACUCCAGAAUUAAUCUUUGUUUAAUAAUUAAAUUACAAUGAUUCAUUUAGUAUAGCACUACAACGCUACUUAUAAAUCUAAAGAAAAGUACAGUAAUAUAUCAAUUUUUUUGUGCAAAUUUUGUCCCAACUUCUUAUAUGAAAAUUCCAACUGAGAUCGACCCCCUUAGGACUUGGGUUCCUCUUUGUUGGAUUUGACAAUGGUGAGUUUACCCUUUGGGCUAAUCUUAAUGGGCCUUUAUAUCACUUCUUUUGAGUUCACUUCCUUAAGCAAUGAGAAUGUCCUCGUUCAAUGAUACUCUACAGAUAGAAGAAAAGGAUCAGAAGGCCGGCUUUGCUUUCGUAAACCCUCUGACGAGCAAAUUAGUCAUUGGAUCUUUAGAAAUAUAAUUUUAGGGAGAGAGAACUAAAGAGAGAAAGUUAGCAUUUCCCCUCUUGAAUCCAUUUUUUAUUUCCUUUUAGUGAGAAUGAGGGAUAUAUUUAUAGGCGAAACUGAUUUGACUUGAAUCCUAGUUACUUUGAUGACAAAUGUUAUUGUUCUUGUGACAUUUGGCAACACUUGUCUUUUAGUGCCUGUGUUAAUUGACAUAUGGAUGUGCAAACUUGUCUACGGAUUAAAGGAAGAAACAUUUUAUCCUUAAGUUAUUUUACUAAGACUUUGGGAUUAUAGGAGCCUUCAAACUUAUGAUGUUUGUCCUAGGAUAAAGCCUAGGACCUCAGCACCUUUUGAGUUUUGAAUCCUUGCCACCUAAUUGAUUUAUCUUAAGUGGUUUGUCUUAGGAUAAGAACCGAGGACCUCGGCUCCUUUUCGGCUUUGAGACCUUGCCACCUAGUUGAUUUAUCCUAGAUGGUUCAUCUUAAGAUAGGAACCUAGUGUUGGGUGUUAGAAAAUGUAUAUUUAUAAAGGAGAAAAUUGUCAUUUUGCACUUCAAGUUCCACUAACAUUCAUACUUUUAUGUAUUUAAGUUUCUUGCCAUUUAAUUAUGUGUGUUGUAUUAUAAUUAAGUAUUUUAUGUAUUUUAGAGACAUCAUAGUCAUUUCAUAAUGAACGAGAGAUCAUACGGUAAAACGGACAUCACCUUUGAACUCAGGACAGUCGAAAACCUUAGAAGGAGCAUAAAGGAAAAAUGGUCUGUUCACAUGUACGGUACUGUCUACGUUACUGUUCACGAUACUGUUCACAUAGACGGAUCGAUGACGUGGCAUUGACCGAUGAUGUGGCAUUGACUGAUGAGGUGUCACGAUCUUGUUGGACUAAAAUUCUUAUGUAUUGUUGAUCGAUGACGUGGCAGCAUAUCAGUAGACCAAAAAUCUCGCAUACGGUACUUGCAUUACACAGGAUUAUUUUCAACUAAACUGCGUCACUAUUCAAGCCGGGUCAAACCUUGUUACUGUUUAACCCGGGUGGUCAAACCGCGUACUGUUGAUUGAUGACGUGGCGCGAUCCUAAGCGUUCGAAAUAUUUUUGAUUCGAUGACCAUGAUUUACUCAAUGUAUCUAUAAAAAGGGGCUCUCCCCCCCCCCCCAGUAAUUUGAUAUCUCUGAAUCCAUUUUUGGGCUCCAUUUUCUGUUAUUCCUUCUCUAUCUUGUAUUUCCUACGUAUUUUAAUAAAUUUCCAUUUUACCCCUAGUUCAAUUAUGAGUAGCUAAUUUUCUUUCAAGCUUGGAUUGAAGGUGAAGUCUCAAUAUAUGUCGUGGGCUUUAUUUGGUAAAUUUAUUUUCUCUUUUCCUCUAGUUUUUGUGGAUGUUUUGACUUUUCGUCGACAAAUAAUAAUAAUCUUGUCUAGAUACCAUCCUGGUUUCACCGGCUCCCUAGUACAAGGUUAUUAUUAUUUGGCGCGAUAAGCCCUUAGCACCAUAUUGAUUAGAGUGUGGUUCAUAAGGUGUGGAUUCCCCCCUCAUGAUUUAAUUGGCACUAAUAAGGAAUAUUUAGCCCAUAGUGCACGUUGAUGCAGAUCCAGAUACCCAAGUGCUUCAAUUAUUAUAGUUUCCACUUUAAUUUAAUUCUGCCAUUUCAAUUUAAAUUUUAGGAUAUUCCAAAUCAUCUUUACCAUAAAUCCAACCACCCAUUUAGAAAAAUUAAUUCUAUACACAAUUAAAAUCCACCUCCUCGUGGGAUCAACACUCGUCACCAUUAAUUUAUUCUACAAUAGAUUCGUGCACUUGCGAGUUCAAUAAAAUUUGCACAACACCUAGAACCUCGGAUCCUUUUGGCCGUGGAUCUUGGAACCAUUUGGGCGUUGAAGUCCUGUUACUUAGGAGGAUUCUUCAAGGUGGUUUGUCCACUGAAAUGCAAGUUAUGCAACCCAAGAGAGGGGUGAAUUGAGAUUUUAAAACUUACGCUAAACAAUUCGCAUAACAAUUUAAUCUAUUGCCUUAAUCAAAUACAAAAAUAAUAAAUUUAGUAAAGCACAAUAAUAAAAGAGUAAGGGAAGAGAAAGCAAACACAACAAUUUUUACAUGAUUCGGCAAUCCCCGCCUACGUCCAUGCUUCCAAAACAACCAAGCUCAAGGAUUUCACUAUCCAAACCUUUCAAGGCUUCAAGUUCUUACAAUUGACUUUCAAGGUGUCAAUGAACCUUUACAAUCAAGAGAUUAUCUCCUCAAUCUCUUCACCCCAAGUGUUUCUCACACUUAUGUACACUCAUAAUUUGAUGAGAAAUGAAAAUUACAACAUAAACUCUCUUUAAGAGAGGAUAUGCAAAUAAUAGCACAAUAAUGAUUCAAUAAAUGAUGAUUUGCGAAAUAGAAGCCCAACAUGUGUUAUAUGAUCUUGUUUAUACUUGCAUUAGUCUUUAAAAUGAAGUUGAAGUUGAAUUUUAUAGUUAAAGCCCGAAAACUAGCCGUUAUAGGCAAAUUCCCACGCCCAGGCAGUUAGUCGCUUAAUUUGGCCGGCUAGCCGCUCCAGUAUGGUAAAAUUACCGUUAAAUUUCAAUUUUGCUACAGUAAUACUGUUUAUAAAAUUAUAUUUUUACCCAAAACUUUUUAAAAUUAUACUAUAACCCAAAACUUUCUAAAAUUAUACUAUAGCCCAAUACUUUCUAUAAUUAUACGAUGGCCUAACACGUCAUAUAAUUUUACAUAAAGGUCCAAUUUCACAAUUUCUAAAUUAUUUUUGUCAUUCACUAAACCUUAUAAAAUAAUAAUAUGGCCUAACAUAUAAUAAUAUUUUUCAAAGAUGUCCUUUUUAAGAUUUAACAAAAUAUUCAUAAAUAUCAAAGUUCUCAAAUCCUUUCAAUUUAAUCCAAAUUUUGAAAAUACAAGAUUUUCCUCAUGUGGCUAGCCGCUAGCCCUCAGGAGAUUAGCCGCUCACUCUCUAUCCAAUUUUGGAUUCACAUGUUUGGAUUACAUUUGGGUGCUCAAACUUGAAUAAGUUAUAGUAUGGCCUAAACGUUUCAAAUAUUUGCAAAUGGGUCCAACUCUAGAAUUUUAAAAAAAUGCUUAUUAAAUUCAAGGAUUGCAAAACUUUUCAUUUUAGUCCAAAUUACUUAAAUCCACAAAAUACUUUAUCUUAUAAAUAUAAAACCUUUUAGCUUAUAAAAAGUAAUUAUUUAAAUAAACUCUUGAACUUCUCAAAUACUAAAUCAUGUAUCAAUUAAAUCAUAUCGACUUUACAAGAAUUUGUCGCAAUAAUUUAUUUGUUGAACUGUAAACUUUAUUCUUGAUUUCGCCAUUAUCCCUUGUCUUGAACUUGAUUUUACUUGAUUCACUUGCAUAAAUAUUAUCCUUAAAAAACUAGUAAAAAUGUGAAAUACAAUAUUUAUUAAAUCAAUUAAGACACAUGUUUGUUAUCAUCAAAAUUACAUUAUGUGUAGCCUUUUAGGUUAACAUCCACUACUUCUGAACUUAAUUGAGAGUAAAUUUAUUAGAUAAGCCUUAUUGAAAUUAAAUUUAUUUGGGCCUUGAUUAGACACAUUUUAUUUUUCGUGCAACUGUUGGCCCCACCCCAAAGUCUAAAAUUUUUAAAAUAAAAAAUUUAGACUUUUUUUUAAAAUAUCUUUAGGAGGAUUUUCUCCAAAAUUUCAUCUUUAGGAAUAUUUUAUCCUCGAUUUCUAUCCUUAGGAAGCUUUCCCUAGGAGAAUUUUAUCCAAGGAUUUUUUUUUCAAACAUCCUUAGGAGGAUUUUAUCCUAGAAUUCCAUACUUAGGAAGAUUUUGUCCUUGAUUUCUGUCCUUAGGAGGAUUUCCUCAGGAUGUCCUUAUGAGAAUUUUAUGCUAAGAUUUUUUUCUAAAAAAAAAUCCUUAGAAGGAUUUUAUCGUAGGAUAUCCUUAUGAGUAUUUUAUCCUAUGAUGAAUUUCUAAGGAAUUUUUCCUAAAAUUUCAUUCGUAGGAGGAAUUUAUCAUAGGAUGAUUUUCUCUAAAAAAAAAUUUCCUUAAAUUCCAUCCUUAGGAGGAUUUGAUCCUAGGAUGAUUUCUCUAAGGCCUUUUUCUUUAAAUUUCAUCCUUAUGAGGACUUUGUCCUAUGAUAUUCUUAAGAGGAUUUUAUCCUAGAAUGAUUUUCUAAGAAAUUUUUUUUUAAAUUCCAUCCUUACGAGGAUUUGAUCAUAGGAUGAUUUUCUCUAAGCAAUUUUUCCUUAAAUUUUAUCUUUAGGAUGAUUUGAUCCUAAAAUGAUUUUUCUAAGGAAUAUUUCUUUAAAUUCCAUCAUUAGGAGGAUUUUAUCCUAGGAUGAUUUUCUCUAAGGGAUUUUUUCCUUAAAUUCCACCCUUAGUAGGAAUUUAUCCUAGGAUGAUUUUCUCUAAGGAAUUGUUCCUUAAAUUUCAUCCUUAAGAGGAUUUUAUCAUAGGACAUCUUUAAGAGAAUUUUAUCCUAUGAUGAUUUUAUAAGGAAUUUUUUCUUAAAUUCCAUCCUUAGGAGGAUUUGAUCCUAAAAUGAUUUUCUCAAAGGACAUUUUCCUUAAAUUCCAUCCUUAGGAGGAUUUGAUCCUAGGAUGAUUUUCUCUAAGGAAUAUUUCCUUAAAUUUCAUCAUUUGAAGGAUUUUACCCUAGGAUAUCCUUAAUAGGAUUUUAUCCUAAAAUGAUUUUCUAAGGAAUUUUUUCUUAAAUUCCUACCUUAGGAGGAUUUUAUCUUCAGACAUCUUUAAGAAAUUUUAUCCUAAGAUGAUUUUAUAAGGAAUUUUUCCUUAAAUUUCAUCCUUAGGAGGAUUUGAUCAUAGAAUGAUUUUCUCUAAAACGUUUUCCUUAAAUUCUAUCCUUAGGAAGAUUUGAUCCUAGGAUGAUAUGAUUUCAUCUUAGGAUGAUUUUCUCUAAGGAAUUAUUCCUUAAAUUUCAUCCUUAGGAGGAUUUUAUCCUAAGAUGAUUUUUUCAAGAAAUGUUUCUUGAAAUUCCAUCCUGAGGAGGAUUUGAUCCUAGGAAGAUUUUCUCUAAUGAAGUUUUCCUUAAAUUUCAUCUUUAGGAGGAUUUGACCUUAGGAUGAUUUUUCUAUGGAAUUUUUCUUUAAAUUCCAUCCUUAUGAGGAUUUAAUCCUAGGAUGAUUUUCUCUAAGGGAUUUUUCCUUAAAUUCCAUCCAUAGGAGGAAUUUAUCCUAUGAUGAUUUUCCCUAAGGAAGUUUUCCUUAAAUUUCAUCCUUAGGAGGAUUUUAUCAUAGGAUAUAUUUAAGAGAAUUUUAUCCUAUGAUGCUUUUAUGAGGAAUUUUUCUUUAAAUUCCAUCCUUUUGGAGGAUUUAAUCCUAGAAUGAUUUUCUCAAAGGAAUUUUUCCUUAAAUUCUAUGCUUAUGAGGAUUUGAUUCUAGGAUUAUUUUCUUAAGGGAAUUUUUCCUUGAAUUUCAUACUUAGGAGGAUUUUAUUAUUGGAUAUCCUUAAUAGGAUUUUAUCCUAAGAUGAUAUUCUAAGGAAGUUUUACUUAAAUUCCAUUCUUAGGAGAAUUGGAUUCGAGGAUUAUUUUCUCUAAGGAAUUCUUUCCUAAAUUUCCUCCUUAGGAGAAUUUUAUCUUAGGACAUCUUUAAGAAAAUUUUAUCCUAGAAUGAUUUUAUAAGGAAUUUUUCCUUAAAUUUCAUCCUUAGGAGGAUGUUAUCCUAGGAUGUCCUUAAGAGGAUUUUAUCCUAAGAUGAUUUUCUAAGGAAUUUUUCCUUAAAUUCCAUCCUUACGAGGAUUUGAUUCUAUAAUGAUUUUCUCUAAGGAAUUUUUUCUUAAAUUUGAUCCUUAGGAGGAUGCUAUCCUAAGAUGUUCUUAAGUGGAUUUUAUCCUAGGAUGAGUUUCUAAGGAAUUUUUCCUUAAAUUCUAUCAUUAGAAGUAUUUGAUCCUAGGAUGAUUUUUUUUAAAGGAAUUUUCCUUAAAUUUCAUCUCUAGGACGAUUUGAUCCUAAAAUGAGUUUUUUAAGGAAUUUUUCCUUAAAUUCCAUCUUGAGGAGGAUUUUAUCCUACGAAGAUUGUUUCUAAGAAUUUUUCCUUAAAUUCUAUCCUUAGGAGGAAUUUACUCUAGAGUGAUAAAAUUUAAGGAAUAUUUCGUUAAAUAUAAUCCUUAGGAAGAUUUUUUCUUAAGAUAUCUUUAUUAGAAUUUUAUCCUAUGAUGAUUUUAUAAGGAUUUUUUCCUUUAAUUCUAUCAUUCGGAGGAUUUGAUCCUAGAAUAAUUUUCUCUAAGGAGUUUUUCCUUAAAUUCCAUUAUUAGGAGGAUUCGAUCCUAGUAUAAUUUUCUCUAAGGAAUUUUUCUUUAAAUUCCAUCUUAAGGAGGAUUUGAUCCUAGGAUGUAUUUAACCUUAAAUUCGAUCCUUAGGAGGAAUUAAUCGUUGGAUUUUUUUUCAAAGGAAUUUUUCCUUAAAUUUCAUCCUUAGGAGGAUUUGAUCCUAUGAUGUUUUUUCUCUAAGUAAGUUUUCCUCAAAUUUCAUACUUAGAAGGAUUUUACCCUAGUAUAUCUUUAAGAGGAUUUUAUCCUAGGAUGAUUUUCUAAGGAAUUUUUCCUUAAAUUCCAUCCAUAAGAGUAUUUGAUCAUAGGAAGAUUUUUUCUAAGGAAUUUUGCCUUAAAUUUCAUCCUUACUAGGAUUUUAUCCUAGGAUAUCCUUAAUAGGAUUUUAUCCUAAGAUGAUUUUCUAUGGAAUUGUUUCUUAAAUUCCAUCCUUAGGAGCAUUGGAUUCGACAAUUAUUUUCUCUAAGGAAGUUUUCCUUAAAUUUCAUUCUUAGGAAAAUUUUAUCCUAAAAUAUCCUUAAGAGGAUUUUAUCCUUGGAUGAUUUUCUAGGAAAUUUUUUCUUAAAUUCAAUCCUUAGCAGGAUUUGACCCUAGGAUGAUGUUCUCUAAGGAAAUUUUCCUUAAAUUUCAUCAUUAGGAGCAUGUUAUCCUAGGAUAUCCUUAAUAGAAUUUUAUUCUAGGAUGAUUCUCUAAGGAAGUUUUCCUUAAAUUCCAUCCUUAGGAUGAUUGUUUUUAAAGGAAUUUUCCCAUAAAUUCCAUCCUUAGGAUGAUUUUAUCCAAGGAAUUUUCCCUAAGGCAUUUUCCUUAAAUUCCAUCCUUAGGAGGAAGUUAUCCAAGAGUGAUUAAUUCUAAGGAAUUUUUCCUGAAACUCUAUCUUUAGGAAGAUUUUGUCUUAGGAUAUCAUUAAGAGAAUUUUAACCUAUGAUGAUUUUAUAAGGAAUUUUUUCUUAAAUUCCAUCCUUUGGAGGAUUUGAUCAUAGGAUCAUUUUCUCUAAGAAAAUUUUCCUUAAAUUCCAUCCUUAAGAGGAUUUAAUCCUUGGAUGAUUUUCUCUAAGGAAGUUUUCAUUAAAUUUCAUUCUUAGAAAGAUUUUAUCCUAUGAUGAUUUUCUUUCAUAAGGUGCAAGAUAAAGACAAACUCAAAAGUAUUCAUUACCUUAUACGCAGCAUCAACAUCUCCUCAUUAGAAAGCAUUAGUGCUAUCUUCAAUGAUAUUAAGUAGAACAAAACAUGUUGCAUUGAACAUUUUUAUUAAAUUGGAGACUGAUCUGAAGUGAGAACUUUACCGAGUAUCCUCAUACCUUUAUAAAGUGCCAAUUUAAUUAAACUCUCUCUCACUUUCAAGCUCAUCAAUGGAAAUCAUUUACUCAAUGUCACCAGCUUGAGCACAUUUCAGUUCAUCAUUGCACUUAGAAGAAGCACCGACAAUAUUCACAACAGAAGUCAAUUUAGUAAAGAAAUGAUGAAUAAGAACAAUCUCAUGAGAUACUGCAACUAAUGUCAAUUGUAGUCGAUGAGCCAAACAAUGUAUGUAGUAAGCAUGUGGAAAAUCUUUUAAAAUUAAGGAUUGUAAACCAUUCCACGUACCCUACAUGUUACUUGCACCAUCAUAUCCUUACCCUUGAAUAUUUUGAAUAUUUAAAUUAUUAUGAGACAAUAGAGAGUAUAUCUCAUUUUUCAAGGUCAUUGUAGAAGUGUUAAAGACAUGAACAAGUCCAAAAAAUGGUUCUUGCACAAAACCAUCUUUGUCAACAAAUCUCAAAACUACAACCAUCUGUUCUUUCUUUUAUUCAUCAUGUGAUUCGUCUACAAUUAAACAAAACUUUGCAUCUCAUAGUUCUUCACGAAUUGCCUUUUUCACUUUCAUUGAAAAGACAUGUAAAAUUUCUUUUUAAAUAUCUGGUGAUGUAUAGGAGGUAUAUUUUGGAGCUUUAUCAAGUAUAGCUUCUGCAAUCUUUUCAUUAUUAGAGGCAAAUAUUUUAAGUAAUUGAAGAAAAUUUCCAUGAUUUAAUGAGUUUUUGCUCUCAUCAUGACCUCUAAAAGAACAACCUUGAAAAGCUAAGUAUCUAAUUGCUUCAACCGUAGUUUUUAACCACAGUCUAUUAUUUUCAAUUUCUUAAGAGGAAUAACGAUUAAAUACAUGUGGUAGAUGUUGAGAUUACCUCAUCUCACAUGAUUUUUCAGCCUUUUUAUGAGUUGAAAUCAGAUUCGUUUCCACAUGAUUAAAGAAGGCAUAAUUUUUCUCAUUUUUAACCUUUCUCCAACCACUAAAUCCAUUAACAGUAUAAGCAUUACAUUUUGGAUGUGCAGAUGAUGUAUUGAAGAGAUAACAUGGUAGACAAAAAGCAGCAUCUUUUACAGGUGAAUAUUCCAACAAGAAGGAAAAGAAUCGAACCAUGAAGAUUGAAAAUGAGGGGGGUGCUUUUCUGGUCCUGAUUUUGGAUACUCUCAAAGUCUUGGUUGGUAUGGACCAGCCAUUAUGUAUGCUCUAUGAAUUUCAUCUCGUUGAUUAAAAUCAUAAACCCAUAGUUGUGGACAAAAUCCUAGAUCACGCUCCAAAAGUUGAGUAUUAACUGGAUUUGUCUACAUUCUUGAAGAUCUUAAUGGUGGAUUUCCAAAAUUUGGUGAAUUGGUAAGUGAGACUUGUGAAUUUUCAGUAUUUGGAGAAUUGGUAUUGGCUUCUAAAUUCUCUGCAUUUUUUCUUUUGAAGUAUUGAUUAAUUUUUAAUGGCUUUCUCAUGUUUGUUGCAGUGAACUUGUCAGAAAUUUAGGGAUUUCGGUUGAGUUGCAGACAAUUUUUGGGAUAUAUUAUUCACGAUUCGUUUGCUGAUGUUCUGGGUUUUGUAGCUGAUUUCUUUUUCUUUUUUGUUUUAAUUAUUUUGAUGCCAUUGUUAGUGACUUAAGUGGGCUUUUGGGCUUGACUGAAUUGUUUUAAUUAUUUUGCUUUUGGGCUUAUAAAAUUAUAAUAUUAUCUAAUAUAUCAACCUUAUACACCAAUUGUACAGGGACCAGUGUGGACAUUUCACAUUAAUUUUUCAUAUUUUAUUUAGAAAUCCUAAAAUUUUUAAAAAUUCUACAGGGACCAUGGCACCCUCUAGCCUUACAUGGCCUCCACCCCUGUUGAUGGGGGAGGUGCAGAUGGUACAAGAGAUACUCAUUUGAUCGAGGAGAUAUCCACAAUUAUACUAGAAGGGUUUGAAGAUCUCUUCGGGAGGCAUCCUGAGCAGCAGAAUGAUGACAUUUAGCAUACUAGGAAUUUCUAAGGGUUUUUCCUUAUUUUGUAUAAGCGGAUUGCUCAGAAUUAUUUUAUGUGUUUCUUCAAGUUUUUAUCCUUAGAAUGAUAUGCUCUUUUGUUUUGUUGAACUUGAAUAAAAAUACAAAAUUUUCAUAUGUUAAGUUUAUGAAAAUUUAGAAUUUAUCCAAAGACGUUUAUCAUCGUCACUAGUUUAUUUAAAACAUCUCAUGGAUAAUCAAAAUAGAGAACUUUUAUGACUAAGAGAAGUAGUCUUUUAUUCAUCUGCAUUUUGUCUUUACAAAACUUAUCUGACCAUUAAAGGAAGAUCAUACUUAUAUGAUCAUAAGUACUAGAUCAUACUAUUAAUGGUAAAUCUUGAGAUGCUCAGCAUUCCAAGCAUGUCUCAAGAUCUUUCCACCUAAGGUAGAUAAAAUAUAAGUUCCUGGCCUAACUACUUCUCUGAUUAGGUAAGAUCCAUCCCAAUUAGAACCCAAGGUGCCAACACCUGGCUCCUGAGCAUUAGCUAAAACCUUCUUUAGAACAAGAUCUUCAAUUCUAAACUUCUGAAUUUUAACUCAAGCAUUAUAGUAAUGAGCUACUUUGCCUUAAUAGGCAGCGACCUUGAUCAUAGCUUGAUCCAUCUUGUCUUCUAGGAGAUCUAAACUUCGAUGUUGUAGUUCAUCAUUGAUGACAGGAUUAAAAUGUUAUACUCGAUAAGUCGAUGUUCCUAUUUCAGUAGGGAUGAUAACUUCUACCCUAAAUGCCAAGCAGAAUGGAGAUUCUCUUAUAGGAGUCCUUAGUGCAGUUCAAUAAGACCAUAGGACAAAUGACAAUUCAUAUGGCCAUGUUCCUUUGGCUUUCUCUAACUUAGCCUUGGGAAUUUGCUUAAUCACUCGAUUGGCAGCUUCCACUUAUCCAUUAGCCUACGGAUGGGCAGGAGAAUAGUAACAAUUUUUUAUCUUAAGCUUACUACAAAACUCACGAAAAUUGUCAUUGUUAAAUUGUAUCUCAUUGUCAGUGAUUAUAGUCUGGGGUACGCCAAACCGACAUAUGAUGUUCUUCUGAAUAAAAUCAGUAGUUCUCUUCUCAGUGAUAAUUCUCAAAGGCUUCCCAAAGGCUUAGUUUCCACCCACUUUGUGAAGUAAUCAAUGGAAACUAUAGCAAACUUUACUUGCCCCUUUCCUUUUGGAAGAGAACCGAUUAGAUCAAUCCCCUAUUGGGCAAAUGACCAAGGAGUGAGGAGAGAAGUUAACUUCUCUAGAGGUUGCUUGGGUAUAAUAGCAAACCUUCAGCACUUAUUGUUGAGUGUUAGAAAAUACAUAUUUAUAAAGGAGCAAAUCGCCAUUUUACAUUUCAAGUCUUAUUAACAACCCUUACUUUUAUGUAUUUAACCUUCUUGUGAUUUAAUUACAUGUGUUUUAUUUUAAUUAAGUAUUUUAUGUAUUUUAGGGGCAUUAUAGUCAUUUCACAAUAAAGGAGAGAUCAGAUGGCAAAACGGACAUCACUUUUGAACUCAGGACGGUCGAAAACCUUAGGAGGGGCAUAAAAGGAAAAAUGGCACUAUUCACAUGUACGGUACUAUUCACGUAUACGGUACUGUAUAUGUUACUGUUCACGGCACUGUUCACAUAGACGGAUCGAUGACGUGGCAUUGACCGAUGAUGUGGCAUUAACUGAUGAGGUGUCACGAUCCUGUUGGACUAAAAUUCUUAUGUACUGUUGAUGGUGACGUGGCAGCAUAUCAGUGGACGAAAAAUCUCGCGUACGGUGCAUGCAUCACACAGGAUUAUUUUCAACCAAACCGCGUUACUGUUCAUCCGGGUCAAACCGUGUUACUGUUCAUCCACGUGGUCAAACCGUGGACUGUUGACUGAUGACGUGGCGCAAUCCUGAGCGUCCAAACUGUUUUUAAUCCGAUGGCCAUGAUUUACUCCAUGUAUCUAUAAAAAGGGGGCCUUCCCCCCCUAAUUUGAUAUCUCUGAAUCCAUUUUUGGGAUUCAUUUUCUGUAAUUCCCUCUCCAUCUUGUAUUUUCUUUAUAUUUUAAUAAAUUCCCAUUUUGCCCCUAGUUCAAUUAUGAGUAGCUAAUUUCCUUUCAAGCUUGGGUUGAAGGUGAAGUCUCAACAUGUGUCAUGGGCUUUAUUUGGUAAAUUUAUUUUCUUUUCCCCUCUAGUUUUUGUGGAUGAUUUGACUUAUCGUCGACAAAUAAUAUUGAUCUUGUCUAGAUACCGCCUUGGUUACACCGGCUCUCUAGUAUAAGGUUAUUAUUAUUUGGCACGAUAAGCCCUUAGCACCAUAUUGAUUAGAGCGUGGUUCACGAGGUGUGGAUUCCCCCCUCAUGAUUUAAUUGGCAUUAAUAAGGAAUAUUUAGCCCAUGAUGCAUGUUGAUACGGAUCCAGAUACCCAAGUACGUCAUUUCAAUAGAAUUCUCUUCAAUCUAUUCUCGCUAUUUCAAUUCCAAUUUUAGAAUUUAUUCUCGCCAUUUUAAUUUAAGUUUUAGUAUAUUCCAAAUCAUUUCCACCACAAAUCCAAUCACCCAUUUACAGAAUUAAUUCUAUACACAAUUAAAAUCCACCUCCUCGUGGGAUCGACACUCGUCACCAUUGAUCUAUACUACAAUAGAUUCGUGCGCUUGCGAGUACAUUAAAAUUUGCACAACAAGUUUUUGGCGUUGUUGCCGGGGAGGUAAGUAAUUUUAAUUCAUAGAAUUAAUUUUUGUGAAUAAUUUAUUUUAAAUUGUUUUCUUGUAUUUUUUUAUUAAAAAAAAAAAAGUGAAUCCGCAUUUAGAGGUUAGUAUUUCUUUUCUUUUUCUCUUCUUUAAAAUUCUGUAAUUUAAUUUUCAAUUUAUUUUUUCUUUGUAAUUUUUGUUUAUUUUAUUAAUUUAAUUUUUAGUUAAUUUAUUUCACGUAUUUGUUUUUGUGUAUUUUUAUAGAAAGGUUGUAAUAGCGCAAUAAGGUUAGUAUCGUAAUUUCUCCCUCUUAUUUAUUUUUAUUUGUUUUGUUCCCAUCUUUAUUUUUUGUUUUGUUUGCAUCUUUAUUUUUAUUUUUAUUUUAUUUUGCAUGCAUGGUCGUAGGUCAUUAUUACCUAAUCUUGAACCUAUAGACCUUGAAUUAGAAAAAACACUUCGCACACACAAACACGUUAAAAAUAAAAUGGAUUUACAAACACCACAGGAGAGGCCAUUUAAGGACUAUUUUAGUCCCUUAGCUAAUUUGAGCACGUCAUGCAUAAGAUACCCAAAUGUAGCUGCUAGGAGUUUUGAAUUAAAACCUAGUGUGUUAAAUUGUCUCCCCACAUUUUAUGGCCUAGAAAAUGAGGAUCCAUAUAAUCAUUUGAAUGAUUUUCAUGCCAUUUGUCAAACAUUCAAAUAUGAGAAUUUUUCAGACGAUGAUGUUAAACUCAGGUUAUUCCCAUUUUCUUUAAAGGAUAGAGCUCGUUCAUGGCUUAAUACAUUGCCUGCUAAUAGCAUUGCAUCAUGGGAACAAAUGGUUACAAAAUUUUUGAAUAAAUAUUUCCCAGUGCAUAAAACCAAUGCUAUUCGCAGGGAAAUUUCAGAGUUUACACAGAGAGAGGACGAGCAGUUUUUCGAAACAUGGGAGCGAUUUAAUGGGCUACUCUUGAAGUGUCCACAUCAUGGGUACGAGAAAUGGCACCAAUGCCAAUACUUUUUGGAGGGAUUAUUGCCGAAUGUGCAAGAAUGGCUAAUGGCAACAAGUGGAGGAGAGCUAAUGUCAAAAAGCGCAACAGAGAUUUGGGAAUUCUUCCAGCGACAAGCGGACAAUUCCCAACAACGGAGUCGAUCACUCAGGAAUACUAGAAGGAUUAAAGGAGUGAAUGAGGUUCACAUUGGCGAGUCAACUUCGGGAAUCAAAGAAGUCAAGGAGAUGGUUGAAGGUCUUGCUCGACAAAUAGCAUCGUUAUCGACUGCUAAAUCAACAGAAUCACAUGACCCUGACUCAUAUCCAGAUCAAGCCAAUGCCAUAGGUGUAAUGAGAAAGCCAUCUAAUUACAACCCAUACUCCAACACAUAUAAUCCUGGAUGGAGAGACCACCCCAAUUUUUCAUGGUCUCAAGGAUUUCAACAGAAUGGACCAGCAGCUCCAGCUCCACCAAUGCAACCAAUUCCUCAAAAUCCUCAAGCCUCUCAGCCCCCAUUUAGACCAUUCAAUCAAAAUCAGAACUACUCUCAACCCAGACCAUGGGAGGAUGCAUUCCAAAAUUUCAAGAAUGUUACUCACUCCACGAUUGAGCAACAGAACCGCACCAUUGAUGGACUACGAAAUGAAUUGAGAACGGGCUUUAACUCACAAGCCCAAUCAGUUUCAAGCCUCGAGAAGAUGGUGGGACAACUUGCUUCUUCAGUUCAGACCUUGGCAAUGACUGUUGAGAAAGGAAAAUUUCCAAGUCAACCAGUGCCUAAUCCUAAAGGAGUACAUGAAGCAAGUACCAGUUCACCACAACAGCAUGGAGAGGUCAAAGCAAUCAUGACCUUGCGAAAAGGAAAAGAAGUCGACAAUAAAGUGGAGAUGUCGGUGACAACAGAAAAUCAAAUUGUACCUGUAAAUGCUGAGGACUCACCACCGGAGGAAAAAGAAGAAACCAACCCACGAGAAUACGUUCCCAAAGCUCCAUUUCCUCAGAGGUUAGUGAAAGGAAAGAAGGGAAAAUCCACAGGUGAGAUUCUCGAAAUCUUCAAACAGGUAAGUGUUAACAUCCCUUUGCUUGAUGCUAUUAAACAAGUUUCAUCUUAUGCCAAGUUUCUUAAAGACCUUUGUACUAAAAAGAGAAAUAUGCAUGUUCAAAAGAAGGCAUUUUUAACAGAAAACGUUAGUUCUAUACUCCAACAUAAAAUUCCUUUAAAAUGCAAAAACCCAGGCUCCCCCACUAUCUCAUGUAGUAUAGGGAACCACACAAUUGAGAAUGCUUUGUUGGAUUUAGGAGCUAGUGUAAAUUUGUUGCCUUACUCUGUAUUCGUGAAACUUGGACUGGGAGAAUUACACCCAACUCCAGUGGUGUUACAACUUGCAGAUCGGUCUACAAAAAUACCUCGUGGUAUUGUGGAGGACGUGCUUAUCCAGGUAGACAAGUUUUAUUUUCCUGUUGAUUUCAUUGUAAUUGACACUCAACCAAUACAGGACUCAAGGAAGCACAUCCCCAUUAUUCUAGGCCGACCUUUCUUGGCAACUGCAGAUGCUCAUAUUCAAUGUAGGACCGGAAAUAUGCAAUUGUCCUUCGGCAACAUGACUAUGGAGCUAAACAUCUUCAACAUUGCCAAACAACCUCACAGUGCAGAUGAUGGAAUUGUUGAUGUGGAUUUAAUAGAAACAAUAGUUGAUAAUACUUUUCUUUCAAAUCUUAGUGAUGAUCCUUUACAAACAUGUUUAACUCACUUUGGUUUGGAUUUUGAUAUUGACAGAUCGGUCGAAGAGGUCAACGCCCUACUUGACUCAGCACCAUCCAUGGACACUAAUAAAUGGAAGUCAAGAGUUGAACAACUAGCACCAUCAGAGACGAAACUCAUUCCAUCAUCAGAAUCACCACCGAAACUCGAGCUCAAACCAUUACCCAACACUCUGGAAUAUGCAUUUUUGAGAGAAGAAAGUACUCUGCCGGUAAUCAUCUCAUCAUCCUUAAAUGACGAACAAAAAGGUAAGUUGUUGGAUGUUUUAAAAGAGCACAAAGGGGCAUUAGGAUGGACCAUAGCAGACAUAAAAGGUAUAAACCCAGUAGACUGCAUGCAUUACAUUCACCUUGAUGAAAAUGCUAAAACUACUAGGGAGAUGCAACGUCGGUUAAAUCCUAACAUGAAAGAAGUUGUUAGAACUGAAGUCCUUAAGCUAUUAGAUGCAGGUAUCAUUUACCCAAUUUCUGAUAGUUCAUGGGUCAGUCCUGUACAAGUCGUCCCCAAAAAGUCAGGAGUCACAGUAGUUACCAAUGCUGAUAAUGAAUUGAUACCAACUAGAGUAACUACAGGAUGGCGUGUAUGCAUUGAUUAUAGAAAGUUGAAUUCUGUCACACGUAAAGACCAUUUUCCUUUACCAUUUAUCGAUCAAAUGCUUGAUAGAUUAGCAGGCCACGAAUUUUAUUGCUUUCUAGAUGGCUACUCAGGAUAUAAUCAGAUUCCCAUAGCACCAAAAGAUCAGGAGAAAACUACUUUCACUUGCCCUUUUGGCACUUUUGCAUAUAGGAGAAUGCCAUUUGGAUUAUGUAAUGCACCUGCUACAUUCCAACGAUGUAUGUUGAGCAUUUUUUCUGAUAUGGUUGAACGAUUCCUUGAAGUCUUUAUGGAUGAUUUUUCUGUCUUUGGUGACUCGUUUGAUCAAUGUUUACAUCAUCUAACGCUAGUUCUGCAGAGAUGUACCGAGAAAAACUUAGUCUUGAAUUGGGAGAAGUGCCAUUUUAUGGUAAAACAAGGUAUUGUUCUCGGUCACAUCAUUUCGAGCAAAGGUAUUGAGGUUGACAAAGCCAAGGUGGAUCUCAUUUCUAAUCUUCCUCCACCUAAAACAGUCAGAGAAGUAAGAUCUUUCCUUGGGCAUGCUGGUUUCUAUAGACGUUUCAUUAAAGAUUUUAGCAAAGUUUCUAGACCCUUAUGCAAUCUACUUGCUAAGGAUGUAUCUUUUAUCUUUAAUGAUUCAUGUCUAAUGGCGUUUGAAAAAUUAAAGCAGUUGUUGACAUCAUCACCCAUCAUUCAGGCCCCAAACUGGAGCUUACCAUUUGAGCUCAUGUGCGAUGCAUCUGAUUAUGCAGUAGGAGCAGUAUUAGGACAAAGAGUUGAUCGAAUUCCCCACGUUAUUUACUAUGCUAGUAUGACAUUGAAUGAUGCACAGUUGAAUUAUUCAACUACUGAAAAAGAAAUGUUAGCAGUAGUGUUUGCAUUAGAGAAAUUUCGAUCUUAUCUCAUUGGUUGUAAAAUAAUUAUAUUCACAGAUCAUGCUGCUCUUAAAUAUCUUCUCACAAAGAAAGAUGCAAAAGCUAGACUAAUUCGUUGGGUGUUACUUUUGCAGGAAUUCGACUUGGAAUUCAAGGAUAAGAAAGGCACAGAAAAUAUUGUGGCGGACCACCUCUCUCGUCUCCAUUUUGACACAAUUACAGAGCCAUUAAUAUUAAAUGAGUCAUUUCCAGAUGAACAAUUAAUGAAUGUGGAAGUAUUACCUUGGUAUGCUGAUAUAGUUAAUUAUCUUGUUACAGGUAACCUUCCAGAGCAUUGGACCAAGCAAGACAAGGCUAAAUUCUUUGCGGAAAUAAAGAAUUUCUUUUGGGAUGACCCAUAUUUGUUCAAGUAUUGUGCAGACCAAAUUGUUAGACGAUGUGUCCCUGAAAAUGAAAUUCAGAAUAUUCUUUCAUUCUGCCAUGCACAAGCUUGUGGAGGCCACUUCAGUGCUAAGAAAACCGUGACUAAAGUUUUACAAUGUGGUUUUUAUUGGCCAACUAUAUUUCGAGAUGCUUACACUUUCUGUUCUUCAUGUGAUAGGUGUCAACGAAUGGGGAGCAUUACACGAAGGAACAUGAUGCCACUAAAUCCAAUUUUAGUGGUUGAGAUUUUUGACGUAUGGGGUAUCGACUUCAUGGGACCCUUUCCUCCGUCUUUUGGUCAUCAAUACAUAUUGGUUGCUGUUGACUACGUAUCGAAAUGGGUGGAAGCAAUUCCAUGCAGAACCAAUGAUCACAAAGUGGUGAUAGGAUUUUUGAAAAGCAACAUUGUUUCACGCUUUGGAUUCCCUCGAGCGAUAAUCAGUGAUGGUGGUGCCCACUUUUGUAACAAAGCAUUCAAGGCUCUUUUGACAAAGUAUUCAAUCACACACAAAGUGGCGACCCCGUAUCAUCCGAAAACCAGUGGCCAAGUUGAGAUCUCCAAUCGAGAAAUAAAGCACAUAUUAGAAAAGACGGUGAGGCCAGACAGGAAAGAUUGGUCAUUACGACUUGAUGAUGCAUUAUGGGCAUAUAGAACGGCUUUCAAGACCCCGAUUGGGAUGUCACCCUACAGGCUAGUGUAUGGAAAAGCUUGCCACCUACCUGUGGAACUCGAGCAUCGUGCAUAUUGGGCCAUCAAGAAAUUCAACUUUGACAUGCAGCAAGCCAGCUCAGAAAGAAGAUUACAGCUGGCAGAACUUGAAGAAAUUCGCAAUGAUGCAUACGAAAAUGCCAAGAUUUACAAGCAACGAAUGAAAGUCUUCCAUGAUAAGCAAAUUAUGAGAAAAUCGUUCACUCCAGGUCAGAAAGUGCUUUUAUUCAAUUCUCGCUUGCACCUAUUCCCAGGUAAGUUACGCUCUCGUUGGUCUGGCCCAUUUAUUGUACAUACUGUUUUUCCACAUGGGGCAAUUGAAAUUAAGGACCCAAAGAACGGUGUCACGUGUAAAGUUAAUGGUCAAAGAUUAAAGUCAUAUCUAGAGUACCAACCACAUGGAGAAGACACCGAAAUAAAUUUGAGUGACCCACCAGAUUUGAAUUGAUUUUUUUCUUUUCGUUGAUUUGAUUUUGUUUUCUUUCUUUAUAUUAUUCUUUUGCUAAUUGAAAUUAUUUUUGCAUAAGUGUGUUUGUUUAACAAUUGAGUUUUCUCUUAUCAUUUUUAAUCAUGAGUCUCAUACUUAGACCGUUCCUCCUGAACAUUCUUAAACCACUUCAACGUGUCAAAACUCAUCUCAAAAGGCAGAUUCUAUUUUGUAAAACACAACGCAUUUGGGCUCUACAACCACCAGAGUUAGUAGCUUAUGUUGAGGGUUUAGAACGCCAACUCAGAGACAUUGAGAGAAGUGUUUACGACAUCCAGUUGGAGCUUGAGGUAAAUUCAAUAAGAGGACGAUUUUAAUUUUCUUUGUGUGUUUUAAUUUGUUUUUCUGUUUGUGUGCUUUAGUUUGUUACCCCGGUGAAGUGGCGGAUAACGGUACUCCGUGACAAUCACGUCGGUUAACUUCAGUUUCCCAUAAUAACUGAUAUUCUGAGGCGAAGGUAUGGACAGAAACGAGAUUCUAGCGAAGCUUCACAAGCGAUUCCCUUCACUUCCUCAGAAUGCCCUCCUUACGAUCUAUAAAGCCCGGUCUGAACGCAUGCGAUUGCUCAUGAGGAAUAACAUACCUGCAGACAUCCGUUGGUUAAUCGAGGCUAAAGUACGAUUGGCAGGUGAGUUACCUCCUAAAUUUAUUGCAUACAUGCCUGGUUGUGGUAAAGGAAAUUACGCAAGAAAACGACGAGCUCGAAGAAUUUCUGUUGCUUGUCAUAAGUGUGCCAGAAUGAGUUGCGAUAAAAACCCAUGUUCUUUAGGAAUGGUGUCUGAUAACAGGGAAGAUAAGAUUCAAUUCAUUAGGGAUGGCUUGAAUAAGGAGUCAUUGGAUGAUAUCCUUUUGUCUCUUGAAACGCAUCCCAGUGGAUAUGUGCAAGAAGCGAUUCUCCAGUUAUGGCCAUUAUUCCAAAAAGAGCAUGCACGAUAUAGUCUCGGGAAUCUAACUAUAAACGACCCUGUUUGCCAGUUUAUAAGAAAACUGGAUGGGAAGCCCAUCCUCAACCCAUAGAGGGCGUUCAAGCCGUUUCUGGACGUAAAACUAUAGGAAGAUGUGAGCCACAGUCGCAACUACGUGUAAAUAUCCUUUUACUUUACUGUUAUUUUAUUUCAUUUCACUGUUGUUUUAUUGUUUGCAUUAUUGUCUUUAAUAAUUUUGUUACUGUUUGCUUUUUCCUUUUUACUGUUUCCUUUUUUACUCGCGAGCCACGUGCUUUACGCGUUAUUUGACACUGACAUGUUACCUUAUUCACAGCUGUGAUCCACUGUCACCAAGAUUCUUAAAUGUGAUUUAUCUUUUGUCAAGCACUCACAAAUUGUUUUUGAGAAGUAUCACAAUGGCAGCUACUCCCAAUAGACAAUUCAAGAACAUUUGUGUGCUUUCUGGAUUUACCUAUGGCAAACAUAAAGAGUUCGUGGAGGCAGCCAUAGAUCUUGGUCGAAGCAUAGCAGCAAGAAAAUUACAUUUGGUGUAUGGAGGAGGUAACCGAGGGUUAUCAAAAAUGGUCUCAGAAGCAGCUUUUAUCAGAUGAAGUCAAGUGUUAAGCAUCAUCCCAAGAGUCCUAAAACCAUUGGGCAGUUCGUCUGACUCAUCAACUGGAGAAGAGUUAGUCGUCUCAGGUAUGCAAGAAAGAAUAACUGAAAUGCUUAAUCAUGCUGAUGCUUUUAUUUUCCUUCCAGGAGAUCUUGCAACACUAGAGGCACUUAUGACACUAGCAUCUUGGGCCCAUCUGCACAUCCACCAGAAACCCAUCGGUUUGUUAAAUGUCAAUAACUUUUAUGAUGGCUUUAUCGCAUUUCUUAACCAUGCAAUAAAAAACUAUUUCAUUCCUUCUAAUGUGAAAAAACUCUUUAUUUGUGCUCACACUGCUAAUGAGCUACUUGAUAUGUUACAAGCUUAUAAACCGGAGCCAGACCCCUGGACCUUUGUGUUGGAGCGACCAAAUAAUGAUGGUAACAGUAGCCGCAGUAAGAAGUACAAAUUAGAUUUAACUCUCCGCUUGUAAAUAUUUUCUUCUAUGUUGCACCACCCAGGUGAUGUCUUCUAAACUCUACUUCUUUCCUUUAAAACAUUGAGGACAAUGUUUCGUUCUGGUUGGGGGGAGGGAAUAGUCGACAAUUGUGGAAUCUUGGUUAAGUUUUUACUGAUUUUUUGUUGUAGAAACUAACUGUUGCUAACAUUUUAUGUUGAAGAUGGCUGAAUAUGGAGUGUAGUUACUCUAGAAACGCAUCUUCAUCGUUUAAAAAAAAAAAAAAAAAACCGUUUUCUUCCCCUUUCUCCUUUAUAAAUAUAUAGUUUCAAAUUUUUGAGUCAAAGAUGGCUGAAUAUAGAGUGUAGUGCCUCUAGAAACGCAUCUUCUUAGUUUAAAAAAAAAAAAAAUUCUUUUUCUAAUUAAUUUUUCUACAUCAUUUUCACAUUUCUGCAUACAUAUUUUCCUUUCAUGUUUAGAAUAGGUUGGGGGGUAGAAUGUUGUUUAAAAAAAAAAAAAUUUGUGUUAUUUGUUUUAACAUUGGAUGACAUGAUUAAUUUCAAAUUUUAGUAUUUGUAUUAUCUUUGGUCUUAAGUGAUGUUACGCUAUGUUUGCUACUUUACAUGUUGAUGUCGGAGACAAAUAUGAGUUGCUUGAAGGAAUGAACAUGUCAUGAAUAAGUGCCAAGUGAGUUGUUGAGCCUAUCAUUUUCUUGGAGAGUAACCCUUUUGCCCAUUCUCUAUACAACUUAGCAGUUUAUUAUUUUAUACACGAUCUCUAGAUUUCUUUUAAGUUAACCCUUUAAAAAAAAUAUGGUAAAAUUAAAAAAAAAGAAAAAAGAAAAAAAUGUGUGUUGCUACAUUGGGAGGCCCAUCUAACUAGUAGAUAUGGAUAAUUAUUUAGAGCCCUAAAAGACGAUGGAAAGGCCAUCUUUGAUCCGUUUGAGCCUUUCUAGCCAUCCCUUUUAUUAAAUAUCCAUAGUUACCCCUUUUGAGCCUUUAAAAAAAAAAAAAAAAAAAAAAAGAACAAAAACCUUUUCUUUGUCAACUUAUCAUCUUGACCCACUCCGAUUUGGAGUAUUACCCAAUGUCUUUUAAGUUCCAUCACCUAUUUAUGUUUGAGAAAAUGUAAAUAAUUAUGUUGUUAAGUGAAGUUAUGCCAAAUAAAAGCAAAAAGAAAAAAAAAAACAAAAACAAAAGUUGUUGUUUCAAAAGAAUAAAAAUAACAAUAAUAGGUGAAAUCCACCUUGCAAGUUCCAAAAAAAAAAAAAAAAAUUUCUGCAUUUUUCUCAAACAUACACUUUGUUUUCCUUAUUUCCUUUCUUUGUUAGCCAUAUCUCUAGCCUACGUUACGUCCUAAUAAAAGUCCUUCUUGAUUUUAGGGAACUAUAGUUUGAAGUAGAAGCUAGUUAUAUGGGCUAAAAAGAUGUAGUGAUGCAUAAUAAUUAAAAAAAAAGAAAAAAAAAAGAUAAAUAAAGUGGGUUGACUAACAUUUUAUUUGACUUGAGAUCGUAUUAUUUCUAAGCUGAGGGCAUAUUUAUUUCAUCUUGGUGAGAGCAUGUGAUAUCAUUUCUUUAUUAUUUUCUCUCUCAAUUACCAUUCAUUGGAGUGACUAUGUUUAUCGGGUUUUAAUUUCUUUAUGAGAGUGUCACUACUUCCAGUGAGAUUUUGGGGUUUGACAUGUCAUUCUUGAAAGUAGCUAUAACAAAGUCUACUGGGCUAAUUCAUGUGGAUGGUUGAUGUGGGUGUGAUGUUGCUUUAGACUGGAGAUAAUGCUUAUACUUUUAUUUGAUUGCUAUCAUUAAUCUGAUUGAAUAAACACGAGUGUUUCUAAAAAAAAAAAAAAAAAAUCAUUUUGAAUUUGAAUUUUGUUUUCGCUUUAUUUGCUAGGGACUAGCAAUAAGCUGGUUGGGGGGUGUGUUGAGUGUUAGAAAAUACAUAUUUAUAAAGGAGAAAAUCGUCAUUUUACAUUUCAAGUCUUAUUAACAACCCUUACUUUUAUGUAUUUAACCUUCUUGUGAUUUAAUUACAUGUGUUUUAUUUUAAUUAAGUAUUUUAUGUAUUUUAGGGGCAUUAUAGUCAUUUCACAAUAAAGGAGAGAUCAGAUGGCAAAACGGACAUCACGUUUGAACUCAGGACGGUCGAAAACCUUAGGAGGGGCAUAAAAGGAAAAAUGGCACUAUUCACAUGUACGGUACUAUUCACGUAUACGGUACUGUAUAUGUUACUGUUCACGGCACUGUUCACAUAGACGGAUCGAUGACGUGGCAUUGACCGAUGAUGUGGCAUUGACUGAUGAGGUGUCACGAUCCUGUUGGACUAAAAUUCUUAUGUACUGUUGAUGGUGACGUGGCAGCAUAUCAGUGGACGAAAAAUCUCGCGUACGGUGCAUGCAUCACACAGGAUUAUUUUCAACCAAACCGCGUUACUGUUCAUCCGGGUCAAACCGUGUUACUGUUCAUCCACGUGGUCAAACCGUGGACUGUUGACUGAUGACGUGGCGCAAUCCUGAGCGUCCAAACUGUUUUUAAUCCGAUGGCCAUGAUUUACUCCAUGUAUCUAUAAAAAGGGGGCCUCCCCCCCUAAUUUGAUAUCUCUGAAUCCAUUUUUGGGAUUCAUUUUCUGUAAUUCCCUCUCCAUCUUGUAUUUUCUUUAUAUUUUAAUAAAUUUCCAUUUUGCCCCUAGUUCAAUUAUGAAUAGCUAAUUUCCUUUCAAGCUUGGGUUGAAGGUGAAGUCUCAACAUGUGUCAUGGGCUUUAUUUGGUAAAUUUAUUUUCUUUUCCCCUCUAGUUUUUGUGGAUGAUUUGACUUAUCGUCGACAAAUAAUAUUGAUCUUGUCUAGAUACCGCCUUGGUUACACCGGCUCUCUAGUAUAAGGUUAUUAUUAUUUGGCACGAUAAGCCCUUAGCACCAUAUUGAUUAGAGCGUGGUUCACGAGGUGUGGAUUCCCCCCUCAUGAUUUAAUUGGCAUUAAUAAGGAAUAUUUAGCCCAUGAUGCAUGUUGAUACGGAUCCAGAUACCCAAGUACGUCAUUUCAAUAGAAUUCUCUUCAAUCUAUUCUCGCUAUUUCAAUUCCAAUUUUAGAAUUUAUUCUCGCCAUUUUAAUUUAAGUUUUAGUAUAUUCCAAAUCAUUUCCACCACAAAUCCAAUCACCCAUUUACAGAAUUAAUUCUAUACACAAUUAAAAUCCACCUCCUCGUGGGAUCGACACUCGUCACCAUUGAUCUAUACUACAAUAGAUUCGUGCGCUUGCGAGUACAUUAAAAUUUGCACAACACUUAUCACAUUUUUUUGCUAACUCCAAGGCAUCUUGUUGCAUCGUCGGCCAAAAAUAUCCUUGUCUCAUAGCCUUGUAGGCAAGUGCUCACCUUCUAGAAUGAUUUCCACAUACACCCUCAUAGAUUUCACGUAAGACAUUAUCUCCAUCUUCGGGUGUCAAACACUUAAGAAGAGGAAGUGAAUAUCCAUGUUUUUAAAGUUGAUUAUCCAUGAUCACAUACCUUGCAACUCGGUAUCUCACAUUCUUUUAUUCAUUUUUAUCCUUAGAUAAAGUUCUAUUCAUAAAAUAACUCAUAAUUGGGUCUAUCCAGGAACCUCGAUGGUUAAUGGUUGCCACUUCUUUUUCUUCACAUUUGAUUAUGCUUGGCUCAGGAAUGAUGACUACUAGAAUUGAUCUUAGUAAAUCUUUUUUUAUGGUGAGAAAGCCAGUUCAGCCAAUGCAUCAGCUCGUGUGUUUCGCUCCCAAGGAAUUUGCUUCACCUCAUAAUUGAAGUUCCUUAGCAACUCAUUAAUUCGAUCAAGAUAUGCAAUCAUGUUGAAAUCCUGAGCUGUAUAAUUUCAAUUCACUUUAUUAUCUACCAACUGAGAGUCACUAAAGAAAAGUAAAUCCUUUGCACCUAAUACCCGAACUAGCCUAAUGCCAUCCAGAAGAGCUUUAUAUUCUGCCUCAUUAUUGGUAGCAUUGAAGCCAUACCUAAGAGCACAUUCAAUCUCAACAUUGUCUGGGAUGAUUGCUAUAAAACCUCCACCACAUCCUCAUUUAUUAGAGGAUCCAUCGACAUAGAGAGACCAUUUAUCUUGAUGCUCCUCUUAAAGAUCAAGUGAUAUUAUCUCUCCUUUAGUAAACUCAGCAAUGAAGUUUGUCACUGCUUGCCUUUCAAUGAUAUCCUAGGAUAAUAUAAGAUGCCAAACUCUCAAAGCUCAAUAGCCCACUUUGUCAUCCUUCUUGAAAUAUCAAGCUUAGCUAAAACUUGUCUAAUUAACUUAUCAAUGAGGACAAUUAUGGUAUAAGCCUGGAAAUAAGGCCUUAACCUUCUUGCUGAAACAAUCAAGGCUAGAACAAUCUUUUCAAAAUUAGAUACUUUGUUUCUGCACCAACUAAUGCUCUACUUGUAUAGUAUAUAGGCCUUUGCACUCUGUCAUCUUCUCGGACAAGAAUAGAGCUAGUGGCAUAUUCAGACAUCGCAAAAUAGAAGAAGAGGGACUCGCCUUGGAUUGGCUUAACAAGCAAAUGAGAGCUUCCUAAAUAUUCCUUAAGCUUUUGAAAUGCUUUUUCAUAUUCCUCAGUCCACUUCAUCUCUUUUCCUUUUCUAAGAGCCUUAAAGAAAGAAAGGCACUUAUUUAUGGCUCGAGAGACAAAGCGGUUCAGGGCUGCUACUUGGCCCGUCAAACUUUGAAUUUUUUUAAUAUUCUUUGGAGACUUCAUGUUAACCAAUGCUUGGAUCUUCUCAGGAUUGAUCUUUAUACCUCUUUGAUUUACCAUAAAGCCAAGGAAUUUUCUUGACGACACACCAAAUGCAUAUUUAGCUAGAAUCAACCGCAUUUUAUACUUCCUAAGGACAUCAAAGGUUUCCCGUAAAUCUUUUACAUGAUCUUCAGGCUUAAGGCUCUUGGUGAGCAUAUCAUCUACAUAUACCUCCAUGGUAUGCCCAAUUUGUUAAAUGAACAUAUUGUUUACCAACCUUUGAUGAGUGGCUCUAACAUUCUUGAGUCCAAAAUGCAUAAUCUUAUAGCAAUAAAGACCUCGAUCAGUGAUAAAAGCGGUCUUUUCUUAGUCACGUUCAUGCAUCCUUAUUUGCUUAUUUCCUGAGUAUGCAUCCAUGAAGCUUAGCAGUCCAUGCCCAGCCGUAGCAUCCACUAGUUGAUCAAUCCUCGGUAAAGAAAAACUAUCCUUAGGGCAAGCUUUGUUAAGAUCAGUAAAGUCUACACACAUCAUCUACUUCCCAUUAGCUUUCUUUACCAUCACAAUAUUGGCUAGCCACUCAGGAUACCUUGCCUCCUUGACAAAACCAGCUUUGAGAAGUUUAUCUAUUUUUUCCUUCACAUCCAAAGAUCUUUCAGCGUUCAGACUUCUUCUUAUCCAUCAAACUGGUUUCAUUUUUAGGUUAGUACUUAACCAAUGUACUAUUACCCUAGGAUCAAUACCUGGCAUAUCAUCAUUCGUCCAAGCAAACACAUCAUGAUACUCUUUUAAGAAGUUAACAAGUUGCUUCUUCAGCAGAUCAAGCAAUUGUCUUCUAAUCUUCACUACUUUACUCAAAUCUUUACCAAGUGGAAAGUCUUCCGGGUCAUCAACUAAGCUCGCCCUUUGAUCAUCUUUCACUAUCCAAGGAUCAAGUAGGGGUGUUCAAAAUCCAAUCUGAUCUGUUCAGUCCAUCUUAUCUGUAAAAAUCUUAUCCGUAAAAAUCAGAUAUGUGGAUUAAUGGAUUGGAUUUGAUUGAAAUUUUAAAAAUCCGCAGUCGGUGGAUUGGAUAUUGAUUUACUUCUGCAAAUCCGUAAAAAUCCGUAAAUCCGUAAAAAAAUAUUUAUUUAUUUCUUUAAUUAAAAAAUAUUAUAAAUUUAAUUAAAAUAUUAUAAAUGUGACAUUAUAUAGUUACAUAAGCACCAUAAGAUGUCUUAGCCAUUCCUAAUAAAAAUAUAAAAUAAAUAAUGAUUAAAUAAUCAAAUAUACAAAUAUAACUUGUAAAAAUUAUUAAAAAAAAUAAAAGCAAAGCCACACGCACUAGCAAAAGUAAAGUAACAUAAUGUUAAGUCAACAACGAUUUGCAAAGUCACCCAAAAGCAAAGUAACACAACGCCAAAAGCAAAGUAGCAUAACGCCAAGUCAAUGAUCACCAACAAUUUACAAACAAAAAACCCUAAGCUUCCCCGCCGUCACAAGCACUAGCAACGCCCAAUACUCAUUUGAUACACUCUCAACACUGAUUUGAAGGACGUCAGCUGCGCGAUUCUGAUGAAACCAAGCCAUCUUCUUUCCCGAGUCCAUCGAGCCACUUCACAAUCACUGGUUCCAGCCGAAUAAUUUUACUAUAAUAGUCUUCAAGGUCGUCACCUGCACGGUUUUUCCUGAUUCCCAUCGUUGACAGCUCUGUAAUCACCACUUAUUGACAGGCGCAACAGCCCUGGAGAAGGAUCAAACUGUGUUUAGUUUCAGAAACUUCACCAUUUCAACUCUCACUCCUCGAACACUCGCGGAUCUCUUGGGUUUUUGUGUGUCUGUGCAAAGACCUCACUAAUUAAGGUAAUUAAAGUUAAAUUCUUACUUUCUUUUCGAGCUUAAUGAUAUGACAAUAUAAAAUAGCAAAAUGAUGAGAUGUUGGGAUAAAAUUCAUUAGAGACAGAGGCAAGAUAAGUAUGGGCUGUUAAGAUAAGUUUGCUAGGGAAAUAGUUUAGACUUUGUUUUGUGUAGGAUUGUGUAAUAAGGCUGGCUCUACAACAACUUUUUAUUAUUUAUAUGUAUCAGCUUGAAGCAGAGGGGUGUGGAAAAAUUAUCUUAACAUUUUGAUUUCAAUAAAGAGGAAUUCCCCUAGAAGUGGAAAGCUAGUUUAACUUUCUUGUGUUUUUUUUCUUCCAAUACUUAUCACUUAAUUUGUUCAUGUUAUUUUUCAUAAUUAAUUUUAAUGAUUUUUUUUUGUAAUUAAACAGGAAUUGUGUGAUUGUGCAAAAACCUCACUGAUUGAGGUAAUUAAACUUAAAUUAUUACUGUCUUUUCAAGCUUAAUUUAUUCAUGUCAUUUUUUGUAAUUAAUUUUAAUGAUUUUUCAUAUUGGUGGUGUAGAUGACUCCUCAACUCGAUAAAGGAAAAUGCGUAGCUGUAGAUUCAGCUCCUCCAAGUCCUAUAUCAUCGAGUAAUGCUGAAGGUACGCCCAAUAAAUCCACUUCUUCAUAAUCUUGGGAGCAUUUUAUUCAAUUAAGUUCUGAUCCACUACAUCCUAGAUCCAAAUGUCGAUAUUGUGGAAAAGAAUAUAAAUGUUGUUUUGAUAAAGAAACAUCUAAUUUGUUGACUCAUAUAAGAGAGAGAUGUCCAAAAUAUCCCGGUCGAGCUCGAGUGGACAAAAAACAAAAAACUUUAUCUUACCAAACGGUGAAAAAUAGAGAACCAUGUAGCCUUGUAUCAACCUAUAGGGUUGAGGCUUGUAGGGAAGCAAUUGCCAAGUUUAUUAUAAAAGAUGAGAUGACAUUUAGAGUUGUAGAGGGUGAAGGGUUUGGGGAAAUGUUGGGAGUUUUUGAAAAUAGAUUUAAAGUACCAUCUCGCACUACUAUUACUCGUGAUAUUUUGCAACUUUACAAAAAAACAAAGAAAGAUUUGAUUGAUUUUUUUGUGAGUAGUCAUCAAAGAGUUUGCCUCACUCCAGACACAUGGACUUCAGCUCAAAAUCUUUAUUAUAUGUGUCUUACAACUCACUUUAUUGAUGAUAAUUGGAAAUUCCACAAAAAAUAUUAAAUUUUUGUCAAGUUGCCGACCAUAAAGGUAAGGCAAUUGGUAGGCAAAUUGAAACAUGCCUAUUAGAUUGGGGCGUUGAGAGAGUUUUUACAGUAAUGGUUGAUAAUGCUUCUUCUAAUGAUGUUGUUGUUUCUUAUUUUCCAAAAGUUGUAAACAAUUGGAAUGGUGUAAUCUUAGGGGGUUUAAAUAUGCAUUUGAGGUGUGAUGCACAUAUAUUAAAUCUCAUUGCUACAGAGGGGUUAAAAAAGUAUCAUCAGUCGAUUUCUAAAAUUCACAAUGUUGUAAGAUUUGUUAGAUCUUCACCUUCUAGGACACAAAAGUUUAAGGCAUAUGCAAAGCGAGAGAAAAUUUCUUCAAAAAAGUUUUUGUGUCUAGAUGUUGUAACUAGAUGGAAUUCCACUUUUUUCAUGUUAGAGGCUACAGAAAAGUAUGAAAAAGUAUUUGAUCGGUUAGAGCUUCAUGAUGCACAAUACAUUCAAGUUUUGUUUGAGCGAGCCGAAAACGUGUCCUUCUUCAAUUGAUUGGGAAUAUGCUCAUUAUUUCAUUAAAAUCUUAUAAGUUUUUCAUGAUGCCACUUUGAGAUUUUUGGGUUCUUUAUAUGUGACAUCCAAUACUUUUUUACACCAAUUAUAUUUGAUUCAUACACAAUUGCAAGCUUAGAGGGAUAGUAAGGAUUUAUUUUUAAAGAUAAUGGCUGAAAAUAUGAAAAACAAGUAUGAUAAGUAUUGGGGAAAUUAUGAAACAGUCAACCCUUAUUUGUUUGUUUCUAUAUUGCUUGAUCUUCAACAUAAAGAACGGUUUUUGAGAUAUUAUUUUGUAGUGUUGUUUGGUGAAUUUAAAGCUAAUAAGUUAGUUGUUAAAGUGUGGAAUAAUUUACAUAGUUUAUAUGAGGAAUACAAAUUGCUUUAUUAUGAUGAUGUGGAAGUAAUGGAUGCUAUAAAUGCUGAAAAUGAGUUAGAGGUUGAUACUGAGGUUGAUGCAAGGCAAGUGUUUGAUUCAGGUUAUAUGAGGAUUUUAAAAGACAAUACUUUUGUAGAGUGCAAAACAGAAGUGAAUUUUUACUUGUCAGAAUCAUGUGAGAACCCAAAAAAUGAAAGUUUUGAUGUAUUGGAUUGGUGGAAGAUUAAUUCUUUCAAAUAUCCAAUUUUAUCUUAUGUUACUCGAGAUAUUUUGGCCAUACUUGUUUCCACUGUAGCAUCUGAGUAAGCAUUUAGCACUGGUGGGCAUGUUGUUGAUCCACAUCGGUGCUCACUAUCUACAAGGACGGUGGAGGCACUAAUUUGCACACAAAAUUAGUUACGUUCAACUCCGAUAAAUCUUGAUGAAGCAAGAGAUGAGAUUGAACAAAUUGAGACAGGUAAAAUGUACCAAUUUAACUUUAAUUUUAUUUAUUGAUUAUAUACACACGUCAACUGGGACAAUAGUAGUGUAAGGUCAACCACAGGAUGGAAUCUCCAAAUGGUACUCGGAGCCUUUUGUACCGUUGGUCCCUGUUCCCAUGGCUUACCUGCAUAAGGCAGAAUCGAAUUGUCAUAUGACAACAAAACCUUAAUUUCUAAAAGAAGAGGAGCCUUAUAUUACUAACAAAAAAAGCACGCGCCAUAUGCACACAAAAAAACAGCAAUCACUAUUGACAUUAUUAGGUUUGCAACAGAGACUGCUUUUAGCUAAAUGCCCAGAGUUGCCACAGCCCCCAGCAGAAUCCAACAAGAUGGAAAGUUUUGAACACAUGAAGACUAAUACAGGAAGCAAAAUAGAAGAAUGAUACUUUUAAAAUCAAUGUGAUAGAUAAAGAGUAGUAUAUGAAAUGAUUAGGAAUAUACAUAUAAAACAGUGUAUAGAAUAUUUUGGCAAGAUAAAGAAUAACAAAACGAGUAUAUUGUGAAACCAUACCAAGAGAUUGUUGACCAUCAUCACCAAUACAGCAAGUAUGAAUGAUGAACUCCACACAGUUCAUUCAGAAGCAAAGGACAAGAAAACAAAGUCCAGAAUGUUAAUAUACGAAGAAAAAAUUAGUCAAAAAGACAAAAGGGAAAACAUGGACCAUAAAAGCAAUUAAAACCUGGAUGUGAUGAUUAGAAAAACAAUAAAUAUAGCACCUGCUAUAAUUAUCAGAUGAAUUAGAAACAGAUGUAAUAAGAAGCUGAGAGUUCAAUUCCCAAUGACCCCAAAAAAACGAAAUAGGAAGUCACAUAAAUGAUAGAAAGAAAUACAAAAAGGUCUCAACAAUAAACUCAUCAAAACUGAAAAAAAUAUUAGAAAUAUGGCUAAGACUACUGAUUCAUAACAAACAUGAAAAAUAAAAAGAAAGGAAAAUCAAGUUCAAUAACAAGGUGAAAGUUAUGAACAUCACCAUCAUUGAUCAGUGGCCUAAAUCACCAAAAGAUCAUAAUACCGAAUGUCUGUCAAUAUAUGAAAACAAAGUCUGUCAAUAUAUGAAAACAAAGCUAGAUUUGGAAUUAUAGAAUUGUCAUUAUGGUGUUUGGAAUACUGGCCGAGUGCCACAGCAAUAUUGAUCAAAUUAGUCCUGCAAAUAUCCAGAUAUUGCUCAAAGAAGAUAUAAAACACCAAGUGAGGAAAAAUCUUUAUCUACAUAUCAGAAAGUAAUGCUGCAGAGAAUUGAUGGGAAAGCGUGCAAAUCACGAUUUGGCACCACUCCAGCACAUGAAGAGGAUGGAUGAAAUUAAAAACAAUUGAGCUGUAUGAAAUUGUUACACAGGGAGGUUGAGUUCAAACCUUCAAGGUUUCAGACAAUCUUGAACUCCCUCGCGGCUCACAAUGAAUGAACAUAAUCACCAAUUGCCGUUAAAGGGUUUGCAUUCAACAAAACUCAUGCUGUGAGCGAAAAUUUUAGUAUCAGUCAACAGUCAUACCUGUUUGUUCAGUGGUAAGUAAAACGUGCAAAUCUCUGAUGCCUGCCAACAUGUUAGAAAUAAAUAAUUGUAACUAAGCCUGCAUCUCACUCAGAGGCUUUGGGCUCACGUUAACAGAAAUAUGUGCCAACAAGAAGGCUUCAACUAACCAUUUAGAUCCACACUACUGAAGCAGACCUCAUGGCCAUCCUUUGCACAAUCAGCAGAUGGCAGUGCAUUAACCAUGAAAGCUUCUCCUAAUAAGUUGCUCCACAGAUGGCUGAUUGUUAACUAAAUCAAAGUCACGGAAGCACUACAAGAAACUCGAAAUAUAAGUAUUUCAACCCUUUUCAAGUAUGUUAUAUUCUCUAUACAACACAAAAAUCCAUUAUCAAAGAACAGCAUAAAGUAACGAGUAUUUUGGAGAAUUUGGGGUUAGUAGAAAGCAGGAAAAUACGGCCAUGAACAAACAUAGAGAGAAGGAGAGGAGGGGAAUUACCGUUGUACAGUCUUUGGAGACUGCACCUACACCACAAAGGUUCUUCAUCAGGCGAACGGCAAAGCAGCUAGAGAAAAAUUAAUCAGAUGACAGCUAGGCGGCUAGAGAAAAAUUAAUCUGCUUUAGUAAUCUAAAAGUAAACAAUCAUCUAGCAAAACAAUAUCUAAUCACUCCAUACCACUCAAUGGGCUUCGUCCUUCCUCUUUGAAGGGGUUAAAACUACACCAUCAACAUAUAUUUGACAAUGCAGACAGGUAUUGUGGUGUAUGAGUGAUAGGUGUACGACAGUGGAAGCAAAGAAAAAUAUUGAAGACGCUAAAUGUCCGCUUAAAUUUCAGCAUGGCACAUGUGGAAGAAGCACGAACCUGAUCAUCAGGUGGACAACAAGUACCAUUCACAAACUUCCGAUGGCAGCCAAAAGCCUAUGGUUAUGCCCAGACAACAAAGUCAUCAAGCCAUGAAGCAGCAGGCUCAGCUAUGUAGCUUAACUCUGGAAUCAUAGAUGCCCUUGUUAUCUGUGAAAAACGAAAAAAUACACAAGAAUAGGAAUAUCAAGAGGCAAUAAGAAAAAUUAACAGCAGCUUAACUUUCACAUGUAUUUGGGAUAAAGAAUUCAUCACAUCAGGAAAGUGUUAAGUGAAUCAAAAAAUUGUUAACCUUCAUGUAGUAUUAAAAUAAUGCAGCCUUUAGAAAUUAAAUCCCAUAACAUAGUUUAUUAUAGUAUAUAUAGAGUCUAACAAUCCUUGAUAUGGACAUGUCAAAUCUACCAAGAGUAAAAGUUGAUACGCUGCGUCUAAUGGUAUACUGAGAUUGGUUGGAACACUGAAUUACCUCAUUCAAACAAGAGCUUGAAUCACACCAUCUGAUGAAGCAUAACUUGUUUGUAUGUCUGGAUUCCAAGCUGAGUAUGAAAGCUGUUUGACGUCCGAACAAAACAGUUUGAAGAUGCUUAAUGUAAACUGUAGUAUUAAUCUUCAAUUCAAUUAUUUAAUACCCUAAAAUUUUGAAUUUAUUGCUUUAUAUGAUUGGGACCCCAAAAAAAAAAAAAAGUCUUAAGCAACCCGAGUGUCCAUUACAGACUGAUAUACAGUAAUGCUGUUAAUAUUUUUUUUUAAUAUUAAAACUUCUUGUUAUGUAAUCAUUAUGAGAAAAAGUGCAUGAAAAAACAACCAGACUGAUACAUAUAGUUGUAAUUGUUAACAACAACAUAUAAUGGAGGACCAACUCUUAGAUAAUCUGGUUUUAUCGAAAUACUCCAGAUGCAUUAACAGGAAAAAAAAAAUUGGUGGUCAAUAAGAUCCAAAGGGGUAAACAUCAAUGCUAAUCAACAAUCAAAAGACAAAGAAAAGUCAAUUGAGAGUUCAAACUUGAAGAUAAGACUCCCGAGGAAGAACAAUCUGUUGCUUCAAACCAGUUUUAAUCAUUAUAGAUAGAACCUAUUAUGUAUAAGAAACAAGGUAAUAUACAAUAAAGUAACUCAAGAACUAACGUGGAUAAAAAAUUUGCUUCCAAGAAUUUUAAAAUAAAAAAAAAAAAAAAGAGUAAUAAUGUUGAAAGUCAUGAGCCACUUAUAAUGCUUGCGACAGUGAACGCAAGAAACACAGCAACAACUACCAUCCUCAAUCUCAAGAGUCUGAGAAUGAGUGCAUGAACUUCUCACAUGAAGUGAUAUCUUUUAAAAGAAAAGCAAGAGAAUAUAACUUUUCACGUUUUGCCCCAAGGCAAUUAGCAUCCCAACAUAUCUCAACAUACUCGACUUAAUACCACCUUCCACACAAAAUAAGCAAAGAAUUGUCUGCAUUUACCAAGAUGAAAUUUCCAUAGAUUUCAAAAGCUUUCAGAGAUUCUGAAAAUUUUAACUUCAUAUUUCGAGCUAGUAGUCCAGAGGAUAUCUGACCGAUGCCUACACCUCACCAAAAUGACUUCAUAAGAGCUACUAGUGAAUAAGAAAACAAGGGAUAUCCAACACUAUGGUACUGACAAUUUUUUGACACUGUGCUACAAGAUACACAAUGAAAACUAUGUAAAGAUUGAUUAAAGAAAUACCUUCAUCAGAUUCUCCACCAGAUGAAGGAACCUUUAUGCAUAGAAAACAACCAAUCCUGUUAUCCUCAGCUCUCAAGCAGUCAAAAGUUAUCAGUAGCAGCUGGCAACAAAGGCAGUAACUUGCAAAAGGAAGUCCAUUAGAACAGUCGAGGCUUCAAAAAAUUAUCUUUUAAGUUAUACAAUUUUUGGACCUGCAAACAUAGAGAAGACAUGGCAUGCUGGUGUGGGAAUGAAGCUUCCAACUGCAAAUGCCAGAAACUCUGAUAAACUAGCAAGAGUUAUGGACGGACCAACUUCAAUCAGUGCAUUGCUUAUUUGUGUCCCUAGAAAAAAACUCCAACCAGAUUAAAGGUUACAGGAACCACAGAAGAACAUAUAAAAUAUAAAAACAAUAAAGAAACUAUAUAUGCAAAGAAAAUAUAUGUGCCAGCAUCAAUAAUUCACAAAUAGCCACUCUGCCUAAAUGAAAACAUAAUAUGAAAUACAACAUGGGUGAUUCCUUCACAUUAAACACAAUUAUACAGAAACUUCUAAGGCAUGUUAAAGGCAUGACAGGAAAAUAUACAAUGAAGGCAAGCUAAGAAAAUUUAGGGAGUUGAAAUGAAUUUUCAUCGUGCAUUGGCAAGCCCAAGAUGAAUGUAGGACACAAAUCCCCCCACAAACAACAUCAAGAAAACAAUGGAAUUCAAAGAAAAUUGAAGAAUGAACUUACAGCUAAGACAAGGAAAGGAAUAACUCCCAUUAUGAUCAAUGUAGAUUUAACUCCAAUAACACUGAAAAAUCCAACAGAUCCAGAGUACAGAAAACAUGACAAGUAUAGCUCCUGAAAGGUCCAGCAACACCUAGAGACCAAAAUUGUAAGUCGCAUUGAGCUGUUUUUGUCAAAUAGAUAUCAAGUUCUCAAGAAGCAGAAGAUAUACCUCUAGUCAGUAUGAACUUACAUAAUAAAACUUCAUAUGAGAAUCAACUCAAGCAAGAGGACCUUAAUGAAACUCAGUGUUUAUCACAUAAAAAAAAUUACCCAUGAAAAACCUCAGUGUAGAUUACAAACAAACACAGAAAAUAAAUAUAAAAUAAAAUAAAAGGUAGGGCACAACUUAAAGCCAAAUAAAAUCAUACCUUGGAUGCAAUGUAGAAAGAAGAUAAACGAGGUGUGUCUCCAAGUGCCACAGAAAUGUAGGCAAACAUCACAAGACAGCUUGCCUGAGGUGCCGAUGGCUAAAAUGGAGAAAGCAACGAAAGACCAAUCAAAUCAUCAAUAAGACCACAUGAUACAGAUUGUUCUCAAGAGGAAGUUGGCCAAUGUGAAGAGCUAUUAUCAGUGACUUACUUCUAUGGUGACGACAUCUGCAGUACUUUCUCUUUUCAGUUCUUCCUCAAUCGAAGUUUGUGAUGAAAAUGAAAGAGUAAGAUUGCUAGACCGAACCAUUAGUAACAGCCACUCCUGUCAAUUUUAAUUUUUUGGAAAUUUAAUUUCCAGGAAACCAUCAAAAGUUGAGUAAUAUAUAUGAAAUACAAAUUACAGCCGCCAAAUCAAACAAAUGCAACCAUGCUCUAACCUAGCCAUACAAAUUCCUUCAAAAUGGUCUAUUUUAAUUAAAAGAAUCUCCAAAGUUGCAUGAAAGAGAUAAUCAUCCCACUAUACCUGUAUCCAUACCUUAAAAAAGCAAGCAAUCUGAUGUUCCAGUUACACUUGCCGAAGCAUCAUCAUGAGAACAAACCCUUAGAGAUUAGAUAAAAAACCGACAGAAAACACCGACUAUAUUCUCUGAGCAUGCAAGAUCUUUCAUGUGAUUGGCAACCCACUACCACACAAUGAGAAAGCCUUUGAUCUACUCAAAACCUAGACAAGCACGGCUUCCUCAUCUAUGUGCUACUUCGAGAUUGAACAACAAACAAAUACACUAAACACAUAUCACCUUAUUCCACUCCAAGGAAUUGUUCAGCUUUUGAAGUAGUUGAUGCGCAGAUACAUUUUUUCAGUGAAACGUGAAAUUUAGGAAUCCAAACAAAAAAUUCAAACACCACUAAACAAACAACUCUGCUGCCAGACCUUGCCAACUAAAUGAAAGCCUUUUCCCAAGACAAAGCCUUCCCCUUCUCUUCACUUGUUUCAUCAAUUACAAUAUUAACUGGAUAGGUGAUAAUAGAGACAGAAGCCUGAAAUCAAACCACAUCAAUGCUUAGGAUACAAUCAGCUUUCAAACAAAGGGAUAAAAGUAUUAGCUCAGAAUAAUAGCUCAAAAAUCCUCUUAAGACAGUGCUUGCAUUGAGUCGAGCCUUAAAAGCGCUCAAACAUGUGUCUGAAGAGGCAUAAUGCUGAAAUUGGAACACACGGGGAAUUAAAAAGUCAACAUGUAAAUAACAGUCCUAGAUAUACCUCAGUAGCUGUCAUGUAACAGUAACUAGCUUUAUACCCGAAAACAAUACUCAGCAUGUCCAAUUCCUCCAGAGGAAUCGUACUUUCAGGGUCAUUUUCCAAAUACUACCAGAAAAGGCAGAGAAUACGAAAACGACAAAGUUAAUACUUGGAAAGUGUACAAUAUGUUUUUGUAUUUUUGCAUCAUCAUGGUGAAUCUAAGCAUACAAUUAAAGAUAUAAAUAGGUCCCAUUAAAAAAUGAUAAGCAUAGUAUCUCAGCGUCUCCCAGAGGCAAGGCCUUUCCCCCAAAAAACUACUCCGUCGGCUCUAAUAGACUCUAGACACAUGAUUGGUAGACAUAUCAGCAUCAAAUCCAUGGAAAUGCAGGAAAAUAUUAAAAGGCCUCAGAAAACACUAAAUGCUCGAUUCUAGGCAAAACACUUGAUGAACAUGAAUUAACCCUCCGAAUACAAAGCAAAUCACAAAGCAUUAGAUUAAAAAGAAAAAAUUAGAAACCUGAAUAUUUUCUUAAACCAGUCUGUGCUGCAUUAUAUGCAGUAGUGAGGAAAUAGUCACUGAAAUUUGAUCACACCAUGGUGGUGUAAUUAAUGACACUUGUGAAAGAUGGUUUCAAGCUUGACUGCAAUUUCAACACAAAUUGCUCAAGUCUUAAGAACCAAAACCAUCAAAUGCUAGUCCAUAGAAUGCAGCUCAGGCAACCAAGAAUGAUCACCAGAACUGCAUUAAUUAAGACAGCUAGAGCUUCUAUUCUACGGCAUCGCAAACGAACUGUAAACUAUGCAUAAAAAGCAAGAGCUGGUGCCAUAGAAUGUAGCUCAGAUUAAUGAUAUUCUGGAGCUUCCAGGCAAUGGGGAUCUUAUUCUUUCAUCGACAACAAGUAUGACCGCCCUUACAUCAAACAUCAACCAGGUGCAAAUAACUGCAGCAGCAAAAUCUUAAAAAUGCUUCUCAAGAAGUCCAUCACCCAUGAGAGCUAACAGCCUUCAGUAUCGGGUUGCUUAGAAUUGAGCUGAAGAGACCUCGAGCCUGCAAAGGAAGCACAGCUUGAAAAGUCACAACAGUCAUUUGAAUGGCCUAACAAAAUUAGGCAAUAUUGUAAGGCAAAUUAUGCUUCCUGCACGUCGGGGAAGCUAAAGGAGCACCACCUGAAGCUGCAAUCAACCAUGAAACCAAUCCAUCCAAGAAGGGUAAAAGCACUUCAUAUUACGUGUCCCCUGAGGUUUACUUCCUAAACUGCUCACAGACAAUUCAUCAAACACUUCAACGGCAUCAAAAGUUUUUCCCUCGAAACAUAAACACAACCCUUUUAGUAAAAUCACUAGACUCCUUAAUCUUUCACAAUCUCCCAUUCCCAGGCAUUUUAGUAAUUAGAGGGCUUUUGCUGAGUCAGAUUACUAUUCAGAGUUAACUCAACAGAAGCAGAAAGAAAAAUUACUAUCAUUAUAAAGGCAGGAUCAAGUAUCCAUCCAACAAACAACAAACAAAAGAGAAAAUAAAUAGGCAACAGUUAUAUGAUCUUUCUCUAAAAUCCAAAACCUAUCAAGACAUCAAAUUUAAAGCCCAUUUUAAUCCUUGCAAACAUAAAUAUAUAUGAACAUUCGUUAGAAUCACAAAGAAAAGAAUAAUCAGCCACCACCAAGGCCAGCAUUCUGUUGCUGAAUCUCGGAACUUUGCAAAGACGCACUGAUUGGCCCCAGGUUCACAUUUCUAGCACUCUCCCCAUAAUUACUUGCAGUAAUAGAUUAUUGAGCACUACUAUCAUCAUUAUUAUGAAGCUGCUGUUGUUGUUGUUGGGCCAGCUGCUGCUGUUGUUGUUAUUGGGCCAGCUGCUGCUGCUGCUGUUGCAAGAACCCAAUGACAGCCUGCUGCUGCUGCAAAAACCCAAUGAUGGCCUGCUGUUGCUGUUGCUGUUGUUGAAAUCCAAUCCCAACUUCUUGUUGUAAUUGUUGUAGAAUCCCAAUCACGGCCUGCUGUUGCUGUUGUGAAAAUCUCAACGCUGCCUGCUGCUGUAGCUGAAUAUGCCGUUGUAGCUGUUGUAAAAAUCCUGUCACCGCCUGCUGCUGCUGUUGUGCCUGCUUCUGUAGCAGUUGUAAUGACCCAAUCACCGCUUGCUGCUGUUGUUGGACUCGCUGUUCUAAAAAUCCCAUCGCUGGCUGCUGCCGCUGCUGCUGCUGGGCCUGGCUUUGCUGGUGAUGUUGCCGUUGCAAGAACCUCAUCACGAUAUGCUGUUCCACUGCUAAACAGUGGACCCUGACAUAAAUAGCAAGGGACUCGUUCAGUUGUUGAUCCUCCCAACUUUGCAAAGACGUGUUGCUCGGCACAGUACUUUGCAGACGAUCAAGACGCAGUUGUACCCGUUGUAAAUACUGGAUCCAUUCUUGCUGGUGUUGCUCUUCUGAAGUCUGGAACACGGCCUGUGUUUACUGUUCAAAAGCCUGAAUCGAGGAGAGAAGUAAGUUCUUUUGCAGUUUUAGAAAGUUUAGUCUAGCAUUAGGACCACCAGCAACAUAAACAUCGGCAAUCCUCUUCGUAGUCUUCAAAAAAAUCUUCAAAAAGGCCUUCAAAAGAUCAACUCUUCCCAGAGUCACAAAGGUUUUCAUCGCAUUCACUAUUUGAUCCACGCCGAACACCCUACAAAUUUUAAAGACUUCUUCUGUAUCAGAAGCAUCCCCACCCAAACAAUUCUCCAACCCAUUAUCUUUAAACACCUUAAUCACAUUCUCUUUUUCUGCAUCACCACCAGCGAUCUCAUUCUCAUAGUCAUUCUCCCCUGUUAAUUUACCAACCAAAAAAAAAAAAAAAAAGUUAGUGUUAUUGUUCACAUCAUCAUCACAGUUGUGAGGUAGAGCAUCAAACCCAAACGAUUUACAAAAUUAUCAUUAAAAUAAAUAAAAAUAUCAUACCUGAUGAUGAACGCGCGGACAUAUUCAUGGUUUUUUUUUUUUUAAUUAUUACAAGAGAAUACUGAUCAGAUUACAACUCAUAUUAUAUAAGAUUAUAACUAAUAUUUAUAAAUCAGAUAAUGACUGGGACCAACUUACAUCAAUAUUAAUGAAGCUUUGCCUAGAUUUUAACCCUCACAAAUAUUUGAGGGAUGUCUACUCCUCACUCAUGGGUAAGAGAGAAGACUACCUUCACUCAAAUUAAUUGAGAAAGAAAAUACCCCCACAAUACUUUUGUGGGGGUUCGAACUGCUGCCCUCCAACUUGGAGGGCAGCAGCCCUGGCCACUCGCGCUGAGCCGAGUGGUUAUAUUGAUGGGUUUUUUGAAUAUGAAGAAGUGACCACAAAUUCUUUAUAAAUAGUAACAAAAAGAUUCUUAUAUAUAUACACACAUAUGUAUACAUAUGUAUACAUAUGUAUACACAUUUGUAUGUAUACAUAUGUAUACAUACAUAUGUAUAUAUAUAUUUAGUACAUACAUAUGUAUAUAUAUAUUUACAUACAUAUAUAUAUAUAUAUAAAGUUGAGACUUCAAUAGCUGAUGUAGCAACACCAUUCCUCAUCUUUUUAUAUUUUCUAUUAUCUAAAAUAUUAGUGGAUAUGCUUUGUGCAUAUUUUUUCUUCUUUUUUUUUAAAUCCAACAUUAUGUAACCAUUAAUAAUAAUUAAUUAUAUGUCUUUUGAAACAUUCAUUUAUUUUAUUAUGCUAUCAAUUAAACUUUAGUGGUUUAAAAUACAUCAAUUAAUUAACAUAGGAAGAGAUGUUCUUUUAUUUUCCCUCAACAAUAUUACUAGUGCCAAAUUUUAAUACCAUAAUCCCAUAUUUAAUAAUGUAAUAUUUUAUUUAGUGCAUUUUGGCUUCUUCAAAUUUUAUUAUGCUAGCAAAUAAACUUUAGUGCCUUAAAAUACAUAAACUAAUUAACAUAGAAAGAGAGAUUCUUUCAUCUUCCCUCAACCUCAUCUUUUUAUAUUUUUUAUUAUCUAAAAUAUCUAAAAUAUUGGUGGAUAUUCUUUGUACAUGUUUUUCCUCUUUCUAUUUAAAUUCAAUAAUAUGUAACCAUUAAUAAUAAUUAAUUAUAAGUAUUUUAAAACAUUCGUUUAUUUUAUUAUGCUAGCAAUUAAACUUUAAUGGCUUAAAAUACAUCAAUUAAUUAACAUAGGAAGGAAAGAUCUUUAAUCUUCCCUCAACAAUGCCACUAGGGCCUAAUUUUAAUGUCAUAAUUACAUAUUUAAUUAUGCAACCUUUUGUUGAGUGUCUUUGGGCUUCUUAAAAUUUUAUUAUACUAACAAUUAAACUUUAAUGGCUUAAAAUACAUCAACUAAUAUAUAUAUAUAUAAAGCUGAAACUACAAGAGGUGAUGUGGCAUCACCGUUUCUCAUCUUCUUGUAUUCUCUAUUAUCUAAUAAAAUUAGUUGAGAUUAAAAAAAUAAUUACAUUACAAAAUAUUAAAAAUAAAAAAUAAUUAUUAGAUUACAAAAGAUUACAUGUCUCUUCCUCUUUCUAUAUAAAUUUAAUAAUAUAUAACCAUUAAUAAUAAUUAAUUAUAAGUCUUGAAACAUUCAUUUAUUUUAUUAUGUCAACAAUUAAAAUUUUAGUGACUUUAAUACAUCAAUUAAUUAAUAUAAGAAGGAGGGUUCCUUCAUCUUCCCUCAACAAUGUCAUUAAGGCCUAAUUUUAAUGUUCUAAUCCUAUAAUUAAUUAUGCAACCUUUUGUUUAGUGCCUUUUGACUUCUUCAAACUAUAAAUAUUAAGUAGUUAAGAUUUGUGACAUCAUUAUUUCUCUUUUUUUAUAUUCUCUAUUAUCUAAUAUAUUGGUUGAGAUUAAAAAAUAAUUACAUUACAAAAGAUUAUGUGUCUCUUCCUCUUUCUAUUUAAAUUCAACAAUAUGUACCAUUAAUAAUAAUUAAUUAUAAGUUUUGAAAUAUUCUUUUAUUUUAUUAAGCCAACAACUAAACUUUAAUGGUUUAAAAUACAUCAACUAAUUAAUAUAGAAAGGAAAGUUCAUUCAUCUUCCCCCAUCAAUGCCACUAGAGCCUAAUUUUAAUGUCAUAAUCUCAUAUUUAAUUAUACAAUAUUUUGUUUAGUGUCUUUUGGCUUCUUCAAACUCUAUAAAAUUAAAUAUUUAAGAUUUGUUAUGUUUUUAUUUUUUUAUUAUUUAACCAACAUCCUCUUUAGAAAUAUUCUUGUGUUUUCAUCUUUUGACUUGUUUGAAUUUUUAGUAUUAUGUGCUUCAUGGAGUACUAUUUUCUUCAUGAGUUGAACAAUGAUAAAAGUAGUUGGAUGAUAAGAGUUAGGCUUUGUAGGAUGUGUGAGUCUGUUAAUAUCAAGAAGAAUGGAGAAUUAAUUAGUGUGAAUAUAAUUUUUAUUGAUGAAAAAAUUGUGUACACUUAACUAUACACAUUAAUAUAUAUUUUUUAAGUUAGCAAAAAAAUUUAACUUUCAUAAAUAACAUUAGUUUUAUAAGGUUGCGUCAUCUUUAAAAAAAAAUAAUUCAUAUUUUUUAUCAGUUUCAUCAAAUACAACGUAAAAUAAAAAGAUAAUAUUAAAUUUUUUUUUUAAAAUUGUGUGAAGAACGAUUCUAUUUCCUAGUCUGUUAUAAAAGAAAAUUAAUUUGUUUUCCAUACCCCAACAACUUUAUUUAAAAACCAUCAAGCCACGCAAUUUUUAGCUUGUACUUUCUCUUGCAUUAAUAUAAACGGGAAUUUUUUUUAAGAAAAUAAUAGUAAUCAUGAAGAACGGAAGUUAAGGUAGAGGAAGAACAAAUCUGAACAAGAUUAAUAAAUAGUCCAUUGAGGAAGAACAAAUCUGAACAAGAUUAAUAAAUAGUCCAUCCAUCAUUCAUAUGGGAGAAAAUCAAAGGAAAACAAAGAGAAAGAAUAAAGAGACAUAAUCGAAGAAAAAACAAAAUGAAAAUAAAAAAUUGAAAACAAAUCUAUUACAGAAUAAAGAAUAUGGAUUGAAGUUUAUUUAUAUAUAGUAACUUUUUAAUGAAAGAAUCCCUUACUUUUUUAAAGAAAUAAUCGAAAAGAAAAAAAAAAUAUUUUAAUACACAACAUUAUAAGAUAAACUACAUUAUAUUAAAGUGUAUAUUUUUUAAUCCUUUAACUUGUUUCUUACUUUAAUAAAGUAAAAAAAAAAUCUCUUAUUAAAAAAUCAUUGUAUCUGUAUGUAUACAUUAUUAUAUUAUAAUGACAAUUCAAACUUGUUUAGCCCUUUGCACAGCAUUAAAAUCUGAUCUUUAUAACAUUUCAUAAUAUUUUAACAACUAAAAUAACCCAUAAUUAUAUAAUAAAAUUAGUUUUAAUGUUUGGUUUUGCAUGAGCGUGGCUUAAAAUUAAAAUUUAUAACAAAAGGCAACAAUUAAAAAAUUACAUGAAAAAAUUAUUAGAAAAAUAUUGUGUCGCUUGAAUCGACGUAAACCAGUAUCUCGGUUUGGUGCCUAAACCGGUCAAAAAUUCAAAAGCAGAGUGCGAGGAAGUCUCUGCGAUUUAUUUAUUGCCGAAACUAGGGCAAGAAAAGAAAGUUCUUUAAAAACGAGCUAUUCGUGUACGCGCCACUGUCGUGACUUUUCCGGUCUUGCUUUAAACACCUAGUAGGAAGGAUUAGGUGUAUUAUAUUGUUUUUUAGGAUUAUUAUCAUUUCACUAUUUUAAAAAUUACCAAAUAUCAAAUGACUACAACAAGUAUUGUCUCCUAUCAUUUUCUUACUAUAUCUUUAUAAAAAUAUUAUUUUACUACUUUUCCGUUACAACAAAUAUCAUUUCACUACUUUUCUAUUACAACCGUUAGUUGACCCGUUAGUUGACCAAUUAGUUAACUAACAAAAUAUUAAUUUUACCCUUCAUGAUUAAAAAAAAUUAAUAAGACAAAUUUGUAAUCCAUAUAUCAUAAUUCCAACAAAAAGAAUUAUGUUAUCUAUUUUAAUAAAUAUUUUACAAAUUUAUUUUGUAAAUAAGCUUUAAGUAUUUUUUUUUUAAAUCAUGAAGGAUAAAAUUGGUAUUUUAUUAGUUAACUAACUAGUCAACUAACGGUUAUAACGGAAAAGUAGUAAAAUGAUACUUUUAUAAAGAUAUAGUAGGAAAAUUAUAGGAGACAAUACUUGUUGCAGUCAUUUAAUAUUUGGUAAUUUUUGAAGUAGUGAAAUGAUAAUAACCCUAUAUUUUAUUGUAUUAAUAUUAUAUUAUAAUAACAUUAUAUAACGUUUUACUAUACAAUAUUGGUGUUGUACUAUAUUUAUUAAUCUUUUUGAUGAUUAAUUUAAAUUGUAUAUUUAAAAAAUAAUAUUUAUUAGUACUUACAAAAAUAUUAAAUAUAGAAGUCUUAAAUUUUAGAAAUUUAGCAUUACUUUUUUUUAAUAUUAAUGUUAAGAAAAAUAUAAUUUUUCAUAAAAAUAGAAGUUUGUGGCUUUAAAUUCUCGACAAUAAACAUUUAUUUUUCAGCAUUUUUAAAUAUAUAACCUAUGAAAUAAUGAUUGAAUCAAAUAUUCAAUCAAAUAACAUCUAAAGUCUAAUUAAUAUCACAACAUAAAUAAAUAUUUUUCUGCAUUUUUCAAAAAUAAAGGAGAUAUUGAUAAUUAAUUUUGAUGAAGAAAACAUCAUAGAUGUCACAGAUGAAUAUUAUACUACUAGUAUAAUUUUUUUUUUCUUUUCUUUGUUGAGUUUCUUACUUUUGUGAACUCUUUUCGAGAACCAUCUUUCCAGUAACCUUUUCUUCUUCUACAUCUUUGGUAUGUGUUUGAUCCUGUUUUUUAUUACAAAAUUUGAUUAUUGAAAGGGAUCCAUUUGAAAUGAAUUGAAUUAAUCCAUCUUUCUUAAACAGGGAAGCUUGUUGAAGAGGAGGAAGGAAACUUCAUUUUAUGGCUCUCUUACAAUUUUACUGGUGCCGCAGCCAACUCCGUUUCAUGGCUUGUUUUACCAAAAAAUGUGUUGGAGCCUCUAGUGCUGUUUUUGGGUUGUUUGCAAUUAGUGUCCUGUAAAGGUACUCAAAAUCAAAAUCCUUGAAUGUGUACACUUCAAAAUGAAAUUUAUUUAUAUAAAGCUUCUAACCUUUUUCCUUAUUGUAGAUGCCUUAGGACUGGUGGAAGAUUCUGGAGGUGCUUAUACUGGCCAAUUUGUUGUAGAGAAUGUGAUUACUUCCCUCUUAUCUUUUAAAUUAUACUUGGUAAGCUGACUUCACGAGAAAUUAAAAACUAAAAAGUUUGAUGAAUUGAUGCUCACUAUCCAUUAUUUUCAAGUGUAUUGGGCCAAUCAGAUGCUUAUGAUGUUAUCAUCAUCAAAUUUCAUCCAAAACUAAAAUAACACAUUCUUGGGUUUCUUUUGCCUAAAAAAUGACAUAAGCUUUCAACUUUCCUACCUUUAUCAAUACCUUUUUUUUGGAUAUUUAGAAAUGCAUUUCCUUUUUUAGACGUGUGAAUCUUCUCAUACUUGUUUGCUUUGCUCUGUGGGUUAUGGAGGCAGCCCAGGCUUCAGCCGGAAUGUCGGGCACUUUUAUUGGUGGCUAUUCAGUGCAGAGUAUCAAUCACAUUACAAUUUUAUCUGGUGUUCUCUUUGGUGUAUUUCUGGUUUGGCUUCUCAGUAGAGUUCCUUCUCAAUCUCUUGAGGAUAAGGCGUUGAAUCUUCACGAGAAAAGACAAAACUUUGUGACAAAAUUAACCAACAUAUUGUAUAAGAGGACAGAACUGCUUGUAAUAGCAGUUAAUCUAAAUUGUUAAUUAUUGAUAGAAUUACAGGAUUGAAUAUACUUCAAUUUAUUCGAGUUCUCGCUGAAAAGUUAUUUUACAAUGAAAACGAAGCUUAUUUCCUGAGUUGUGAGUUGGAAAGUUAUUUUAAAAUGAAGAAUAUAUGACAAUGACAUGAGUCAUGACCUGUUUUGUAAUUACUGAAGAUAUGACAUAGUAGCUUGUAAAUGAGGUGCUUUUGUUAGAAAAAUAUACUCUUUAAAAGUAUAUGUGUUUAUUUAAUUGUAAUAAAUAAUUUUUUAAUUAAUAAAAUAAAUGAGGUAUUUUAUUCAAGUAUUUUUAGUUGCAUUAAUAUUUUUAGUAAAGUUCAUUUAAUCAUAUUAUAUGUAUAUAUGUGAUCACCAUGUGGAUUCAUAAAAGACAUAAAUACAAGUUAUCUUAUGAUUAAAUAAAUUUAGUUCUCAGUUGAUAAAUAAAAUUGGACACUUUAUUUAGGUAUAGAUUGUAAUAAAUUUAUUGAAUGAUUUGUCUUAAUCAUAUAUGAAUUUAUUGAUGUAGUACGACUACAUUGAACAAGAUUACCUAUGAGAUUUAAUUAACUUUGUAAUAACUGUCAGACUUAUUAAAUCUCAUAGGCAUUGAUUUUACUGUAAUCUUAAUCUUGACUUAGUUAUUAUUUUAUGAUCGUAAUUGUUAUUCCAUUUGAGUUACCAAUGGGCACGACACACACUUGGAGUCAAGAUUACCCGGUAUCUUGGUGGGAGCAAUUGUGAGUAUUGAAGUGAUAGAUUAACAAUAUAGAAUUUGUACAACACAUCUCUUGAUGGGUUUUCGGCAUUUGAUCAUAGAAUUUUCUGGCCAGAGUGUGUCAACAUAUUUAGUAUGUUAAAAAUGAUCAUUAGAGAAAACUAGUAAGUAUCAAGAAACAAGAUAUAAUCAAAUUGAUUUGACAGUUGAGAUAUCGAUUUAAUUAAUGAUGUGAUACAAAGGAUUAUGUAGUAAAGAAAUCAAUGUGGCAUGGGUUGAAUUAUUAUUGGAGAACACUAUCCUAGGUAGCAUACAAUUAUCGAGGUCAAUUCUAAUUUUUAGUGGACUAGAUUUGGAAUUAAAUAAUUGGGUUAGUUUAAUUAUAUGCCUAAUUAUUGUAGCCACUAUUGUAUGUACCUAUAUGAUUCCCGGGUUAACUCAUUUAAUAGACUGCACCGUUACUAGAUUAAUAAGCAAGAUAACUAACUAUUUGGGUUAAAAGUCUACGUAUAUUAUUUAGUGGGAGCCUCUAUUUAAUAUGCUUGUGUGUAAAAAGGUCUUGUGUUAUUUUAUAAGGUGGGCCCUUAUAACAAGAGCAAGUAACGCCAAUUUUGGUUUUAUUAUUUUUUAAUUUAAAUCAAAUUUGAUUUAAUAGAAUUAAAAAAUAUAUAAAUAUGUAGUCUAGGAUUUCCACCAAAUAGAGAUAUAAAAGGGUUUGUUUUCUCUAAAAGGAUAGAGAAGCCACAAUGUAAUAGAGUUUUUCUCUCUAAUAUUGGAGAGGAAUAUUUUCUCUUCUUAGUUGCUUUUAGUGGUGAUGAAGGCGCUCACACGUCUAGUGCUGAUCAAACUUGAGUCAUAACCUGAAAGAUUAUUUAAUGACGAAUCGGUCCUAAAAGUUUGUAUAAGAAAAACUGAUUUUUAACCAACAGCUUUCGGGAGGGCAAUUAAGUGAUUAACUAAAAAGCUGCAUAUAUGCUUUUAGGUUUGCAUUCCUCUGUACACGAAAAACUUUCCCCUUUAGCUUUUAAUGAAGCCGUGUUUUAAAACUCAGAGCUCAAUAUUGUUUAUGUUAAAUUUUCUACCCCGAACAUUUUCAUAGUCACGUUUUCAAGGGAAAAAACCGGCCUUUUAUUUGCACAACUAAACGUUUUUUCGAAUACAAAAAAAGUAAAUCAAGAUAUUUAUAACGUGGGAUGGCAGAAACAAUGAGCAUUUUUGGUACAGCAAAUAUCAGUAGAUAUAUGGCUGGGAUAGGGAUGAGAUUGGUUUUCACUUGAAUAAAGAAAAAAAAGGUUAAAAAUGAGAAAUUCCCUUUUCUAUGUACAAAAUAUUGACUGUAAUUUCCUCUAUUUGUUUUUUUAAUGAUGAAGGGUAUAAAUUUAGCUGCAUCAAGAAGCAGAUUUUGCAUAGCUUCUCAGUUCAGGAACACCAUUGUACAUGAAUUUGCGAGCUGACUGUACAUACCGACCUGCCCUAGAGGCUGCUUCUGGCAAAUAAUAGGCAACAUUGCUCCAGAUUUACAGGAAUGAGAAAGGUACAUAGAUGAUGUAGCAAACCACGAGCACUCUAAAAAAGAAUUAGUAUCUCUUAACAGCAUUUGACGUUUUUUAAGAGCUGCAGCUUACCUUUUUUAUCACUGCUAACUACAUUUGGUAUCUGUAAGAGAUUAGAAUAAGAGGCACUUGUAGCUUUUUUGUGAUAAAGUCUAAGCUUUCAACUGGCAUCUCUUCCUCUGCCUUCAUUUCAUUGGUCAUUUCCUUAUUUCUUAUUUUACUUAGGAUCCUUUUUACCUCCUUGGUCAAUCCAGUGGCACGCCAAGCUUCUACAAGAAGCAAGAAGGUGGAUUUCUAGGGUUGGACUCCAAAUGCUUUCAUGAUUUGCAGUAUUUCUUCAGCUCUCCAUGGUUGCUUGGCUUCGCUGUAUCCCCCACAUUAGGGUCUAAAAAGUCUUCAAACUGGGAGAAACCCCACGUUCACACAUCUUCUCGAAAACCUCCAUUGCGCGAUCCACGCCACCAUCACUGCACCAUUCACUGAUGAUGGUCGUCAAAAUAACUACAUUCAAGUGGAAUCCCGAUUCAAUCAUAGCCAUUAGUAGUUCUUCGGCUUUUUCUGGUUCUUGUGCACGGAUAUACCCUCUAGCAAGAAUGCUAUAAGCAUGUGCAUCAGAUUUUAUGCCAGCCUUAACCAUGUCGCCGCAUAUCUCUCUGCACUUAUCUGUGAGCCCAGAAGACCUUGGGAUCAUAGGAACUUUCAAAUUUAGGAGGUUUGUCCUAGGAUAAGAGCUUAAGACCUUGGCACUUUUUGGGCUUUGAAUCCUUACUACCUAGUUGAUUUAUUCUAAGUGGUUUGUCCUAGAAUAGAAACCUAGGACCUCGGCUCUUUUUGGGCCUUUGAGAUCUUGCCACCUAAUUAAUUUAUCCUAGGUGGUUUGUCUUAGGAUAGGAACCUAGGAUCUCGGUUCUUUUUGGGUUUUGAGACAUUACCACCUAGUUGAUUUAUCCUAAGUGGUUUGUCUUAAAAUAAGAACGUAGGACCUCGGCUCCUUUCGGCCUUGGAGCUUGAAACCCUUUGGGUUUUAAAGCCUUGUUACUUAGGAGGAUUAUUUUAGGUGGAUUGUCCACUAUUUUGUGGGUUUAAUUGGGAGUAAAUUUAUUAAAUAGGCCUUAUUCGGAUUAAAUUUAUUUGGGCCUUGAUUAUGCCUAUUUUAUUUUCGGUCCAACACAAUCAUAUAUAAAUGGAUUGAAUUUGAUGGUAAAUUUAUAUCCAAAGCGAUUUUAUAAUGCUUGAAAUUACUUGCUAAUUAAGGAAAUCAUUGUAAAAAAGGAUUAAACUCUUCUCUUCUGUCUCUUUCUUGUUUCAAUAAAAAAAAAAAGAGAAGAAUAAAAAUAAAUACUUCUUAAAUGUCGAAAUAGUUAUAUUUUUAUUUCAACAUCACACAUAGGAAAAGGAUCGUUUUAGACAAACAACAUGGUACGAAAUAAAGUACGGAUUCAAUACCUUAUGGCUUUAUCAAAUUAUAUCUAUAUAAAAAAUAGGGAAAUUAUCAUUUUAUCAUCUUUCUUUUGCCUUAUAUUCAUCCAACCACCAAUUUUAACAUGUUCUCUGCACCACCUUUCUUUUUAAAUUUAUAUAAAUUAAUCACUUUUGCACUAACGCCGUUAAAUAAUUUAAAGAAAAUAACAAUUUUACCCCUAAAUAAAUUAAAAGACCAUUUUAUUUUAUAAAGAACUUUAAAAGUAAAAAAUUAUAACUAUAAAAAUACCCCUACAUUUAAUAAAGAAAUGAAUCCAGAAAUUAGAAUUUUUAUUUUUAAUAAAAUUAUAUUAAUAAAAAAUUAUAACUAUAAAAGUGAUUGCAAAAUUUUAGGAUUUAAUAAAAAUCCCCUAAAUUAUUAAAAUUUUGGGACUUAUUUUUUAAAAACGAAAUUUAGUUAUUUUAAUAAAAUUUUGCAAAAUUAUAAUUUUUAAUAAAUAAAUUUGGUUAUUUUUUACUAAAAGUUUGUAAAAUUAUAAAUUUUUAAUAUAAAUAAUUCUUAAAAUUUUACAAAAUCUAAAUUUAAUAAAAUCAGUUGAGCACCUCUAUUUUGGAUUUAUUUUUAUUAAAUUUAGAGGUAUUUUUAUAAUUAUAAUUUUUUUAUUUUUCAAAGUUUUUAUAAGAUAAAAUGGUCUUUUAAUUUAUUUAGGGGUAAAAUUAUCAUUUCGUUUAAAUUAUUUAAUGAUGUUAAUGUAAAAGUGGCUAAUUGAUACAAAUUAAAAAAGAAAGGUGGUACAAAGAACAUGUUAAAAUUUUAAAAUAGUUAAAUGAACAUAAAAUUAAAGAAAUGUGGUGCAAUAAUAAUUAUCCUAAAAAAUAUUCAGGAUCGUGAACUCUAUUAAAGACUAGUAAAACUAUUAAACCAGAUCAACAUUAUGGGAGGGGCUAAGUUACGUGCACAUAACUUAGCGCCAGCCCAACAGUUAUAUAAGUACGUAUAUACACACACACUUAAACUUAAUUGUGCUUAUUGCAAUUGAUUUGUCAAUUGUUCGGUCCCAUCAUUUGUCUUUGACUCUUUGCAAUGUUGUUACUUACGUUACAGGUAUUUGAGGCUACAUUCAAGUGUUUGAUAAAAUGCCUGACUGAAAAGAUCUUAUCGGGAAAACAAUAAUUUUUAAAUAUUGUAUAGUACAUCAACAGCAGCUCCAGAGUCGAUCAUUGAGUUAAGGUUUUAGUCAGAGGGCUACGAUGAAGAGUUAACACAUGAGAGAAACCUAGAAGAUACAGAAUAAUUGGAGAUAAGGGCAAUGAGUCAUCAAGAAAACGAGACAAAAGUUGCAGGGUUUGUUACAUACGAAUAAAUUGUAAUGUAGUGAAAAUGAAUCAGGACACUUGAUCCUAGGUUUUCUUGAUGUAACAGCUAUACAACCCGUAACAUAAAUACUGAUGUAAUGAAAUGAAAUCCUUCAGCUUCAAGCGGGCAAAAUCGUUUUCAUUCUCGUAGCAUUGUUAAUCUACGUUUAGUCUUAACUUUUUUGUUUAAACUAGAAUUUAUAUUGUGUAUUAAUUUCCUACAAAGAUUUUUUCCUCUGCUCGUGGAAGAAUUUCUUUAACUGAUCAGCCACAGUUCAUAAUCAGAACAACAAAUAUUUUUUUAAUCUUUCAAGGCAAGGAACUUAAGAAUUAAUGUUGUUAUUACCCUGUAUUAUCAUUACUUUGUCAAUUUUGCACAGAUGCUGCACCGCCUUAAUUGAUCAUCAGAUGAAUUAAUCCUUUAAGGCUGAAGAAGAAAUAUCAACACUGCAUUCUAUUCUAUUAGCACUGAAUAAAUUGUGUGGAUUAAAUAAAGAGAGUGAAUUUAGCAGCACUCAAUGAAUGGUAGUUGUGCAUUUUUGAGGAAGUGGCCCAGCUUGCUAUUGUCAGACCCUCACUGUUGUGGGCUGCAAGAGCUCACACACAGAGCACCUUCGUUUAGGGGCUGGUUUGGGCUUCUAGUGUCCUAACUUGUUUAGGACAGUUUUGUACGUGGCAAAAUAAUUAAUAAUUCCCACUAAUUAUUCAUUUAUAUGAUAACAUACAUAUUUAAGUCAUCCUAUAUAUAUAUAUAUAUAUAUAUAUAAAGGAUGACUUACGGUUUAACUUAAUUUAAAUCCACACUAUUUGAUCGAGGUCAUGAUGCUGUUGUAAUAUACAACAACGCCUUACUUAUCACCAGGCACAGAUACCACGAUAUGCCUCUGAAAUAUCCUGUAAAUGAAGUUUGUAAUGGUAUAGAAGGGGGUUUCACAAUGCACAGAUACCCUCGCCUGGAUAUUCUCAGGAAUUGUAGCUUCAAGAGGGAAAAAAAAAAUCUCGUCAUAAUCUCGGUGAAUUUUUUUUCUGAUGAAACAUUAAAUGGCUGGGGUUGGCAGGUAAUUAAUUAAGCUCAUUUCUCUCUAAUGAUUUGAUAUAAGUUAUACGUUAGAUGAAACUAAACCCGCCCUUAGCUUAGCUGACCAUAAAUACGUUUUAAUAUCUGUUUGAUGUUAAAUAAAUAGAGUCGUGUCAAUACAUAUAUAUAAUUGAUUGAAAAUAUUAUUAUUCAUUAUUAUUUAGGAAACAUAACUAAUAAAUGCUUUUUUUUUUUCCUACAGAACUUGUCUGAACCAUGGUUGAUUUGCCAAUUGUUCGGUCUCAUCAUUUGUCUUUGCUACAUUCAUGUGUUUGAUAAAAUACCUGACGAAGAACUUAUUAAUUUUUUAAUAUUGUACAAUACAUAAGAGGCAGCUCCAGACUUGAUCAUCAAGUUAAGGUUUUAAUCAGAGGGCUACGGUGUAGAGUUAACACAUGAGAGAAACCUAGGAAGAUAUAGAAUAAUUGGAGAUAACCGCUAUGAUUUUGUGACAUACGAAAAAAAUUGUAAUGUAGUGAGAGAAUAAAUCAGGACCCUUGAUCCUAGGUUUUCUUGAUGUAUCAGCAACACAACCGGUACUGUAAAUAGUGAUGCAAUGAAUUAAAUCCUUCGGCUUCAGGCAGGCCAAAUCGUUUUCAUUCUUAUAGCAUUUUUAAAUACUUUGGAUCAGGGGUGGACCUUGGACUAAAUCUUGGGGGGGCCAAGUUAAAAUUUUGAUUGAUAAUUGUGGUGUAACUGUGGUGUAGUUGUAGGGAACUCAGGAUUUUUGCUUGUAACCAUAGUAAUUUGAUUUUGAAAUUUUGAUUGAUAAUUGCGGCUAUUGUUACAAGAAAAAAAAUAAAAUGAAAAUGUAAUAAACAAAACAAAGAUCGUAUCAAACUUUGAAAAGGUUGUUUGCUAUUUUGUUAGAAUGAAAAAAACAAUUAACAAAAUAAAGAUCAACAAUUGGGUCACUUUGACAUUAUUUGGAAAAAUAUAAAAUUACAGUUUCAUCCAAUAUAUAAAGCUUACAAAUUAAUUGUGUUAGGGUCAAAUCAUAUUUUUAUACCUAAUUUCUAAUAUUUCCUUGAAAUUUAAAAAAAAAUUAUAAAUCUCCAGGUGACACAUCUCACUCUAGUCAUAAGCACCCUCCGCCCUUACUCUAGAUAUCAGUUUUAACUAAGAAAAAAGGACAUUUACACCCCCAAAAUUUGAGAAAAUAGUCAUCAACACCCUCAAGUUUCCAAAAAGAGAUACCAAGGCACCCUUUUUUAACUAUUAUAUCAUUUACCUCUAUUAUCUCAAUGAAGUAGACUUUAAAAAUAUUUUAAAUUAUCUUCAAUAAUAUUUUAAUAAAUUUAAAUAUGUGAAUUAUUAUAUCUAUUUUAAUAUUAUAUUUUUAUUUUUUGUAGAGAUUUUAAAUAAAUAUUUUCAUUAAAUACCUUUUACAAUUAAAAAAAAUGGACAUGCUAAUAAUGUUAAAAUUAUUAUUUUACAUAAUAUUGAAGAUAAUUUAAAUUUUAAUAUAUUUAUUUUCAUAUUAUGAUUCCAAUUUAUUAUAAAAUUUACUUUAAUAUAACAAAAUAUAUCUUAUAGAUUGUAAAAUAUUAAAAUAUUUUUUUAAAUAUUAAAAUGUAUAUAUUAUUACGUUUAUUUUAAUUUUAUGUUUACGUUUAUUAUGAAAUAUUAGAGUUAAUUUUUUUAGGAUAAUACAGGUAAAAUGUAUUAUGAUAAAAAAGAAAUUCUACUAUCCCUUUUUGAAAACUUAGAGGUGUUUUUGACCAUUUUUUUCGAAUUUUAGAAUUGUAUAUAUCCUUUUCUCUCUAACUAAUAAGAUUAGUUUCUCAGUCAUAACUUGUUGCGGAAGCUGAAAAAUAUAAACAAAUUGCUCUUGUUAUUACUUAAAAAAAAUUACUAAUAAGUACUUUUGUUUUCAUACAGAACUUGCCUGCACUAUGGUUGUGACGGAGAAAUGUGAUGUUUAUAAUUUUAAAGUAGUGGCACUAGAAGUACUAAUGGGAAAAGCAUGCAGGAGAGCUCCUCUCCCCUCAUGGUCAUCUUCAUCAUUGGAUGCAAACAUAAAGCUGAUUGAUUUGCUGGACCCACGCCUCUCACCCCCGGUAGAUCAAAUGAUUAGGCAGGAUAUCUAUCUUGUUUCAACGGUAGCAUUUUCAUGCUUCCGUUCGCAACCAAUAUUGAGUUGCAACUAAACAAAUGUUCCUGCAAAGUGCAAACGGCAACAUUAAUCUCUCUGGUAAAGCUAGUACUUUUGCAGUUCUCUCUGACAAAAUAAGGUUUGUCUAAUUGUCUCCCUCUCAAUGAGCUGAAUUAACCAGCAUAUUAAGGUUGUGCCUCUACGAGUUAAAAGAGUAAAUUCUCAUACUAAUUAUUAACUCAUUUUACAAAAUAGAUACGUAUUUUGUUUAGGAGGACGUUUUUGAUGCCGCGUUAUUUAAUAUAUUAGUUUUCUUCCCCCUUUCUUUGUAAAUACUGACACAAAUAUACACAAUAAGUUCAUAAUUUAGCCGAUCUGAUCAAACAUCCGGAACCCACUGCUGAUGACAUACAAAGGUCAGGAAGCUUCUGCACAAGUUUGGGAUAGUGAUAUCCAACCAACUACCUGCCAGCACAAGAUAAACUGAUGUUAGGCCAUGAUCGAGAAAAUUCUGCUUUGAGUCGAUAAGCCUUAUGUCAUGACUUGUUUCUAAUGAGGUAGCUAUGAAGAAAAGCUCUAAAUUUCAAAGAAUUCAUGAGUGAAUAUCUGAAUUGUGAAGAAUCAGCUCUAUGAGGCUAUGACAACAUUGUAGUGACAAACAUGCAUGUCUGAAGCACUUUCAUAGAGAGUAGAUCUAAUAGUAUCUCCACUUCAUUUUUUGAGCUGUUUACCAAGACUGGAUAGUAGAGAACAGCGCAUGUUCCCCAUUACACUAUUGUUGCUUGAAUUUAUAGGUUUCAUCAAUUGGUUCCUUCAAAUCCAUAUACAAAGAGAUGGAAGAAUUAACUUAAAUUUAUUAUUGUGAUUUCCGAGUUUUCAAAUGAUAAGAGUGAGGUGCAGCUGGUUUUAAGACAUUCAAAAUGAAGUGCACGGGCAAAAUAAAAGUUUCAGCUUUACCUUCAGCAUAACAAGGAGUCUGCUGCGUCCAGCCCACUUUGUCUUCCUCUAUAGACCACCACCUCUUCAUCUUCAGCAUUCUCAAUAACACUGUCCGCUGUUUCUUCAUUUGAUUCUUUGGCCACUACAUCUUCAUCUUCAACCUUCUCAGUAGGCUCUAAUUGUGUCACAAUUGUGCUGGUGGUGAGGGGGACGGCUUCAUCAUUUUUCUUAGAUUCAUUAGACCAAGCCAUGUGUUUCUUCUCCCUUUCUAGUCCUUCUUCCUUGGCUUUGUGCUUUUUACCUUGAAGAUGCCCAACUAGAUCUUUCUUGCUACUAGCACUCACCUGACAGAGGGCACAACUCCAAUGCAUGGGUUUCUUUAAACUCGUCAAACGGAGCUUUCCAGGAUCUGCUGGUAGUGCGGCAGCUUCCUGCUUUGAUCCACAAAGAUUGGGAUAGGGCUUAACCUGCAGGGCUUGACCACCCUUCCCUUUCUGGUCUAUGCCAACAAGAGUUUUAUUAGCUUUAUCGGAUCCCCCUUCUACUUUAGUCUUCAUUUCUUGGCCAGCACCAUCUCUCCUUUCGGUAGAUUUUUUUCUCCACUUCUGAGCUCCAAGUAGUUCUUCUUCCUUGGCCUUGUGCUUCUUACCUUGAAGAUGCUUAACUAGUUCUCCCUUGCUAGUAGCACUCCCCUGACAGAGGGCACAACUCCAAUGCAUGGGUUUCUUUAAACUCGCCAAACGGAGCUUUCCAGAAUCUCCUGGUAGUGUGGCAGCUUCCUGCUUUGAUCCACAGAGAUUGGGAUAGGGAUUAACCUGCAGGGCUUGACCACCCUUCCCUUUCUGGUCUAAACGAACAAAAGUUUUAUUAGCUUUAAUGGAUUCCUCUUCUACUUUAGUCUUCAUUUCUUGGCCAGCACCAUCUCUGCUUUCUGUAGAUUUUUUUGUCCACUUCUGAGCUCCAAGUAGUUCUUCUUCCUUGGCCUUGUGCUUCUUACCACGAAGAUGCUCAUCUAGAUCUCUCUUGCUAGUAGAACUGACCUGACAGAGGGCGCAACUCCAAUGCAUGGGUUUCUUUGAACCCGUUGAACAGGGCUUUCCAGAAUCUGCUGGUAGUGUGGCAGCUUCCUGCUUUGAUCCACAAAGAUUGGGAUAGGGCUUAACCUGCUGGGCUUGACCACCCUCCCCUUUCUGGUCUGAACCAACAACAGUUUUAUUAGCUUUAACGGAUUUCUCUUCUACCUUAGUCUUCAUUUCUUGGCCAGCAAUAUGUCUGCUUUCCGUAGAUUUUUUUGUCCACUUCUGAGCUCCAAGUAGUUCUUCCUUGACCUUAUGCUUCUUACCUUGAGGAUGCUCAUCUAGACCACCCUUCACUUUCUGGUUUAAACCGACAACAGUUUUAGUAGCUUUAACUGAUUCGUCUUGUACUUUAGUCUUCAUUUUUUGGCCAGAACCACCUCUGCUUUCUUUUGAUUUUUUUGACGUAGAAGAAGUGGAGUUACUGCACAUUUUCUUAUCUCUAAGUAGUCUUGCUACCUUGGCCUUGUGCUUCUUACGUCGAGGAUGCCCAUCUAGACCACCCUUUACUUUCUGGUUUAAACCAACAACAGUUUUGUUAGCUUUAACUAAUUCCUCUUGUGCUUUAGUCUUCAUUGUUUGGCCAGCACCACCUCUGCUUUCUGUUGAUUUUUUUGACACAGAAGAAGUGAAGUUACCACACAUUUUCUUACCUCUAAGUAGUCUUGCUACCUUGGCCUUGUGCUUCUUACGUUGAGAAUCUUUCUGGUCUAAAUCAACAACAGUUUUAUUACCUUUAACUGAUUCCUUUUGUACUUUAGUUUUCAUUUCUUGGCCACCGCUAUCUCUGCUCUCAGUAGAUUUUUUUGAAGUGGAGAUAAUGAACAUCUUUAAAUCUCUAAGUAGAUUUUUCUUGGCCUUGUGCUUCUUACCUUGAAGAUGCACAUAUAGACCUCUCUCAGUAGUAGCACUGACCUGACAGAGGGCACAGCUCCACUUCUUGGGUUUGUUUGAACUUGUUGAAGGGAGCUUUCCAGAACCUGCAGGUGGUGUGGCAGCUUUCUGGUUUGAUCCACAAAUAUUGGAAUGAGGCUUACCCUGCAAAUGAGACCCAAACACAGUAACGAUGAUGCCGUGCAUUAGUUACCGCAUCAAUGGUAAAAAUGCAAAAUAUUCCCUGUGAGCUCCAUCAUCUGCUAAUGUAGUACCGAUAAAAGAAUUUGUUUACAAAAUAAUAAUGCGCACUAAUUUUAUUUUAAAUUUUGAAUUUCUCGGAAAAGGUCAGAAUGUAGAAAUAUAUUUUAAAUAGUUAAUACAACCAGAAUCCUUGUUAAUUUAGCACUGAACUAGGAAAAUCUUCCCUUCCCAGAAACAAAAAAGGGAAUGUGUUUGAAUAGGAUUCUGCAGCACAUUCUUAAUAAGCUGGACAAGAAGAGAUGAUAUUAAUACUUAUGAGCAUUAUUUCAUAAUUUGAGGAAACACCAUUUUAAUGAAGCCUCCAGCCCAACACACAUACACAAACAGAAGCAACAAGAUUUUAAAUAAGAAAUUACCUGAAAACAGAAACAUCAGUCUGUACAAGUUCAUGCGACACUUGAUGGUAAACAUAUGUAACCUCUCUUGGAACCUUAGCUUGCUACAAGCUCAUGUUUUUCAUUCAAAAAGGUUUCAGACACACAGUGAUUCCAGGUUAUAGAGGAUCACGUGUCCUCGCUGCCCAAAUUUUAAAGCCACAUACAUUGGCAUUUGCACGCAUGGUCAAGAGUUACACAAACUCUCUCAUCCACCUGAGUUGACCAACCAAACUGAACUUGUGAAACCAACGUAAGUAUCAAAUGCUAAAAUAUUUGGAACUAAAUCAAGAUAGUGAGUCCAAAUGUACUCCCCAAAAAACUUGUCACCUGUGCAUCAAGACCAAGGUCUAUAGCACUAAGAAUGGACAUGGGAAUCUCUAAGCAAUGGCUUACUAAUAACAUUCAAAUCCACGUAUGCAGGAUAAAGUCAUUCAAAUGGACAUAUAAAGAGUAAGCUCUGCAUUGUCAAUUGGAGAGGAUGAAGAAACUAACACGAAACAAACUCACUUAUCUCUAUUCAUACUUCAAUUUUCAUAAAUCCAAAAUCUAAAAUUAUCAUUUUGAACUCCCCUCAAUUAGUAAGCUCUGCAUUGUCACUACUUUCUUCUGAAAUUUUCCAUCAGCAGAAAAUCUCUAAUAAAUAAAAAAAAUACUACCAAGUUUCAUAAGUAUCAAAACAAAAGUGAGUAAAGGUCCACUGGGAAGUCCUAUAAUGCACCAGAAAAAUAGCAAUAAAUAAAAUCUUGUUGGUUAUAUUGUGUUAUUUAAACUUAAUAUCUACUGAAAUCCAUCUACCUCAGUACCUAAGCUAUAACCUCAGUAACACGGAAAAUAUCCAAAAAGUUUAGACAUGAAAUACCAGCAAAAGUGAAGCAAAAGGACAGUGUGCACAAGGAAAAUAAACAAUGAAAGCAUGAUCCAAUUAAGGUUCUAGACUCAGAGAAUUGGUACAAUAUUAUUCGUUUUCAUUCUACAUGGUGUAAUUUGAUCAUGCUUUCAUUGUAUACUAAGGCAAGGCAUGUGCAAGAGUCUGCCGUUUAUACAUAGGGUAGACUUCCCCAAGUAAACUAGGGUACCAAAAAUCAACAUCUAAGGAAUCAGCAAAGUCAUCAAUCUCAGGUUAUUUUCUGCCCAGAUUAUAGUAAUGCCACCAUAACAAAUCGUUGUAAUGAAAAAUUGCAGCUACAGAAACCAAGGGAGAAAAAUCUCCUUGAUCAGUCACAAUGAUGCCCCCUUAGGACUGAAUUUUUGAUGCACAGCCCACAGAAGAACAAGGAUUACCGCAUGCAUGGGUAGCAAACCUGGAUGCACCUACCUUGUCAAUAAGAGCAAAACUCAAAGACAAGAUGCCAAAACCAGAUGCACAUCAUUCACAUGCCUCUAAAUUUAGCACCUGAUUGAAUCAAUUCCAUCAAACUUGUAGCAAACCAGAUUCCAUAUAAUACAAUCAUUAAACAAUAUUGAAGACAAAUAUACUCAUUGACACCAAAAUAAAUAAAUAAACCAUGAGAAUAAGUAAAAUUGAAUACCGACCAGCAUAGUCAGUUCAUCCUUCUUGUUAACAUCCAAGCCACUCAAAAGCCCAUGUGAAAAAUGCAGCAGAGUAGAAGGCAGUACAUCGUGUCCAAAUCCCAAGCCGAGAUUCCUACUAAAUGGGAACCACGGGUACCUUGUGUAUAGUUGCAUUAAGAGUCUGUCAUCAAUUGACAGCCCCAUUUCUCUUGCUCUAUGCAUUGCCAUCUCUCUUUCAAUCAUCAGCUCUCUUCUCACCUCUUCUUCAGGCAAUCGCCGGCGCUCAAUUUCUGCAGCAAUUAUUUCAUGCCUGAUUAUCUCCUUCUCAAUCUCACGCUGGAGCGUGUAAAGCAGUCUUGGAUUGUUCAACAAAUCGGGGCCCAUUGAGUAGUUACCUGGAAAGAGAUUGUUUAUGGUAAUUCAAGAUGGCAAGCUACGUUAUUUGAUUUCAAGUGCAAAAGCAUUUAAGGUUCUGAAAUAAAUUUUUCCAUAAAGCAUUUGGAUCACAAUUCGAAGCAAUUCUCAAAAUUACGACAUUACUGAAAGCAAACGUCUAUAUAUAAAUAUGUAUAUUUCCUUUAUUUUUCUUUUAGUUUUUUUGUUUUCAGUAAGCAAAUAGAGGAUAAUGACGAUUGUGAGAGAGAUCUAAACGGACCUCGACGUGCUUGAUCAUCAGAUGAGUAGCUCGAGCUCUGAGAUGACGCAGAAGGAGACGACCGAGACGGCGCCGUUCUGCCGUCAAUUCGUCCGAAGUUGAACUCCAUGGACUGUGAAAAGAAAGUGAGUGCGUGUUGUCUACGUGCAAUGUAACUCUUCGGCGAGCCUGUCAAGUGGGUUUUAGUCUGUAAACUCGUUUUUUUUUUUUUUUUUUUUUCAAACUAUAAUAAUGCUUUUCCCUUUUAAGGCCUCAACUUACUCGUGAAGAAAGAUAUGAGCUUCGAGUUAAAUGGAAACUGGAAAGAGUCUUUUUUCACGCGCCAAAGUUUGGUGACCGACAUGUGUACGUCAACACUAUAUACGUUAUGGAUCUGACUCUCUGGGACUGUAGUGUAAGGAAACUUCAGUCCGGCUAUGAUCCACCGCAAAGCAUGUAAGUUAAUAACCACACAAUCACGGUGUUAAUUUAUUUUUUAUUAUUUAUUUUUUUAAUUGUGUGGUUAUAAAAUAGUGUACUAUAAUGAAAUAACUCUACAUAAUCAUUACUUUAUUUUAUAUAUUACUAUUUCAAUAAAAAAAUAUAGUGCUAAUAUAUAUAUAUUUAUAUAUAUAUAUAUAUUAAAUAAUUCAAUAAAUAUAGAAAAAUUACAACUCCCUCUCAUUUUUCCCACUACUUACAAUUAAAUUUACUUAGCAAAUACUCAAAUCGCACUCGUUUUCUUGAUGUGAGAUUCUUUCAUUGUUGUAAAUACCUUUUCAACGGAAGAAAUUAAUUAUUAAAUUUAGUAUGUUUGUAGAAUAUAGAUUAAAAGUGUGUUUGGAACAGUUGUUUUCCAUCCUAUAUUCUAAGAAAUAUUCUCCUAGAAUAAAACGGUGGAGAGCAGUUGCGCCGUGGUAGCAUGCGGUGCCCCAAACGCAUGUUAGGUCCAUUAGGAUGGGAAAGACAUAAAGAGUUGUUUUAGAUGAAAAGCCGAAUAUUAAUUGUCAUUGCAGGUCUUUAUAUAAAGGCACUUGAUCAAGUGACCAAUUCUUAGAUUGCAAGCAAGCCUGCAAAUGAUCUCUUAACUUAAAUGCAAUAGUAAUUAGCAUGCAAUCUUCACAAAUCAGCCGCGUGCAAUUUACUUGAUUUAUGCAAUCCAAGCUUCCAGAUCUUCAUUCAUUUGCUUCCUAGAUAACUGCUUUUUAUGCCGCUCCUAGCCCCAUGUAAUGACAGAUUUAAGUUUCCUUCCAAUAAAGGAAUAUAUUAUUUUGUAAAGUAGGGGAUAAGUUAAAAAAUUAAAAGAAUAUAUAUAUACACUUUAAUACACUAUAUAAUAAAUGAAAUAUAUUAUAUUUUUUAUCUUUAACUUGUCAUUUAUUUUAUUCUCUUACUUUAAUAUGGUGGACAAGAUGAACAAAAAAUUUGUAAAGUUAGUACUAAAUUGGACAUGGUUGAAAAACAAAUUAAUCAAAAAUUUGGUAUUGAAGAGGUCAUGGUUAAAAAAUAAAUUUCUACAGUUACAAAUUUGGCGAGAGAAUUUCCAAGUGUACCAAAUUUGUGUUCAAUUAUUAACUAAAUUAUUGAAUAACAUAAUGAAUACUGUGUAAAUUGGAGUAGGUUCCCCUUGCUUAGAAAUACAGCCAGCAACAAAAAAUGAUCCAGAAUGGUUAACAAAGCAGCGAGAGAUAGAAGUGGACAUGGUUCAUGAUUGGAUCCUCAAAACUCUGCAAAAUUGCUUCAAAAUCAGAGCAUAAGAUUAAAUUGUGAUUACAAAUUUACUCUUUUUUUUUCCUUCAUCUCCUUUAUCUUCUUAAUAAUUAUGGACAAAAGAUAAAUAAUAAUGCACAUAGCAUAUAAUUCUUAAACUGAGUGUAGGGUGCGUUUGGGAUUGAGGUUUGAUAGCUGUAGCUUAAAAGUUACAACACUAAAGUGUUUAAUAAACACUAGUUGUUGUACCUUGAAAGUUAUGUUCGUAUAAUUUUUCACUUGUAUGAUAGAAAAUUUAUUAUAUCUUUGAUAAUUUUGUCAAAAUUAUUAUUUAAAAUUUAUAUUCACUACAUAUUAUUAACUUUUAUUUCAUAAUUAUAACUUUUUUUCAACACCAGCUGCAGCUUAAAAACUACAGAACCUCAAUCCCAAACAGGACUAUAGUCUAGUUUGUGUAGAACUAAUGUGCAUUAUUUAACAUUGAUUUUUAUUUAUUAUCUAGUUAUAUUUUUUGUUCUAAGAAAAAAAAAUUUUAACUUCCUAGCAACUGGGUUGUGUAGUAUUUUAUUUUAUUUUUAAUUUCUUCAAUUUUAAAUAAAAACUGAUGAACGCUCGUGGUGCAUUUACUAAUCAUCUUUGGAAUGAGCUAGAAUUGAAAUGAGAAAUUAGAAUUAGAAUAGAUUGUUUACUUUAACUAUAGAAAUCGAAAUCUUAAUAAGCUAUAUUGUUAUUGAUGUGUUUACUUUGUUUUGAAAUUGACCUUAGUUGAUAAUGAUCAUUAUUUGCUAUUAUUAUUAAACGAGUUAAAAAGAAAUUUUUAUUUUUACUAAGGGUACAAAUGUCAAGUUACUUCUCAUUCCCACGUCCCCGCUUGGGAAUAGGAUUCCCAUUUCACAUUCCAAAUUAAUAGAGCCCACUCAAAUUUCAUUUUCAUUCCCCUCAUUUUGGAAGUAAACAAAUUAAUGAAUCUUAUUCUCUCAUUUCCAUUCUCAUUUCUAAUUAGUAAACACACCAUCAUAACUCUCUUUUAAGUAGUUAUAGUUUUUAUUCUACAACUAUAUCUUAAAAGUCAUAACACUUCACUACCAAACAAUUCUUAGGAAAUCCUAAUGAAAGCAUAUUUCAUUUAAUUAUGGUAAAAUAAUUAGUAGCAUAUUUCAUUUAAUUAUGGUAAAAUAAUUAGUAAUUCAUACUAAUUAUUCAUUUAUAUGAUGACAGAUAUAUUUUAUUUAGUAGAUCUAAUGAUUUAUAUCCAAUUCAAUAGUAUAUAAAAUGAUGACUUAAAUAUUACUGUUUAACUUGAACUCCAUUGAUUGUGGAACGAAAGAGAGUGUGUAUGCCUAUGCGUAAGGUAAAAAUUGUUGGCAAGCAUGUCAAAUGUUUUAGGGUGCAUUUGAGGUAGUUGCACUAUCUCACCACAGUCCGUAAGAAUAUAAGGGGUGAAGCAACUGCCCCAAAUGCACCAUUAAUUUGUUUGUGUGCCCAACAAAGACAAAUAUACAUACAUAUAUAUAUAUAUAUAUAUAUAUAUAGAGAGAGAGAGAGAGAGAGAGAGAGAGAGAGAGAGAGAGAGAGAGAGAGAGAGAGAGAGAUACACACACACACCCUAAGCUCGCAAUUAGGAAACUAGUGUUUUUUUUUAAUAUCUAUAAUAAUUAUUUUCCCUUUUAAGGCUUUAAUUUGUUCAUGAAAUGCAAUUGAGAAACUCGUGUCUUUUUAAAGUAAAAUAAUGCUUUUCCCUUUUAAGGCUUGAACUUAUUCGUGAAGAAAAGAAAUUAUUUAUAUGAUGGAAACCUAAAUAGUAAAUAGGAGGAAUGUUUCUUUUAAUACAUGCUAAAUCUGUUUGUGGACAUCAGUAUAAGCCAAGACAAAUUUAGUUAUGGACGUGACUUUCUGGGAUUAUAAGGAUAUUUAGAUUUAUUUUAUAUAUUACGAUCCUAAUAAAAAAUAAUGGAAGAGAUAGCACUAACAAAAUUUAUCAUUUGUCGGAUUGGUUAAUCGAACGGAAGUUAAAAUAUAUUUCGAAUCCGACUUGGUUUUAAUCGAACCGGAAUAAAAAUCGAUUUGGCUUACCUUAAAAAAAAUUUUUUAAAAAAAAGGUAUGAAAAAGAUUUGCAUACGGUUUAGUUCAUCAAGCCACCGAAGUACAAAUUGCAAGCCCUUUACAUAACGAUCAAGUGACCAAUUCUUAGACUGCAAGCAAGCAUGCAAUCUUCACAAAUCAACCAUGUCCAGUUUACUUGAUUUAUGCUAUCCAAGCUUGCAGGUCUUCGUUGAUUUGCUUCCUAAAUUACUCCUUGUAUGCUUCCAGAUCCUCAUUAAACCCAAAAUAAUUAAACCAACUAAAUUAUAUUUCCUAUUUCCUAAAUAGACUUGACCUGCCACAGAUCUUAAAGGGGAUCAUUCUGCAGGCUGAAGGUGGAAUUCAAUUAUUCAAAGGACAGGAUAUAUUAUUAUUUCUACCAAAAAAUAAAAAAAGUAUUACUCACUGUAUAUGUUAAUUAGGUUAAUGUGUUAAUGACAGACUCAAAAUCGAUUGUGCAUGUUCAAGAAAUCUCGAUAGUAUUUUGAUGUAAACUUAUCAGAAUUUCUUGCCAUGGAUUAUUAACCUAAUCAAUAAUUCUCAAUCUUAUAUUCUGUCCGUGAUUGAAAUUUCUCACUUACUCCAGAUUCAUUUAGUUUGGCACUACAAAGCUACUUAUAAACCUCAAGAAAAGUACAGUAAUAUAUCAAUCAUAUAUAAGUGGAUUGAAUUUGAUGGUAAAUUUAUAUCCAAUGUGAUUUUAUAAUGCUUGAAAUUACUUGCUAAUUAAGGAAAUCACUGUAAAAAAAGAUUAAACUCUUCUCUUCUGUCUCUUUCUUGUUUCAAUAAAAAAAAAAAAGAAUAAAAAUAAAUACUUCUUAAAUGUCGAAAUAGUUAUAUUUUUAUUUCAACAUCACACAUAGGAAAAGGAUCGUUUAAGACAAACAACAUGGUAUAACUUUUGAUGAAAAAUUUUAAGAACAUAAAUUAGUACGAAAUAAAGUAUCAAUUCAAUAUCUUAUGGCUUUAUCAAAUAUAUAUAUAUAUAUAUAUACUCUAUUAAAGAUUGGUAAAACUAUUAAACCAGAUCAACACUAUAUAUGUACGUGUGUAUAUAUACACGCGCACGCACAUACUUAAAUUUAAAUUGUGCUUAUUGCAAUUGAUUUGUCAAUUGUUCGGUCCCAUCAUUUGUCUUUGCAAUAUUGUUAGUUAAGUUACAGGUAUUUGAGGCUACAUUCACGUGUUUGAUAAAAUGCCUGACUGAAAAGAUCUUAGCUGGAAAACAAUAAUUUUUUAAUAUUGUAUAGUACAUCAGCAUCAGCUCAGAGUCGAUCAUUAAGUUAAGGUUUUAAUCAGAGCCUUAUCAUCAGGCACAGAUACUGUGCCCAGAUAUUCUCAGGGAUUGGUGCUUCAAGAGGGAAAAAAUCUUGCUAUAAUCUUGGUGAAUUCUUUUCUGACGAAACAUUAAAUGGCUGCAGUUAUCAGGUAAUUAAUUAGGAAAAUGAUGUUUGCCCCGGGUCAAAUCCCGGGUUAAACCCCGAAAAUAACGUAAACGGCGUCGUUUUGAUUAUUUUUUUUCUUUUUGGAAUACUCCAAAACGACGACGUUUCUGAUGAUAUUUUGAGAAGAAUAAAAUCUUUCUUCCUCUUCGUUUCUUCGUUUCACCUGCGAAAGCAACAGAGCAACAGAGCAACAGAGGGAAGACAUCCCAACUUGGUCUUGCGCUCAAUGGCUUCAGAGAUAAAACCUGUCGUCAGUUUCCCUCUGGAGAAUUUGUAGAUUUUGUCAUUUGACACAAACAAAUUUAUACAACAAGCAGUUGAAUUAUACACAUGAGUUCUGAAAGUCAAUCACAGUUGUAGACAGCUUUACACUUCGUUGAUGGUAAAUUAUCACUUGAAAGCGAACCUCAGCAGCUAUAAAUGUAAAAGUCCUCCACUUUUUUCUUCUUUAAAGAGUUGUUCAAAUUAUAUACUUAGUUUAGUUUGUAUCUCAAUUAACACAAAAACUUGUGGGUUGUGCUUGACCAAUAAAUAUCUAUCAUUCUGCAAUUUGCUACUGUGGAUUUUGCUGGGAGACCCACCCACUUCGGGAAAAUACACGACCACUGGUUUUAAAGCCAAAAAAAGAAAAAAAGAAAAUGUUAUGGAAUUCAUCAUACUUUAGACCACUUCUGUUGGUCUUGAGUAGCCGAAACUCAGCUUAGUAGCCGAAACUCAGCUGUUGUUGGUCUUGUUCUUCACUAAAUGCAAGGGCUGUGGAUCUCGUUCAGGUUAAGACGAAGAGGAUGGAGCUUUAAUUAGUAGAUCUUGUUCUGCUGUCGACUCAAGGGCUGUAGAUCUAGGUCGAGGAUGGAAGAAAUGAAAAAGAAAUGAAGAAAGGAUGGAAGAAACGAAAAAGAAAUGAAGAAACAAAAAAGAAAAAAAUAAAGAAAACGACGCAAAUAAGAAAUCGAGAAGAGAACGAAGAAAAUGAAGAAGAAAUGGUUCAGCUGGGUUAAAGACAGAGGAAGAAGAAGGCUGCCAUUUGUCCACCAAAAUGACUUCGUUGAAAGCAAAUCAGAAUAAAUAAAAAAUUGAAGCAGAAACGUCGUCGUUCAAUAGCACUUGAAAACAAAAAAAAUUACGAGCCAAAAUGGCGUUGUUCGACGCAUUUUCGGAGUUUGACCCGGGGCAAACAUCAUCACUCAAUUAAUUAAGCUCAUUUCUCUCCAAUGAUUUGAUAUAAGUUAAAUCUUAAAUGAAACUGAACCCGCACUAUUUUAGUGUAGUUUAGCUGGCUGUGAAUGCGUUUUUGCAUCGAUCUGACAUUAAAUAAAUAAAAUCAUAUCAAUGUUGAGCACAGACAACAUUUUUGACUUUGGUUAAACAAGUAUGUGACUAAGCCAAAGUUUGAAAAGUUGACACCAAAUCUUGAAAAUUUGACAUCUGCAUGUGCCUAAGCAUGCAAAACUUGAAAAGUUGGCACAUGAAAAGAAUUUAGAUCUAUUACAAAUAGAUUUAGGCAAUUAAAAAUUUUAAAAUUAACAAUUUAAUUAAUUUUUAGAAAUAUUGUUCAUCGUACUGUUUAUGGUUACUGUUCAUCAUUACUGUUCACUGACAUUGUUUACUGUUACUGUUCAUCCGCAUAAAAAACAUUAAUUUUCUAAAAACAUAAUAAAUUACAUAAAUUAAAUGACACGAAGAUUUUACGUAGUUUGAAUUAAUCAAUCCUACAUCCACGAGGCCACAUCGAAAUAAAAAGUAAUUCACUAAGUUGAGAUGUUACAACCUAUGAAUUUACCAAACUUAAGACUCUCACUUACAGUUUAUCACUAUAUAGUUUACUCAACCUUAGACUGAAUUUGCUUCUCUUGAAUAAUUGAUACUCCUCUUGAUCCACAAUCCUUAAGGCAAUUCGCAAAGUUAUCAACAACAAUUCUUCCAUGUCUAGUGAUCCGAGAUCCACAUAGACUCUCCACGGAGAUGAAAAGGAGAUAAGAAAACAAAUCAACACAACAAUAUGCACCAAAUCUGAAUUCUCUAAGGAGGAGGCCGAAUUUUGCUUCUCUACUUUAUACUCUGUGUUGUGUGUCUUUAAUUGUAAAAUAUCUCUCUUUAUAUAGGCACUAAGCUUUUUUUUUAAAAAAAGCAAGUCUUAAAAGACUUGGAUUCUUUCCAAAUAAGAGUUUCUUUCUUCUUAUAAUUCAUAUGACUCUGAAUAGGAAUAAAUAUGAUCUUCUUACUUUACUUGUCUCUUAAGAAAUAUCUAGAGCAUUUAAUGAACUUCUUUUUUUAACCAAUUUCUUGCUCUAAAUAGAUCUCAUGCGUCAAUUAUAGAAUCUCAUCAUUAAUUGACUUGCUAAAUUAGGUAUCUAAUUAAAUUAGGAAACAAAUAUUCCUAAUAAAUUGGAAUCUCACUAAAUUAUGGAAUUAAUAAAUUAAUCAUGUUACAAGAUAUGCAAUAAAUAAAAUUUUAAUUUAACUAAACUUGCCAUAAGAUGUCAACUUUAUAAAUAAUGGACUUAAUAGCACCAAACCUUGAAAAUUUGAAAGGUGCUCAAGACUUUUGCUUUGAAAAUGGCUAGCAUGAAUGGAAAGGUUCAGCUAUAAAUAGAAGAGCACUCGUUCAUUGAAAUCAUCCUAAAAAUUUUGAGAGAGUAACAAUUCAAUUGUAGAAUUGUUAAGAGAGUGAGCAAUUGGAGAGUGAGCAAUUGUGAGGUUUUUUAUUUUCCUUUCAAGUGUGUGUGAGAGUACUGAGUGUAUUUAAGUUCUGGGAAGUAAGGUUUUUACUCAAAUAUUGUACUCUAAUAAUUGUUAGUAGUACAAUUAUUUUCUCUUGCUCGCGUGGACGUAGACAUAUUGCCGAACCACAUAAAAUUAUGUGUCGUUUAUUUUUUUUUUAUGAUUAUUUGGUGUACUUGAUUUCGCAUUUCGGGCACAACAAUCAAUACUUAUAAAUGAUAAAAAAUGUUAUUAUUCAUUAUUAUUUAGGAACCAUUACUAAUUAUUGCUUUUGUUUUCCUAUAGAACUUACUUACACCAUGACUAUGAUGGAGAAAUUUGAGGUUUAUAGCUUUAGAGUGGUGGCACAAGGAGUACCAAUGAAAAAUAGGAGUGUUCACAAUUCAAUCUGAUAUGCUCAAUUUGUUUGAUCCGUAGAAAUACAAUCUAUAAAAAUCUGAUCCGUUGAUUGGUGGUUUGAAAAUCCGCAAUCGGUAGAUUAUAUAUGGAUUUACUUCCGUAAACCUGCAAAUCCAUUAAAAAAUAUUUAUUUAAUAAAAAUUAAACUUAUAAAUUUAGCAUUAGUACUUACUAAUAAAUAAAUAAGUUAUAAAAUAGUUACAUUUACACCAUAUUAUAUCUUAUCCAAUAAUAAUAUAAAGUAAAAAUAAUUAAAUAAACAAAUAUAACUUCCUAAGCAGUUAAUUUUCAUAUACUAAUCUAAACAAAUGAUUUUUUUUUUCUUUUUAGUGUGUUAUAUUUUGAAAUUUUGAAUGUAUUUUCUAGCUUUAUUUAAGUAGUUGAUUUAUUUGAAUCUUAUUUAAUCUUGAAUUUGAUUAGUAAGAAAAUCAUUUUUAUAUUAAUUUUUUAUUUAAUUAGUUCAUGGAUAGUACGAAAUUAAAAAUUUUUAGUCUGCAAACCAAUUCGCAAAAUGGUGAAUUAGAUAUGGAUUAUGUCAAAUCCGCAUCCGAUCCGCAGACUAAUGGAUUAGAUUUGGAUUGAAUUUCAACAAUCCGUGAAUUGAAUUGAAUUAAAAAUUUAUAAUCCUCAAAAUCGUGGAACGGAUAUUAAUUGAUGUCCAAUUCAUAAAAUUCGAUCCACAAACACCUCUAAUGAAAAAGCAUACAGGAGAGGUCUUCUCAUCGCCAUCUUCGUCCUUGGAUAAAAAUAUAAAACUGAUUGAUGUAUUAGACCCACGCCUCUCAUUAUUCUUGUUUCAAAAGUGGCAUUUUCAUGCUUCCUUUCUCAAACGAAGUGCGACCCACAAGGCAACUAACGAAUUUAUUGGUCGCAACAAGACACCAAUGCAAAAAUCUUUACAUGAAAUUUCAAUUUUGGAACUUAGAAACUAAGCAACGUAAAUGAAAUUUCAAUUAGAACCUUGAGCGCAUGGGUUGGUUGGGACUCGACUCAUUUUUUAGUAGGGUGUAGAGCCUAAACCUAGAAAAAUGGAAGAAGCCCAUUCAAUUCAGGAACAAGAAAAUAGCAUCGUGAUUUUUGGAUCGGAUCUCGAUGAAAAAAUACAUCAAUGAAAAGUUAGUUCGAUAAGUCGAUAAGUUAAUCAUUUCUUAUUUGAAGAAUCUUAAUUUAAGUGUCUUUUGGAGCCUUAAAUAUUGAGAUGGCUCUUCAAAUAAUUAAUAAAAUCUUAUUUGAAGAGUCUUUUGGUGAUACUCUAAUAUAUCAAUUUAUCAACAAAAAAAAACAUAUUUAAUUGAUGAAUGUGAUAUCUAAUUAUGGAUACGAAUAUAUAUAAUUGUUCACGUAUGUGAUUGCUUCCAAUUCUUGUGGGAUUUUCCAAUAAAGGUGACUGUUAGUUGGCUCUGAAAUUCUUAAAUGGCAGCAAUGUAGCAUCAUAUAUUAUGAAUUCGACGAAUUCUCUCCCUUAGUAUUAUUAAUUUCGACGAAUUCUCUCCCUUAGUAUUAUUAAUUCCAUUUACACAUUCAAUUCCUGUAUUGAGUUGCAAUUAAACAAAUGUUACUGUAAAGUGCGAACGGCAACAUUAAUCUCUCUGGUAAAGCUAGUACUUUUGCAGUUCACUCUUAUAAAAUAAUGUUUGCCUAAUUGUCUCCCUCUCAAUGAGCUGAAUUAACCAGCAUAUUAAGGUUGUAUCUCUACGAGUUAAAAGAGUAAAUUCUCAUAACAAUUAUUAACUCAUUUUACAAAAUAGAUACAUAUUUUGUUUAGGAGGACGUUUUUUAUGCCGCGUUAUUUAAUAUAUUAGUUUUUUUCCCCCUUCCUUUGUAAAUAUUGACACAAAUAUAAACAAUAAGUUCAUAAUUUAGCCGAUCUGAUCAAACAUCCGGCACCCACUGCUGAUGACAUACAAAGGUCAGGAAGCUUCUGCACAAGUUGGGGAUAGUGGUAUCCAACCACCUGCCAGCACAAGAUAAACAGAUGUUAGGUCAUGAUCGAGAAAAUUCGGCUUUGAGUCGAUAAGUCUUAUGUCAUGACUUGUUUUCUAAUGAGGUAGCUAUGGAGAACAGCUCUAAAUUUGAAAGAAUUCAUGAGUGAAUGUCUGAAUUGUGAAGAAUCAGCUCUACGAGACUAUGACAACAUUGCAGUGACAAACAUGCAUGUACGAAGCACUUUCAAAGAGAGUAGAUCUAAUAGUAUCUGCACUUCAUUUUUCGAGUUGUUUACCAAGACUGGAUGGUAGAGAACAGCGCAUGAUCCCCAUUACACUAUCGUUGCUUGAAUUUAUAGGCUUCAUCAAUCGGUUCCUUCAAAUCCAUAUAUAAAGAGAUGGAAGAAUUAACUUAAAUUUAUUAUUCAGAUUUCCUAGUCUUCAAACGAUAAAGUGAGGUGCAGCUGGUUUUAAGACACUCAAAAUGAAGUGCAAGUGCAAAAUAAUAGUUAGAGCUUUACCCUCAGCAUAACAAGGUGUCUGCUGCGUUGGGCCCACUUUGUCUUCCUCUAUAGACCACCACCUCUUCAUCUUCAGCAUUCUCAAUAACACUGUCUGCUGUUUCUUCAUUUGGUUCUUUGGCCACUACAUCUUCAUCUUCAACCUUCUCAGUAGGCUCUAAUGGUGUCACAAUUGUCGUGCUGGUGGUGAGGGGGACGACUUCAUCAUUUUUCUCAGAUUCAUUAGACCGAGCCAUGUGUUUCUUCCCCCUAUUGAGUCCUUCUUCCUUGGCCUUGUGCUUCUUACCUUGAAGAUGCUCAUCUAGACCUCUCUUGCUAGUAGCGCUGACCUGACACAGAGCACAACUCCAAUGCAUGGGUUUCUUUAAAGUCGUCAAACGGCGCUUUCCAGAAUCUGCUGGUAGUGCGCCAGCUUCCUGCUUUGAUCCACAAAGAUUGGGAUAGGGCUUAACCUGCAGGGCUUGACCACCCUUCCCUUUCUGGUCUGAACCAACAACAGUUUUAUUAGCUUUAACGGAUUUCUCUUCUACCUUAGUCUUCAUUUCUUGGCCAGCAAUAUCUCUGCUUUCUGUAGAUUUUUUGGUCCCCUUCUGAGCUCCAAGUAG
rnacentral:lncRNA from 1 species